AAUUUUAAAGAAUUUCACAUUUUUUUUAACAAAACUUUAAAAAAUUCAAUAAUUUUACUAAUAAAUUUUAAGAAUCAUUUUUGAAAUAAUUAAAUUGAUAAAAUUUUUAUUUAAAAUUUAUUUCUAACAAUAUAAUAUAAAUGUAGCAUCAUUAUCAAUAGUAAAUUGGCGAAACUAUGGGAUCUAAAAUUUUGGGAUAAUUAAGAACACAUGAUUAAAAUAAAAUCAUGAAAAGAAAAGAAAAAAAAAUAUAUCAGCUGGGUUAUGAUUUCAAAUGUUUUCUAGAUAUUUCAUUUUUUUGCUAAUUCCAUCUAAUAAAUAUUAUAUUCACUAGUGAAUGAAAAAAGAAGAGAGAGAACACAUACCUUGCUAGAGGUUAAAGAAACCCUUGAUCCUUUGGAAACUAGAGAAUUUUUCCUUGGAUGAGUGAUCUUCUCUAUUAGCAGGCCUUUUUCCCGACGGCUGAGGCCAAUGCUUCUGAUCUUGGGCAUAUAUGAGAUGUAUCCCACAACUUUUCAUUUUAAAGGAUGCGUUUUCGCCACAUGUAAAAGAGGCAUUAUAGACACGAUUGUAAAAGUGAGCCUUGAAGUUGUUCCACUUUCUGGAUCGAUACUUGCUUGGAAUGCCAAUCUGCGGGAAAUACGUCACCCACAGUGCUGGAUCUGAUGUGCUACCACUGUCGUAGCGUUCGCUGCUACAUGAUAUACCUUCAAUGCAGUAUCUUUUACAAUGAGGAUGAAAAUGAAUAUUAUCCAGUCGUUUAGAUUGAUCACCAUGGGAUAUCGCCAAUUCACAUUGAGGAAAAUAAGAUGUUCUCACGCAUUCAUCAUCAUCAAGGGGAACAUGAUGGAAGAAUAAAACAAAUCCUAACAAGUUAUUAUCUUCAUACCAAUUCAUUGGAAGCUCCACACUUACUUCACAUCCCAUUCUUUGAUGACUUACCCACUCUGGUAUUCCACUACUUCCUGGAAUGAUAAUAUUAAAUCUCCGCUGCAGAAAAAAAUGUCAUGUAAAUCUCAUGCUUUUUUUUUGAAAAAAAAGGGGGGUGGGGUUGGGGAAGGGCGGUUGAUAAUUAUGCCAUGAAAAUGAUACCUGAAUUGGUGAUUUCAAGUGUUUGAGCAAAGAAGACCAGAGUAGACUUGAAGAAGUUUCAGUUUCCAGGCAUGGACAACCAUGUGCCUCUAUCCAUCCUAGACUUGAUGGAAGCUCUCCAAUUACUUCAAGCAUCGGACAAUGAUUCAUGAGAAGGGUACGAAGCUUACAAAGAUGAGUGAUGCCAGUAGGUAUGCAACGCAUAUGGUUUUCACUUAUGUUUAAAAAUUCCAGUGAGGAUAGGCACCAUAAAUCACUGGGGAUUUCUUCUUCCAUCAGAUUGCAACCACCUAGAUCUAGCGACGUUAAGAUACAUUGCUGGCUUCUCAAAUUGUCAGGCAAGUUGUGGAGCUUUGGACAGUUACGAACAUGAAGACUAGUAAGACAUGUCAAAUUACCGAUGCUAUUGGGAAGAGCCACAAGGUUCUCACAAUUGAUCAAUUCCAAGGAUUUAAGACCUCUCAGAUGUUCAAUUGAUGAUGGCAGCUCUGAGAUACCCGUCUCACAUAAAAAAAGGCCUUCUAAUUGUUCCAUAUCCUCCGUGAUCUCUAAAAAAGCCUCUAGAUUUGAACAACCAUUGAGAGAGAGGCCUUUGAGGGAUUUCAACCCACAUAUACUGUUUGGAAGACUUUUCAAGUUUCUACAAUUUUCCAAAUCUAAGCGUUCAAGUCUGGUGAGAUGACCUACUGAGUAGGGUAAUCCUCUAAUAGCAGUCUCAUCUAGAAAAAGACCCCAUAGAUUCCCCAUAUUUUUUUGAAUCUCAGGAAACCUCUCAAGAUUUGAGCAACCACUGAGAUCAAGAAUUUCAAGGGCCUGCAAGCGCCCAAUGCCAUUUGGGAGUUCCUUAAUAGCAGUAUCCUCUAAACAAAGCAUCUUCAAGCAUUUCAUAUUCCCUUGGAUCUCUGGAAAUUUCUCAAAGUUUGAGCAAUAUCUGAGGUUAAGUUCUUCAAGAGAUUCCAAAUACCCAAUGCUGCCUGGGAGUUCCUUAAUACCACUCCCAUAUAGACAUAGCUCCCUUAAACGCCCCAUAUUGGUAAAUACAUCUGAAAAUUUCUCAAACUUUGAACAUUCUCUAAGAGAAAGCAUUUCAAGAGAGGUUAAGGACCCAAUGCUAUUUGGGAGUUCCUUAAUAGCAGUCUCAUCUAAAAAAAGAUUCAACAAACAUUUCAUAUUCCCUUGGAUCUCUGGGAAUUUCUCAAAUUUGGAGCAACAUGAGAGGUCAAGAAUUUCAAGAGAUUCCAAAUACCCAAUGCUGCUUGGGAGUUCUUUAAUACCACUCUCACGUAAAUGAAGCCCCCUUAAAUGUCCCAUAUAGGUAAAUGUAUCCGGAAAUUUCUCAAACUUUGAACAUCUUUCUAAAUAAAGCUCCCUCAAAAAUUUCAUAUUCCCAUGGAUCUCAGGAAAUUUCUCGAAAUUUGAACAAUCUGAGAGAUUAAGGACUUCAAGAGAUGCUAAAUACACAAUGCUACUUGGUAGUUCUUGGAUCCCACUCCUGUUGAAAUAAAGCUCCUUCAAACAUUCCAUAUUCCCAUGGAUCUCAGGAAAUUUCUUGAAAUUUGAACAAUAUGAGAGAUUAAGGACUUCAAGAGAUGCUAAAUACACAAUGCUACUUGGUAGUGCUUGGAUCCCACUCUUGUUUAAAUAAAGCUCCUUCAAACAUUCCAUAUUCCCAUGGAUCUCAGGAAACUUCUUCAAGUUUGGACAACAAUUAAGAUAAAGAACUUCAAGAGAUUCAAACUUCAUGCUGGAUAGGAAACUUCGGAGCUGUUCACAUCCUCCUAAAUUCAAGUAAGUCAAACUUUUGAGAUCGCCAAUAGAUGGAUGAAGUUCACGCAAGCUUAUACAACCUUCAAGAUUCAGUCUCUCCAAAUUCGACAUGCUUGAGAAUUUUGGCAUUUUGACCAAUUGUUUUGAGUUACUUAGAUCAAUGCCCUUUAAUUCUUCAAGACGCUAUAACAGAAGACAUUUUGUUAAUAAAAAAAAUAAAAAAUUGAAAAUUAUUAUAAAGAAAAAAAACAUUAAAUAAUGAUCAUACCCUAUUCCCUUUCCAAAGUUGUUUUACGUUGCUAGACUUCAAGUUGAUUUCAAUCAGGUGCUUUCCAUUAAAGUUCCAAGGUAAAGACGUCAAAGUGCAUCUUUGCCAAUGAAGAUAUCUCAAAUCAUGAGGAAAUUGAAAGUCUUUAGGAAGAAGCACUUUAUACUCCUCUCUCGUCAAACCAUCAUGAUCAUUGCAAUAGAUUUUAAGCAACCUAAGUUUCUUCAUCUUGGAAAACACUUUUGUAUUGAAUUGUAUUUCUCUUGAUCUAGACAAGUCCAAAGAUAUGGUUUGAAUAUUUUGCAUCUCCUGGAAAACAAUAAGGAAAAAUAAGGGAAUAACACAAGAUAAAAAUCCUAACUACAAUUAUAUAGUCAAUUAACCACUAAAAAAUUGAUUAUAAGCAUUUAAAUAACUAUAUUAAGCAUUUAAUUCAUACCUCUUGUUUAGAAAAUGCAUCAUAAAUAUCAUCUACAUCCCACAAUCUACUCCAUUUGCAGGGGUCUCCAAGACAUUCUUCACGAAUAAUUGCCCAACCCAUUUCUUGUAUCAAGUCAUGCAUUUGUAUGACGUUGUUUAAGAUAGUUACUAGACAUCUAUCACAAAGAACUCUUAUGUUGCAUGUUACAAAUAAAUUGCAACCAUCUAAUAUUCUUGACACAAAAUCUUUGCAUUCACCUUUGAAAAAACACGCAAUGUCCAGGAAAACCUCCUUUUGAGAAGGAUCAAGCCCAUCAAAACUUAUUCUAAGCGCAUCAUUAAUUUCCUUCAUAGGGUUUUUUUUCAAUUUAUCCGAUGCGCUUUUCCAUUCAUCUAUUGUCAUGCCCUGAAGAGAAGAACCUAGAACUUUAAGGGCUAAAGGGAGACCUUGAGCAUAUUGUACCAUGCAAUUUGAGAGGUCUACAUAAUCUUCUUUAGGAACAUUUUGUUUAAAGGCAUGUUGGCUGAAGAGUUGAAGAGCUUCCUCAUAAUGUAAUUCUGUAGCCUUAUGUGAUAUAGUCACUCCAUACUCAACCAACAGAUGUUGGUUUCUAGUUGUAAUGAUAAUUGUACUUCCUGGACCAAACCAUUUAGGACUUCCAGCCACUGACUCUAAUUGUUGCAACCGAUCCACAUCAUCAAUUACAAUAAGAACCUUUUUUGAGCCAAGUCUGUCCUUUAUUAUAUUGAUUCCUUUAUUGAUAUUGCUAAACUCUUCAUCAUUCCCCACUGUAUCAUGAAGAAGUUGUUGUUGUAGUUGAAGUUGACAACCCUUGUUGAAUGUCUCUCUGACAUCUUGAAGAAAGCUAGCACCAGUGAAUUGAUAUUGGAUCUCAUUAUAAACAAUCUUGGCAAUGGUAGUUUUACCAAUUCCACCAGUUCCAUAGAUCCCAACCACACGAGUGUCAUUCAAGUCACUACUUAACAAUGACUUUAGUUCUUUUAGGCGAAAAUCCAUCCCAACUAUAUCAUCGUUAAUGUGCAAAAGCUUAGAAUUCAUUGAUCUUUUAAAAAUCUGGUUAAUAAUUUCCUUAAUAUGCUUUGACUCAUACCUGCCAAUUAUAAAGUACAAAUUAACACUUCAUGAGUCAUAAUGAAUUGCAAGAGAUCACAAAUAUAAAGUAAAUUUAGUGAUAUUUACUUGGUUUUGUCAAUAUAACCAAAGUAAUAGGAUGUAAAAAGUAUUAAAAGAACCCAAUAUAUUGAGCAUUUUACAGAUAAUGAGAAGGCAACAAGUUUUGAGCCUAGUGUUAAUUAGAUCACAAAGCAAGCUUUACUAUACAAAAUUAUUAACUUGUUAAUUCAUGAUUUAAGACCACUAAAUCCUUACAACUUAAUUAAAUCAAAAGCACAAAUUAAGGAAGUUGAAGUUACCCAUCAUUCACAUGGAAACCGCUUAUAUUGCUUGCUUCAGUCAAGGAAUCCCUCCACCUUUGCACCUUUUUCGCAUCUACAUUUCUUUCAUGAAUGGAAAAUGCCUCUCCGAAGCUCCCUGUUUGCUUUCGCACAUCACAAGGAUCCACGUGAUAGAACACCGGAAAGACCAUUUGUUCCAUUUCUUCCCUGCACUCCAUGAUCUUCGCUAACUCAUCCAAACACCACUUGGAAUGAGCAUAGGUUUUUGAGAACACAACUACGGAAAUUCUUGAUUCUUCAAUAGUUUUCAAAAGUUCUGAUUUGAUCUCCUCUCCUCUUUCAAGUUGAUCGUCUCUAAAAGUCUUAAUCCCCAUCCGACCCAAAUUUACGAAUAAAUGAUCCGUAAAAUUGUUGCGGGUGUCUUCACCUCUAAAACUCAAGAACACUUCGAACUCAUAUUUACGGACUGAGGCAGAAGAAGAAGAAGAGGGUUUUUGGGUAGAGGAAGCCAUUGUUGGACAGUUUCUGGAUGAAAGCUUAGAGAGAGUUGAGGAAGAACUUGUGCUGAGUCAAUACUUGAUAUGCCGACAGCAUCUUUGGGUAAGCAAAACUUUUUCCUUUUUUUUUUUUUUUUUGUGGUUGUGGGGUGGUUGGAUUGUAAGUAAAAAUCGAUUUUCCCAAUACAGGCAAGCAGGUGAUCAUUUUCCCAUUUUUUGGGUCCCAAUGCAUAAGCAUGUGAUUUGUCAGUUAAAUGUCAAGGGAGUAAUGAGUGGGGAGGUCGGUGGCUUUUAAAAAAAAUAUAAAGAAGGACCCACCCACCACAAAACCCGUAAAAGCCUUAAAUUAAAAUUUCAGUUUUUGGUAUUAUGCAAGGAUGAAAAUAUCGGUAAUCACGGAUAUAUCGGUACUUCGAUUUUACGGAUAUAUCGGAUAUAUCGGAGAUAUUUUUGGAUAUAUCGGAGAUAUAUCGGCGGAUAUUUUGGAAAAAAAUAUUGGUGCUUAAAAUUGUUAAAAACUCAUGAAAAUGUAAAGAAAACCUCUUAAUAAUAUAAUUAGAAGUAUAAUAGACAUUUUAAAGUUAUUUUAUUGAAAAUUUUGAUAUAUGUAUAACAUGAUUUAUCAUAUUUGAUAAUAAUAUCGUAUGCAUCGAUAAAAAUAUGAAUUUUAUAAGUGUACAUUUAUUAUUAAAUUACACCUAAUAUUAUGAUAUUUGAUUAUAAUAUGUCUAAUUUUAAAAUAUAUAUUAGUAUUAAAAUAUGAUCCAUUUAAUUCAAUUGUAUUAAACAAUGUAAAAUAAAUAAUGAUAUAUAUAUAUAUAAUUUUUUAAUAUUUAAUUAAUUAUUAAUGAUAUUAAAAACAUUAUGAAGAAAAUUAUAUAAUUUUUAUAUUUUUGGUAAUUAAUUAAAAGACUUUGUAUUUAAUUAUAAAAUAAUUAUAAUUAAUUUGCUCUUUAAAAUAUUCUUAUAUUUUCUUUAUAUAAUGAAUUUAAGUAUAUAUAUAAGUGUUGCAUAUUAUUUAUCAAAGGGCUACUUAGCCCAAGUGGUAAGCGGGUGAACCCCAAACCUUUUGGUUUGGGGUUCAAAUCCUCUCAGCAGCAAGCAAAAUGGGAGUAGCGGGUAUAACUUUCGUUGACCCGCGUUGACCACGCGAUAUAUCGGAGAAAAAUCGCCGAUUUAUCGCCAAAUGACCGAUAUAUCGCGAGAAAUCGGCGAUUUCCCGAUUUCUCGCGAUAAAUGCCGAAAUAUCGCUGGACCGAUAUUUCUCCAAGAAAUAUCGUGUCGAUACCCUCCGACACACGAUAUUUCGGCGAUACAUUUUCCUCCUUGGUAUUAUGGCCAUUGGCGCUUUCCUUUGACCAGUCAAAGCCUAUCAAUACAAUUGCCAUAGGUCCUUUCCUCUUUGACUAAUCAAAGCCUUAAACUAAAAUUUCAAUUUUUUGGUAUUCCUUCGUAUUAUGGCCACGACCUUUCCUUUGACUAGUCAAAGUCUUUCAAUACUAUUGCCAUGGGCCCUUUUCUCUUUAAGGGAUCCAACCCAAUAAUUAUAAUUUAAGGCUUUCAAACCAUAUUAAUAGUUUACUCCUCCCUCCUAAAUUUUAACUUAAAUUCAAUUAAUUUUAAUUAUUUCAUUUUUUUUAUAUUCUAUUUAAUAUAUUAUUGAAAAUAUAAAAAUAUCAUAAUAAUCUUAUCAGUCUCUCUUUAUUAAAAAAAAUAAACUUGGAUAUAAAAGUAUUAACAUUUUUAAACAUAAAAACAUAUGCAUAUAGCAUUAUUUUUUUUUAUUUUAAAUAAAGAUCAUCAUUUUAAAUACAUGCUUGAUUCUAAAAAAAAUUAAAAGUUUUAAUAAAUUAAUUAAUUUUAAUUAUCUUAUUAUUAAAUUUCAUUUAACAUAUUAUGAAAAUGUAAAAACCGUAAUAAUGAUUUACGGUAAAUAAUCUUUUAUGUUUUUUGUAUAUUAAUUAUUUAAAAAUUUAUAUAUAUAAAAAUUUUAAAAUAAAUUAAAAAAUAAUCAUACAUAUAUCAUUAGUUAUUUUAUACCCUAAAAUACAUUCAAACUAAAUACAACAUUAUUUUUAUAAUAAAUGUGGUAAGAUACUUUAUAAACUUAUUUAUGUUUUUAAGUUUUUCUUUUUCACUUUACAAACCCAUCUGUAUUGCUAAAUGUAUCCCUCCUUUUAUUUUACAAUUUUUACAUUCUUUCAACUUUUCAAACUCAAUAAUCCUUUAAAAAAAUAUAUAUAUAAUUUUUAAAACUUUAUCAAUUAUAAAAAGUUUCUAAAACCAUAAAUUUUUUAGAUAAAUUUUAUUAUAUUAUUUUUCAUUAAAAAUGAAUAAUAACAUUGAAAUUUUUUAUAACGAUGAAUCAUAAUAUUUUAAAAUUUCACAUAAAAUCUUAAUUAUUUUAAAAGGAAUGUUAAAUUGCCUAGUUAAAAUAUUAGUAGAAAUAUUGUCAUAUGUAGAAAAAAUAAUAAUAUAAUCAUUUUGAAUUAAUUUUGAUCCGAGAAAUUGUGAUAUUAAUUGGCUCAAAUUUUGAAUUUUAAAUUAUUUUAAAAAUAAUUUAUACUACUUAGCAAAUGUAAUGCAUGAAGUCAUGUUUGAUUUGAAGUCCUUUUGUUUAAUGAAAAUUUCCGAAAGAAAAAAUCAACAAACUUAUUGAGUGAUUUCCUAACACAGGAUAAUCAUAUCACGCGUCACUAAAAUUUAUCCAUAAAAAUAAAUUUGUGAAAUGUUGUAAGUUAAAUAAUAUUUUUUUUUAAUUAAAAUUGGGUUGAAAAAGAAUUUUAUAAAUAUUAUAAAAUUUAUAUUUUUUUAAUUUUAAUAUCGUCCAGGAGUUGAGUGAUGGGAAUAAUUGAGAACAAAGAGGCAAAUAGAUGUUUAAUGUGUGAAUAGUACGAUCAAAUAUUAUAACGAAAGGUGGAAGACAGGUCAAGAAUAUUAGAGAAAAUGAUUUCAAAUAGUUAUGAAAGUAAUUAUUUAAGAAAGGACCCACCCACAAGCAACUUUAUUUCCUAGCAUUUACGUACCGAAAAUGACAAUAUUUCCAUGAUAUAUCGAGCUUCGGUGGGCUUGGACAUGAUAUAAAAUGGAGAGAUUUCCGGGAGAAAAUAUAUUAAGCACAGUGAUUUUUAUUUUGGUAUUCUUUGACCAGUCAAAGCCUUUCAAUAUUAUUGCCAUGGGUCCUUCCCCCUUUAAUUAUUUUUUUUUUCAUAUUCUAUUUAAUAUAUUAUUAAAAAUAUAAAAAUAUCAUAACAAUCCUAUCAAUGAGUCUUGCAUUAUUUAAAUAAAUAAAUAUUAAUAUAAAAUUGUUUGCAUUUUCAAACAUAAAAAUAUAUUCAUAUAUCAUUAUUUCUUUUUAUUGGUAAAAAGAACAAAAAUAUAAAAAUAAAUAACUUAAUUUCUUAUUUUUAAAGAUAAAAUUCAAGAUUGAUAGAAAUGCAAGUAUGUGAUCCUUUUUCCAUUUUUCGGGGUCCCAAUGCAUAAGCAUGAGAUUUGCCAGUUAGAUAUCAAGAGUAAUAAGUGGGGAGGUCGGUGGCUUUUAAAAAAAUAAUAAAGAAGGACCCACCCACCACAGAACCUGUCAAAGCCUCUCAAUACAAUUGCCAAGGGUCCUUUCCCCUUUUAAGGGAUCCAACCCAAUAUCCCAUAUCAAAGCAAACUUCCAAACCAAUGGGGCAAUUUAAUAUAUAGUUUAUUCCUCCUUCCUAAAUUUUAAUUUAAAUUCAAUUAAUUUUAAUUAUUUUAGUUUUCAUAUUCUAUUUAAUAUAUUAUUAAAAAAAUAAAAAUAUCAUAAUAAACUUAUCAAUGAGGCAUUCCUUAUUGAAAAAAAAAAAAAACUUAGAUGUAAAAUUAUUAACAUUUUUAAACAUAAAAAUUUAUACAUAUAUCAUUAUUUCAUUUAUAUUUUAAAUGAAAAUCAUCAUUUUAAACAUGCUUGAUUACUUAAAAAAUAAAUUUUAAUAAAUUAAUUAAUUUUAAUUAUCUUAUUAUUUAAAUUUCUUUUAAAUUUGAAAUUUUCAUAAAUUUGAAAACAUAUCAUAUUAAAUUUUCCAAAAUUAAAUUAUAUUGUAUGGACUUAGAAAUCUUUCAAGAACUUUAAAAAUAUCAAAGCCAUUAUAAAUUUUAUUUUCUUUUUCAAGUUUUAAAAAUAAAAUCGUUUAUGGAUUUUAUUUUAUUUGAGUAUAUUAAAUCACUUUUUAAAUACAUUUUAAAAUGAAAAAGUUUGUUUUGUUUGAAGUUCUUAAUUAAUUUAUCAGAGAAACAUUAAAAUUAAAAAUUUAUAUUUUUUAUUUUAAAAUAUAUUGGUUUCAUUCAAAAUUUUAAAACCAUUUCUUGGUAAAAAGAACAAAAAUAUAACAAUGAAUAAAUUAAUUUCACAUUUUUAAAUUAUUUAAUAUAAAUUAAUUUUCAAGAUAAAAUUCAAGAUUGAUAGAAAUAAUUAUUCAAUUCGUUAUUUAAUUUAAUAUAAAAUAGUACAUUCUCAAAAUUUUAUUAUUUAAUUAUAAAUGAUAAACUUGUGCUAAGUCAAUACUUAAUAUGCUUAAACCACAUCCAUCUUUGGUGCUUAUGUGAAACAAAACUAAUUUGCUUUGGUAAUCCAAGUGGCUUUUAAAAUUAUUUAAAAUAUUUAAACUAAAAAAAAUAUUUAUUAUUUAUUUAUAUAACGAAUUUUUAUUUAAAAUUAAUUAUUCAUUCUUUUAUGAGAUGUAUCAAGAGUCAUUUAUUCACAAUGAUAAAAGGGAGAGGCGUGGCUUUUAAUAGAAUCUAAGGAAUGACCCACCCACCACAAAAUUCAAAAGCAUCUUUCUUUUCUAGAAGAGAAAUGAGUGGGAAGUUGAGUGGCCUCCAAAAGAGUAUAAGAAAGGACCACCUGCCACAAAAUUCAAACCACCAUUAUUUCCUAGCAUUGCAUUUGGUUCACAAUGGUCAAAAAGUAAUGGGUGAACAUAUUGGUGGCUUUAUUUAAAAGAAUAUAAGGAAGGACCCAUCCACCACAAAAAUUCAAAAACACCUUCCUUUCCUAGCAUUUGCAUACCAAACGACUUCAUCUUUUUCUCUUCAUUCAUUUUCACUGUCCAAUGGUAGAUGAGUUCAUUUGAACCCACCAUGUUGAACAACUGAUAAUCUACCAUUGUCACAGGGAAGGUUGAAGGUGAUGUUUGAGUCAUUUCUUCACUAAAAAGAAAAAGUGAGAAUUGAAUUGGAUUUUUCUCAUUUUGAAAAAUUUCAAGAUCCUUAGCAGGUAGAAAACAAGACUUCAUAAAAAGAAAAGAUUCAUUUGUUAAUCAAUACAAGUGGCUCCUUCCUUGGCUUUUUUCCUUUGUGUGUUUUUUAUGUGAUGUGGUGAAAAAUUAUUAUUUAUUUUGAGUUACCAUUCAGAUAAGUUACACUGCUUUUUAGUAAGAAAGUUCUCCAUGGUAUUUUGUCGUUGGUGUUACAAAUUCUUAAUCAUAUUAUUAAUAUUAUUUUAUCAUAAAUGAUUUUGGAUAUAAAUAUAAAUAAGAUGGUAGUUUAUAUAUCAUAAAAAUUAAUUUAGGUGGUAAGAUGAAGAUAAUAAUACCACAAUUCUCAUCAUAAAAAAAUAUUAAAAAAAUAAAAUUUAAAAAUGAGAAUAGUCCAACUUCGUUGUUUCUACAUAUUUGUCUUUCAAUAAAUUAAACUGAAAAGUACAUAUAUUAUAAAACAAAGGAAAAGAAAAACCUCUUAUUCAUAUUUACUAUCUAUAAAGAUAAAAUUAAUAAUUAUUGAAAAAGAAGUUUUUUUUCCCUUAAUAUUCAUUUUUCUCCCACCAUUAGGAUAAUAAUAUGAAAGAAGUGUUGUAAUUAUGCCUCUUUCACUAUUGUCAAAUUCAAAACUUUCCAAUAAAUAUCGGUAGAUUGAAGUCUCCCAAAGUCAUAUUUAAUUUAACUAUUUUUUUAUCUACUUUCCCCUUUGGCCAGUCAAAACCUUAAAUUAAAAUUUCCAUUUUCUGGUAUUCCUUUCACCAAUUUCAAUAUUGUUGUCAUGACUCCUUUCCCUUCGAGGGAUCCAACCCAAUAUUCCAUAUGAAGGCGAACUUCCAAACAAAUUGGGCAAUUUAAUAUAUAGUUUAUUCCUCCCUCCUAAAUUUUAACUUAAAUUCAAUUAAUUUUAAUUAUUUUAUUUUUUAUAUUCUAUUUAAUAUAUUAUUAAAAAUAUAAAAAUAUCAUAAUAAUCUUAUCAAUGAGUCUUUCUUUAUUAAAAAAAUAAUCUGAGAUAUAAAAUUGUUAACAUUUUUAAACAUAGAAAUAUAUAUCUUAAAUAAAGAUCAUUUCAAACACAUGUUUCAUUACUAAAAUAAAAUAAAAUUUAAUAAAUAAAUUAAUUUUAAUUAUCUUAUUAUUAAAUUUCAUUUAACUUAUUGUGAAAAUAUAAAAACUAUGGUAACGAUAUUUUGAAAAUUAUCUUUUAUGUUUUUAGUAUGGUAUUUAGAUAUUAAAAAUAUAAGAAAAAAUGAGUUUUGACUCAUUAAUUUGAAAAAAUUUAGAAAAAAGAACCUUAUGUUGUAAAAUGAUAAAGUGAAAGGAGAAGAAAACAAGAAAGAGAAAUUAGAACGUAAGAAGAGAAUGGAAUAGAUUUUCAUUAGGGGUGUCUCCCUUUUAUAGGGAGUCACAAAGAGAUAUACAUCAAAAUGGAUGAUCAUCCACAAGUUUCCAUAAUCCGAUAAAUUCUCAUAUUUUAUAACACUCCCCCUUGGAUGAUCAUAAGAAUAUGUCUCAUUAAAACCUUACUAAGAAAAACCAUAUGGGAAAAAUCCCUAGUGAAGGAAAAAGAGUACAAUGUUCUUUUUGGAUUAUUAUAAUUGUCUCGUUAAAAACCUUGCCAGUAAAUCCUAAUAGAACAAAACCUAGACGAAGGAAAAAAGAGUGCAGUAUAUCCAUAUUAUCAUUCUCCCCCUUAUGUAAACAUGAUUAUGAUUUCUUCAAAAUUUCAAAUGGUGGAUCUCUUAAUCUUCGCAUUCCAAUGUCAUACCUUAACUUUUCCAAUGUGGUUGAAGGUAACGCCUUUGUGAAUAGAUCUGCUAGAUUAUUGCAUGACCGAAUUUGAUGAACAUCAAUCUCACCUUUCUUUUGGAGCUCGUGAGUAUAGAAGAAUUUAAGGGAGAUAUUCUUAGUUCUGUCACCUUUUAUAAAUUCUCAUUUAAUUUGUGCAAUACAAGCAGCAUUAUCUUCAUGUAAUAUGGUUGCAUUGCCUCUGAUGGAAGGUAGUCCACAUGUUUCUUGUAUAUGUUGGAUCAUUGACCUUAGCCAUACACAUUCACGGCUUAUUUCGUGAAUUGCAAGAAUUUCUAAAUGAUUUGAAGAUGUGGCUACCAUUGUUUGCUUGACUGAUCUCCAAGAUAUUGUCGUUCCACCAUAAGUAAAGACAUAUCCCGUUUGAGAUCGAGCUUUAUGAGGAUCUGAAAGAUAUCCUGCAUCUACAUACCCAAUUAAUUGUGAUUUUGAUUCUUUUGAAUCAUAUAAACCCAUAUCACUUGUCCCACGAAGGUAUCGCAAUAUAUGUUUAACCCCAUUCCAAUGUCUUUUAGUUGGGAUAGAACUGUAUCUUGCUAGUAAGUUGACAGAGAAUGCUAUGUCUGGUCUAGUACAAUUUGUAAGAUACAUUAGUGCACAGAUUGCACUGAGAUAUGGUACUUAUGGACCAAGCAAUUCUUCAUUUUCUUCUUUAGAACAAAAUAGGUCUUUGUCCACUUCAAGUGAACGAACAACCAUAGGGGAAUUGACUGGACGUGAUUUGUCCCUAUAAAAUCGUUUUUAUACUUUCUCUAUAUAUGUCGAUUGAUGGAUUAAUAUGUCAUUUGAACAAUGCUCGAUCUGCAGGCUGAGGCAAUAUCUUGUUUUUCCCAAGUCUUUCAUUUCAAAUUCCUUCUUUAAAUAAUUGGCUGCUUUUGUGAGCUCUUCAGGAGUUCCUAUAAGGUUUAAAUCAUCCACAUACACUGCAAUUAUUGUAAGCCCAAAUUUUGAUUUCUUGAUAAAAAAACACAUAGGCAAAUUGAAUUAUUCACAUAUCCUUUUUUUAACAAAUACUCACUCAAACGAUUAUACCACAUACGUCCAGAUUAUUUUAAUUCGUACAAAGACCUUUGUAGUUUGAUUGAGUACAUGUUUUGAGGCUUUGGAUUAGUUGCUUCAGGCAAUUUGAAUCCUUUAGGGAUUUUCAUAUAUAUGUCAGUAUCUAUAGACCCAUAUAAAUAGGCUGUAACAACAUCCAUAAGACGCAUAUCUAGUCCUUCAGAAACUGUUAAACUUAUCAAGUAUUGAAAUGUGAUUACAUCCAUUACAAGGGAAUAAGUUUCCUCAUAGUCUAUGCCAGGUCUUUGAGAGAAACCUUGAGCAACAAGUCAUCCUUUAUAUCUUAUGAUUUCAUCAUUCUCAUUUCGUUUUUUCACAAAGACCCAUUUAUAUCCAACAGGCUUUAUGUUUCCAGGUGUUUGAACUACAGGUCCAAAUACCUCUCGUUUUGUUAAUGAGUUUAACUCUGUUUGGAUUGCUUCUUUUCAUUUUGGCCAAUCAUUCAUUUUUCGGCAUUCAUUCACAGUUUGUGGUUCUUGAUAUUCAUCAUUUCUCAUGAUGUCCAUAGCCACUUGGAAUGCGAAUAUAUUAUCUAUGAUAAUGUCACUACGGUCUUUUGUUUCUCCCAUGUGACUCAUUGAGAUCUCUUUAGCUCUAGAUACCGGUAUUUGAUCAAUUUGUACCUCUUCAGGAGCUAAUUAUUUGUCAAGUUGGGUUUCACCAUUUGACCCUUUCAUUUUUAUGAACUCUUCAGGAGUACUAAGUUUUUCAUAUGUUGUACCUUUUUUUUUUCUAGGAAUUAAAUCCUUUGAGCCAAUAGGUCUACCAUGCUUCAGGCGUGUCUUAGAUUCAUUUGCUAUGGCAUUCUCCAAUUGUCCUUUAGGGACAUCAAUAUGUGCUGGGGCGUUCACAGCUGGCACGUUCACAGCUGGCACGUGUGACUUUGUUACUUUCUUUAUAUUUGUGAAAGCAUAAGGUAAUUGAUUUGUAAGUCCUUGCAAAUGAAUAAUCCUUUGAACUUCUAACUCACAUUGUCUUGUGCAAGGAUCAAGAUGAGACAAGGAGGGUACAUACCAUGUAAUGUCUCGCCAUUCUUUUGACUUGUCUCCCCCUAAUGGCGGGAAAACAUUUUUAUCAAAAUGACAAUCUAUAAAGCGGCAUGAUUAGCUGUAGGGCGAAUUCGAAUUAAAGUGGCAGCAUGAAGAAUAGCAUGCCCCCAAGCAGACAAGGGCAAUUUUGUUCUCAAGAGUAAUGGUCUUGCAAUCAAUUGUAAACACUUAAUUAGAAAUUCAGCUAAUCCAUUUUGAGUAUGGCUAUGAGCAACAGGAUAUUCAACAUCAAUACCAACCAACAUACAAUAAUCAAGAAAUGUUUGAGAGGAAAAUUCACCAGCAUUAUCAAGACGAAUUUUCUUAAUAGGAUGAUUAGGGAAUUGUGCCUUGAGUCGAAUUAUUUGAGCAAGUAACCUGGUGAAGACAAUAUUUCUAGUUGAAAGAAGACAAACAUGAGACCAACGAGUUGAUGCAUCAAUUAAAACCAUAAAAUAACGAAAAGGUCCACUAGGUGGAUGAAUAGGUCCACAAAUAUCACCUUGAAUACAUUCUAAAAAGGCUGGUGAUUCAUAUUCAACCUUGGUAAAUGAUGGUUUAAUAAUUAAUUUGCCUUGUGAGCAAGCAACACAAUUGUAAUCAUUAGGCAUCAGAAUCUUCUGGUUCUUCAAGGGAUGCCCUAAAGAAUUGUUGAUGAUACGACACAUCAUGGAUAAUCCUGGAUGACCAAGACGUUCAUGCCAUAUCAUAAUAGUUUUUAAGUCACAAAACUUCUGGUUCAUGACAGCAUAUGACUUAAUGGGUCUAAUGAUUGUUUGAUAUAACCCACAAGAAUAAGAAGGAAGCUUUUCCAAGAUGUGUUUUUCCCCAUAAAUAAUUGAAGUAAUGAGAAGGUAUUCAUUACUAUCAUCAUUCAUAGUUUCAAUGUGAUAUCCAUUUCGGCGAAUAUCCUUGAAACUAAGAAGAUUUCGCUUGGAUUUAGUAGAAUAAAGGGCAUCAUUAAUGUGGAUUUUAGUUCCUUUGGGUAAAAUAAUAGUUGCUCUUCCAAAGCCUUGAAUCAAGUCUACAGGACUUGAUAUUGUAUUAACAUUAGACUUACCCAAUGAUAUGUUGGAAAAAUAUUUUUUAUCACGAAGGAUUAUGUGUGUUGUGGCACAAUUUGCAAGACAUGCAUCUACAUUGGAUGUCGUAUGAUAUACCAAGGUAUGAGAAAGAUCCAUGUAUCUUCAAGUAUAAAUAAAGAGAAUAAUUUAAGUAAAAUAUGGAAUAAACUAUAAAAGGUAAAUAAUAAACAAUGUGUUCAAAGAUGAUAACAAAAUAAACCUAUUUGCAAAGAACUAAAUAUAACGUUUAAUCAUAACAAACAUUUCCAUCACCAAUUAGAUGUUCAAUUUUCCCAUUAAGAUUCUCAAAGAAAUCCGAAACAUCUAAAUGGGUUGGAUCCACUUGGCCAUCACUAUCAAUGAAGUUUAUUUCAACUUCCUUUCCUUUUAUUUUUAUUGAGACUUGAUAAAGGUCAACAAAAUGUUUUGGAGUAUGACAAGUACGUGACCAAUGUCCUUUCAUGCCAUAUCUAUGAAACUUAUUCUCACGAGCAAUUUUACUUUGUGGUUCUUUCCCCUUUUCAGGUUGUGCCUCUGAAUUAUUCCACUUCUGGUGGUUUGAGUUGUUCUUUUUACUUUGAGAACCACUACGAUGAGAAGAAUUGUGUUUACCAUGACCUCAAUCACGACCACGUCCUCGACCUCGUCUAUAUCCAUGUCCUUGUUCAUGUCCAAGGGUUUGAACAGAUGUGGCAUUGGUUUCAAGCAAUGACAUAGACCCAGCAGGACGAGAUUGAUGGUUUUUCAAUAAUAGCUCAUUAUUUUGUUCAUCCACCAGAAGACAUGAGAUCAAUUCUGAAUAUUUAGUGAAACGACGCUCUCGAUAUUGCUGCUACAAGAGCACAUUCGAGGCAUGAAAAGUUGUGAAUGUUUUUUCAAGCAUAUCUUCUUCAAUGACCUUUUCUCCAUACAAUUUUAAUUGUGAGCUAAUUUUGAAUAGGGUCGAGUUGUAGCCACUAACAGACUUGAAAUCUUGUAAUCUCAAGUGCAUCCAAUCAUAGCGUGCCUUUGGAAGGAUUACGGUCUUUUGGUGGUCAUACCGUUCCCUUAGAUUAUUCCAAAGGAUGAAAGGAUCUUUAACCAUGAGGUAUUCCCUUUUUAAUCCUUCAUUAAUGUGAUGACGAAGGAAUAUCAAAGCUCUAGCGCGAUCCUGCAGGGAUGCGUCAUUUCCUUCUUUAAUGGUAUUUCCAAGAUUCAUCGCAUCUAGAUGAAUUUCAACAUAUAGAACCCAAGAUAAGUAGUUCUUCCCCAAAAUAUCGAGGGCAACAAAUUCAAGCUUUGCAAGGUUUGACAUUAUCUGAAACCUAUAUAUAAUAUUAAUCAGAGAAAUAUUUCAAUUAUAAUAAACUAAAAAUGCUUUAACAAUAUUUCAAGUAAACAAUAUCUAAAAAUAUAAUGACCUAAAAUUUAUAAAUAUGGUAAAAAUGUAGAAAUAUGAAAUAAGAAUUAAAAUUUAAUAUAUAUAUAUAUAUAUAUAUAUAUAUAUAUAUAUAUAUAUAUAUAUAUAUAUACAUACAUAUAUUUUUUCAUAGCUUCGGGCUAUGAACUUUCAUUAUGUAAAUUUGUACAUAGCUUCAGGCUAUGAACAUUUAUUUAUUUAUUUAUUUUAUAGCUUCUGACUAUAUAAUAUUGUUUGGUAUAACAUCGAGUUAUACCGUAUAAUUUAAAAUAAAUAAUUGAGGAUCAUAUACAUAACUUCUGGUCAUGUAUUUGUAAUUCUGUAAUUUUUUUUUCCCCAUAACUUCUGGUUAUAGGAAUUGCACAUAGUUUUAAUAACUUAUGGUUAUAAAUUUACCCCAUAACUUCUGGUUAUAGGGAUUAUAAUUGUUUUUCAUAACUUCUGGUGAUGAAUUUAUCCCAUAACUUCGGGUUAUAGGGAUUAUGAUUGUUUUUCAUAACUUCUGGUUAUGAAUUUAUCCCAUAACUUUUGGUUAUAGGGAUUAUACAUGUUUAUGUAUUCAAAUAAAAUAAAUAAAAAUAGAUAUCAAAAAGUAAUAAAAUAUAAAAUCAUGAUAUAAGUUUAUUACAUACCUUUUGUAGAGACUAGUCGUGCUGAUAACGUGUUAUAAAAUUAUAAAGUAAAAGGAGAAGAAAACAAGAAAGAGAAAUUAAAAUGUAAGAAGAGAAUGAAAUAGAUUUUCAUUAGGGGUGUCUCCGUUUUAUAGGGAGUCCCAAAGACAUAUACAUCAAAAUGGAUGAUCAUCCACAAGUUUCCAUCCGAUAAAUUCUCAUAUUUUAUAAUAUGUUAACUUUUAUAAAUCAAUUUUAUCUUCAUUAAUUUAAAAAUAUUUUAAAAUACAUGCAAUUUUUUACAAGUCAAAUAAUAUUUCCUAAAGUGACCUUUUACUUGUUAGGUUAAUAAUACUCAUUCACAGGUUUAUUUUAUUUUUUAUUUACAGUGGGAACUUAUUUGAAAUCAAUAAAAUAACAAAUUUUAAAAAUUAAAAUUACAAUUAAAACUAAAAAAAAUAAUUAAAGGUUAAAAAUAUAAAAUAAAAUAUUAACUUUUAAUUAACUAAAUCACAAUAGUAGAAAAUAUAGAUUUGAGAACUAAAAUACAAUGAUCAAUAUUUUUUUAAUUUUUAAGUUUUUUUUUUGUUUUAAUUGUAUUUAAUUUUUAUUUGUAUUUUCAAUUUUUAAAAUUUUUUAUUUUAUUAUUGAUGUCAACUAAUAAAUUUUUUUUCUAUUUUAUUAAAAAAAAAGAUGAGUGGAUUUAUAUAAUACAAGAUAUAAAAUUAUUAUUAAUUAAUAAAUUAUUAUAUAAUACAAGAAAUUAAAACCAUUUCUUGGUAAAAAGAACAAAAAUAUAACAAUGAAUAAAUUAAUUCCAUAUUUUAAAAUUAUUUAAUAUAAAUUAAUUUUCAAGAUAAAAUUCAAAAUUGAUAGAAAUAAUUAUUCAAUUCGUUAUUUAAUUUAAUAUAAAAUAGUACAUUCUCAAAAUUUUAUUAUUUAAUUAUAAAUAAUAAACUUGUGCUAAGUCAAUAUUUGAUAUGCAUAAAGGAUAUCCAUCUUUGGUGCUUAUGUGAAACAAAACCAGUUUGGUUUGGUCAUCGAAGUGGCUUUUAAAAUUAUUUAAAAUAUUUAAACUAAAAAAAUAUUUAUUAUUUAUUUAAAAUUAAAUAUUCAUUCUUUUAUGAGAUGUACCAAGAAUCAUUUAUUCACAAUGAUAAAAAGCGAGGUGUGUGGCUUUUAAAAGAAUCCAAGGAAUGACCCGACCCACCCACCACAAAAUUCAAAAGCAUCUUUCUUUUCCAGAAGAGAAAUGAGUAGGAAGUUGAGUGGCCUCCAAAAGAAUAUAAGAAAGGACCCACCCGCCACAAAAUUCAAAACCACCAUUGUUUCCUAGCAUUUGCAUUUGGUUCACAAUGGUCAAAAAGUAAGGGGUGAGCAUAGGGGUGGCUUUAUUUAAAGGAAUAUAAGGAAUGACCAAUCCACCACAAAAAUUCAAAAACACCUUCGAAUGAGUGGAUUUAUAUAAUACAAGAUAUAAAAUUAUUAUUAAUUAAUAAAUUAAAAAAUUUUAUUUACCACUUAAGGAUCUUGGAGAAUUUUUUCAAAAUAAUUUGUGUAUCAUAUUAUAUAAUAAAAAUUUAUAAUAUAUUUAUUUGUGAGAUACUUUUAUCAAAUUUAAACGAUAAAUUAAUUUUUGAUCAUUUUAUCUAAUAUUAUAAAAUAGAAGGGUAUUUUAAAAAAUAAUUAUAAAAAUGUAUGUAUUUUAAAAUAUUUUUAAAUAGAUAAAGAUAAAACUCAUUUAUAAAAGUUGAGGUUUCUUUUUAUAUAUUUUUUCAAAUUAGAGAGUCCAAACUCACUUUUCCCAAAAAAUAUAUAUAGAUUUAUAAAUAAAAUUUUAAAAUAAAUUAAGAAAUAAUCAUAAUAUAUCAUUAGUUAUUUUAUAUCCUAAAAUACAUUCAAACUAAAAAGAAUAUUAUUUUAAUAACAAAUGUGAUUAAUAAAUUUAUUUUAGAAUCUGACGAAUUUUUAUCAUACAUAAAUUAUUUUCUUUAAUAAAAUGACUUCAAUAUGUAUUAUUAAAGUUAUGAUAUUAUUUUUCUAAAAAGUUUUUUUCCAACAUUUCUUCAAUUAAAUAUGCAAGAAAAACAUCUACAAUAACAAGAAAAAGAUAGUCUAAUAUANNNNNNNNNNNNNNNNNNNNNNNNNNNNNNNNNNNNNNNNNNNNNNNNNNNNNNNNNNNNNNNNNNNNNNNNNNNNNNNNNNNNNNUUAAAAUAAUAAAAUUUAAGAAAGUGUUCUUUUAUUCCUCUCUUAUUAUAAUUAUAAAAUUCAAAAUCUUUUCAUUUGAUUUACUAAUGCUAUGUUCGGUUUAAGAAUGGUAGUAAAUCAAGAAAAAAAUAUUAAAAAAAAAUAUUUUCUCAUAUUUGAUUUUAUUAUAAAAAAUCAAAUAUAAUUAAAAUUAAUUAAAAUUUUAUAUUUUUUAAAAUUAUUUAUUUAUUAAUUACAUAAAAAUAUUAAAUUAAGUUAAAUAAGUUUAUGAUAAUAUAUAAAGUAAUUUAUUAACUUCAAAUUUAUUUUUAUUUUUCUUUUAUUUUAUUUUCUUUGCAUUUUCACUCAAAAUUUAUAAGAAUCAAAUAUACCUUAAAGUUUCAUUAAAGAAAUUAUGGGAGAAAAUGUUUUAAACAAGGAGACAAUAAAUCAUAAGAUAGGAAAAAAAAUUCCUAAUGGAGAUUUUUUAUUUAUUUAUGAAGAAAUCAUCUCUCUUCAAGACGAUUUUUUAGAAUUUUUUUUUUAAAAAAAGGAGAAAAAAAUAGUCUCUUAAAAAUUCAUUUAUAUAUAUAUAUAUAUAUAUAUAUAUUAAAUCUAAUUAAUUUUAUUUACUAAAUUUAAUAUAUAACAAUAUUUAUAAUUACUGAGAUAUUUAUUAACAAUAAUACUUAUAAAAAUGUAAAUUAUGUUUCACAUCCAAUAUUUAAAAAUAUUAUUUUAUAUUACGUUAUAUAUUGAUCUAAAAAAUAUUUUGUUCUUUAUCUUCAAUUUUAUUUUUAAAUUAAUUUAAUUAAUUAUAACUAAUAAAUUAACUUAAUUUUAUAUUAUUUUUUAUUUAUAAUAUAAAUAAUAUUUAUCUAUUACUUUUUGUUUCUUUUUUCACUCCAGAUUAAAAAAAAAAACUAUUAUCAAUUUUAUAUAAAAAUUGAGUUUAUAAAAAACAAAUUUAUUAUUAAUUUAUUUUUAAAAUUUAUUAAAUAAUCAUUUACAAAAUAAGUAAUUUUAUUUUGUUAUAAUUUUUUUAAAAAGGAAAUAAAUAAUGGAGACCAUUUAAAAAAAUAACAAUUUUUAUUUUUCUUUUUAACAAAAACUACAAUAAAUUUAAAAAUAUAUUUUUUAUAAUUUAAAAAUUAUUUUUUUAAACUCCCAUACUUGUCAAAACCCCCGGAAUUGGAUGUGGCGCCCAAGGGUUAAAGAGUCAUUGAAUAUAAGGGAAAGAAGCCAGAUGUGGAAUUGGGUGAAUGGCACUCAACCCAAGGGUUAGAAAAUUUCCCAAGGCAACAGACAACCCAUGUGCAUUUGUACAUAUGUGUGUCCAACCCCAUGUGGAAUUGGGUGCAUGGCACUCAACCCAAGGGUUAGAAAAUUUCCCAAGGCAACAGACAACCCAUGUCCAACUCCCUUAUAAAUGAGUAUGGAGGCAACCAUUUGAAAGGUCCCUUUGGGCCAGUGAAGCCAAGUGAAAAUAAGAACUUGACAUCUCAUUGUUAAUUUAUAAUUUAAUAAGUAAUUUUUAUCUCUUUGUUAAUAAUAUUAAUGAUUACAUUAUUUAAAAUUUAUUAAUAAAAAUUAUAUUAUGUUAUUAGAUAUAUAAAAAUAUUUUGUAUUUAUUAGUAUUAUUUUAUGUUGUAUUAUAGAUAUAUGUUUUUUUUUUUUUAACUCUUUUAGUCAUUUUAUUUGCUUUAUAAAAUGAAUGAUAUAAAACAAAUUUUAGAAAUGAAUUUAUGACCAUGGUUUAUGCAUGUUUUAUCUCAACUUAUAAUUAGUAUAUCUCGUAUAGACAAUAUAAGGGAAAAAAAAAAAUUCCUUCACUAAGACUAUUCCAUGUUUGGUUGAAUAUAUUUAUUAAUUCAUAUUUGAUUAAAUAUAAAAAUGAUAGGAGAUAAGGUAACUUACCUUUAAAUAUAGAAUAAAAUAUGUUUUUAUUUCCUCUUAUAUCAUAUUAUAUGGAGUUAAUCAAAUAUAAUAUUCAAACUUUUAAGCUACACUUUUAUGGGUAGAAUUUCAUAUUUUAAGAUGUUACUUCUAAAUAGAUAUGAUAUCAUUAGAUUUUAUAUCCCAUAGAAAAUAUAUCUUAAGAUAUUUUAUUGAAUAGAGUUUGUUAUGCUAUGGUUUGGUUUAUAACAAGAAUAAAAAAUGCUUAGAUAUUUUUAAAAAUAAAAACAAUAUCAUGAAAUCUCUCUCAUAUUCACUAUUAUUCACAAAUUAUUCUACAAUUUAUAAUUUAUUAAUUAGUUUUUUUAUUUCAUUGUUAGUAAUAUUUAUGAUUAAAAUAUUUAAAAUUUAUAGUGAAAAAUAUUAUACCGUUUUAUUAAAUAAUUCUUUUUUAACCAUAAAUUUAAUUUUUCAGGUCAAAAUUUCUUAUUUUGCACAUUAAAAAAUAAAAAUUGGAAAAAAAAUAAAUGUGAUGAAUAAAUUUAUGUCAAACUUUUAAGCUACACUAGACUAGGUAGAAUAGAAUAUGCAUAUUUAAGAUAUCAUGAAUAAGAUAUUCUAUCAAAUAGAAUUUGUUAUGCUAUAGUUUGAUUUAUAAAAAGAAUACAAAAUGCUUAGAUAUUUUUUAAAAUAAAAAUUAUAUUAAAUCCUAAUAUUUGUUACUAACAAAAUCAUUAAAUCUCUCUUAUAUUCACUGUUAUUUACAAAUUAUUCUAUACUUUAUAAUUAGAGUUAUCACAUGUUUAUGUUUCAAUCCUUGUUCUCUUUUCAUAAUCAAAUUAUUAGAUAUAUGUUUAUAUUUCAAUCUUCUUUCUCUUUUUAUAGCCAUUUCCACCAUAGAUAUUUUAUAAACUUUAAAUAGAACAUCAAUGUUUUGAAAAUUGGAUAGGACUAGUCGGUCUAGUCGAUCCAACUGUUGGCCGAUGAAGUUUUUGGAAAGUUUGGCCAUUCAAUUGGUUGCAAAUUGCCUAAACCGGCUAUCAAAUUGAUAAACUGGAUGAGCCGAUUCUUGGAGAACUGAAUGGUUCAUGCAAUGACCCUUUUUUUUUUUCUCACUGAAAAGCCCACUAACACAGGCCUAAGUUGCCCCAUUUACCCCUCUUUUAAAGGGUCCAAUUCAAAAGCCCAAUCCCUAAUUUCUUUUACUAGGCUCGUUCUUGAAUCCAUGUUCUUAAAUCUGAUGUGGGAUUGAUGUUUACGCUAUUAAAGUUGAAGGCAUCUAUUAUGAAAUAACAAGAAUGGGGAACAAGAAAAAAACAGAAUAAGAGCACAUAAAUUUAUGUGAAACCCUAAGCGGGAAAAACCAUAAGCGGAGAAAAAGAAAAUCCACAAUAUCAAAAAUUGGUACAAAAGGGGAGAGAUGUGAACGACUACUGCAUAAACAUAAACAUCCUAGCCCUAAAUCCUAUAUAUCAUCGCAUAUACGUAUACAUAUAUAUAUGUAUACAUAUACGUAUACAUAUACAUAUAUAUAUAUGGGAGAGUAAUAAAUAAAUAUAUGGGAUUAGAAUACCCAAAAAAAUCUCAUAAUUUUUUUCACCACAAAUGUCACAUCAUGAGCUCUUUUAAUCGGACCAAAUAGAAUUUGGGUCACCAAACUUUAACAUAAUAAAAGAAAAUCCACAAUUCUACCCACUAGACUCAAACCAAAGACUUGGAGCAUAAGGAAUGCCACAUAGAACCUCUAGGCUACAUGCAUUUUCAUGCUAAAUAUGGCAAACAAAAAAAACAUAUUCUUUCUUGAAAAUUUUAUAAUAUUAAAUAAAAUAAAAUAAUAUUUUUAAAAAUAAUAAAAUUAGUUAAAAUUCAGCAAUUUAAUUUUACUUCAGUUUCAAUAUAUUUACAUUUAAAUACUAUACAUAUUUUAUUUAAUAAUAUUUAAAAUAUUCAUAUAUUUAUAUUUAUGCAUGAUUUAAUUUGAUAGUAUCAAAGAUAAAAAAUAAAUAUUAUUGAUUGUUAAUUUAUUUAUAUAUAUAUAUUUUUUAAUUAAUUAAUAUUAUUUUAUAUAUAUAUAUGACGUCACUGGUUUGACCGCAGUUCAACUACCGACCUAGAUUAGUGAAACAUGAAUCGAUAACUUUUUUGAUUCAUUGUAUGAUUUAGUUUUAAAAACAUUAGAGAACAUGUAGCAUAAACAACAACCAAAUAUUAAAUAAACAAUAAGAUAAAGACACACUUAUAAGUAGAGAGCCCAAUCCUACUCCAAUUGGAGAGGAUUUUGUAAAUCCUAGGUAGCUUGUUUUUGGGAACCUAUAUAGAAAUGACUUUUAGUCUAUAAACUUUCACAGAAAGUAGUUUCUAUGACCCAAAUCCACCUAAAAGUGGUUUAUCAUUUCAUCUUCAACUUAUGUCUUAAAAGUCAAAAUCAAAAGCACAGAAAGAUGUGUACAGGAUGCAAGCCUCUCCCUAACAUGGAAGAUUCUAGAACUGAAAAAUAGAUCACAUGUCGACAUCCAUUCCAAAAAGUAUUUUUUUUUCAAAAGAAACCAAACAUAAACACUUUUCUAGAUAAAUUCUUCCUAGAAAAUGUCUUAUAUCAACAAAAUAGUAACAUGAGAAAAGAGCACAAACAAAAACAAGAAUGCCUUGCUAGCUCUAGUUUUGCCUUUGCUAAUAAAAUUACUAUACCAUAACAAUAGACUCAUGUUACAAGAGUAUUUAUAAGAAGUGAAGCUAAGUUUAGUCCUUGUAAUGAAAACUAAUGAGUUCCCAUAAGAGUCGAUCAAACCUUUAUCAAAUGAAAUAUUCAUUCCUUCCUGAAAUACAAAGUUGAUGAAGUUAGGUAAGAAGAGUUUUUUCCUUUCUAAUCAUGAUCAUAAUUUGUUAUUUGUUAAAAGUUCAAAAUAUUGCAUCUGCUUUUUGGUUUCAAUGAACUUAGUUAUCGAGCAUCUAAUGAUUUUUUCCGUAGCAUCAAACAAGGUUAAGGCAGCUUAGUGAGUUCCAUAAGCAAUUGUAAGUCUAAGCAUAUACCUAUAUUAAUUCUAUUAAUCAAUAAAAUGAAUAAAGAAUAAGGAAUUUUAGUAAGUAUCUUCAUUGCUUAAAUGUUUAAUAAUCAAUAUGAAUGAGGGAUAUUACCUUGGACAAUAAUUUGAGUUGGUGUUGCAAUAUUUUGGGCACUCCGCUAUUUGGUCUUUCAACACCACUUUCUUGUUGCAUUUUGUGUAUGCAUUAUACCAAGGUUCAUCCAUAUCACCAAUAUUGACAAUUCUUGCUUUAAAUGAAUAAUAAAUUUUCUAUAAAUUUAAACAAACAAUAAUAUUAAUUUAAGUAUCAUAAUCAAAUAAAUAUCAAUAGGUUUUUUCCCCCUUGUAGGAUAGGAUGUUAUAUACCUAGAAUUCCAAUAAUAGUCUUUCUAUUAAAUUAGUAAGCAUGACGCAUUUUGAGGAAAUCUUUAUUGGGUUUACUAUCCUUGGCAUUCUUGCAUUGAUGACCGAGUUUGACCUACAAAUUAGGUUUGUAGUUCAUAUUAAUACAGUAGUGGUAUGUGAACGUAGAGAAUUUUUUUUUUUUUUUUGAGGCAUUUACUUUUUAAAGUAUAUCAUUCCUUGAUUUUCGCAACUUCUUCCAAAAAAGUAUGGUAAUCAACAAUUAAUGUGGAUAGACAUAAAAUCCCCAAUUGUCAAUAAAAAUGUGUAUAUAUAUAUAUAUAUAUAUAUAUAUAUAUAUAUAUAAAACCAAUAAAUAAAAAUGUUUAAAAAAAUUAAAUAAUGUGUAAUACAUACUGUCAUUUGUUGUCAUCUUUGCUUUUGGUAAUGCAAUUAUUGGUUUUUAAGUGAUUUGCUCCUCCAAUAUAUGACCUUCAUUUCUUGUAAGAUUUCUCCAUAAUGUUAAUACAAUAAGUGUAUUGAUAAAACAAAGGCUAUGAAUAAUUAAGGAAAAUACCCAAAAGGGGGGGAUGAAUUGGGUUUUUCAAAAUAUUUUUCCACACAAUAAUAUAUGCACAAAAUAAAUAAAGGAAAGAGAUAAAGUUAGAGAAUUCAAACUGGGGGUUUAUAGUGGUUCGGCACUCCCUUGCCUAUGUCCACUCUCCUCAAUCUCCUAAUCGAGUGAGGGUUCCACUAACUUGAAGCUUCAAUCAAGCUUUCAAUCUUCUUACACUUGGAUUCCGGCUCCAAUGGGCUCUUACACAAUUUCUUCAAGAUUUGAACCACUUGAAGGCUUUCACACUCAGUUUACACAAAGAUGAAACUCUCAACCUAGCUUAAGGAUGGCUCAAGUACAAGAGAAAGCUAGGAUGAUUUACAAGAGUGCACUAAGAAUAUGCAAUUGAUUGUUUAAUGCACUAAGAAAGAAAUGAGAGCUUUUUGAUCAAGAACAGGUAGGUAGACAAUUGAUUAUAAAGGUUUUCUUAGUCAUAAAUGAAGUGGAGCUCUCAAUUUAUAGGUUUCUAAGCUCGGGAGACAAAAACAGCAGAAAGUAGCCUCAACCGGACGAGCAAAGGGUCGAUUGGAUCAAUAGCCGUUGGAGCAUUUAAUGCAUGACAGGUUAUCGUUGCCUCGACCGGACCUCGACCUGACCUCAAUCGGACAAGGGUGAGGAUCGACUGGGAAGAGAAAGCUACUGGGAGAGACAAAAGGUUUUUAUGCCUCCCUCGACCUGACCUCGAUCGGACAAGGGAAACCGGUCGACCGGUUAUCAAACCGGUUGAGCCGGUUGGCCAUAGCCUCGACCGGUUGAGCCUUUUGGCCCCGAAAACCUAUCUUUUUUUAUUUCUUUCUUUUCCAAUACUUAGGCAAGGUCUUUAGAUGAGUUAAUAUGCCAAUUUUGAAUCAAUUUGCCUAAGGUAUAUUUGAUAAAACUCGGGUUUUAAAGAAAAUCAAGUUUUAAAGAAUAAACCGAGUUUUCUAAGAUGCAUGAAAAGGUAUGAACAUCCUAAGUGCACUCAUGCUAUCAUCUUACAUUCAUUUCCUAUGAUCACAAGUCUUCCAAAUGAUCUCAAUCCCGUAUUCGUUUGGUCCUUGAUGAAUUUUUGAGAUUAUGCCUGAGAUUCUUAACAAUUUAAAACAAUUAGUCACUUAACCACGGUUUGUUAUCAUCAAAACCUGAUUAGGAGAACCCUUGGGCUAACAAUCUCCCCCUUUUUGAUGAUGACAAACCUUGGUUAUCUAGGAGACAGAGAAAUCUCCCCCUCAAACCAACCAUGGGAUAAUCAACACAAAAUUUAGGAAAUUUAAAGCGAGAAGACAAUGUAAAUCAAUAAGAGUGUCAUAUCAUAUAUAAGCAAGAGCAAGAAUACAUGAAAGCAUAAGUAUGAUAUGCAUGAAAAUGAAAGUCUCCUAAGGCCACUAUCCUAACAUAUCUCUCCCUUUGGCAACAUAAAAAAGAAACGAAGGGGGAUCCCAAACAAACUCAAGGCUGAGGAGGUGGUGGUGGAAACACAGAACGGAGGUAAGCCAUCAUCUCCUCGUGCUGAUUCUCCUGGCGGCUCUCAAGAUGCUCAAUCCUUUGUACGAGAUGCUCAAACUGAGAGGUGAAGUCGGCCUGAUACUGAUCGAUGCAAUCCUCCAUGGAAUAAAAGCGAGUAUCAUGGACUACGGCUAACUCCUCCAUACGAGUCCCGAGAGAGCUGAUCUGUGCCGACAAAUCCAUACAAGGUGGAUGAACAGGAGCAUGAGGAGCCUGAGAUGGUAGCUCGGUAAAUGAUGGCUGAGAUGAAGGGCCUGCUGUGAAGGACGACUCAAUCAUCAUAGGCUCUGAUACCAAUUGUUAGGAAUUUGAGGCUAAUCCAACUUAUGGUAAUCACCCUAGAGGGGGGGGUGAAUAGGGUGAUGGUCUCUUUUUCACAAAUUUAAACUAUGCAAAAAUAAGAGACAAUUAUAUGCAAAUAUAUAAUAAACAAAAUAAAGACAAUUGCAUAUAAUUUAAAAGAGUUAGGGAAGAGAGAGUGCAAACACGAGAGUUUAUAGUGGUUCGGCACUUCCUUGCCUACGUCCACUCUUCUCAACCUCCUAACCGAGUGAGGGUUCCACUAUCUUGAAGUUUCAACCAAGCUUCCAAUCUCUUUACAAUUGGAUUAUGGUUCCAAUUCACCCUCUUGGACUUUUGGCUCCAAGCACCCUUUACACUUCUCAAGAGUUAUCCCACUCUUGAACAACCUCUCAAGUGAUGCCCCUCACUUGAGAAAAUUCCUCUAAAAGAUUUACAAAUAAAAUGAUCUCUCAAAAAUCCUAGCACAAGAACUUUAAGCUCAAAUGAUACAAGAGAAAACUAAAAUUGAAUGGUGCACUAAAGAUAUGAAAGUUUUGGAAUAAUGGUGCACUAAAAAAUACUCUUCCAAGGCUCAAAUAUAAUCAAGAAAGAUUUGGGAAGGUUUAGCUUAUGAAACAAUGAAGUUUGAAGUCUUUUUAUAGAAGAAAAAAAUCAUACUAGCCAUUGGGGGUUCGACCGGUCGAGCUAGGGGUCGACCGGUUAACUAGCCGUUAGGAAAAGUGACCGUUGGGCCUUAACCGGACCUCAACCGGACCUUGACCGGACCUCAACCGGUUGAGGUUCAACCUUGACCGGGAAGUGAAGGUCAUUGGGAGAGAGAGAAACUUUUUGGCCUCCCUCAACCAGUCCUCGAUCGGACGAGUACAACCGGUCGACCGGUUGAACCGGUUGAGCCAUUUUUUUGGCUAAACACUCAACCCAUUUCAACUUAAAACCUUUUUAACACAAGUUUGAAAAUCAUUUAACACAAGGUUUUAGUUGAAAACAUGAAAUCAUCCAAUUCUUAAGAUAUUUAAAACAAUAUUACUCUUGGAUGAUUUUGGUGCAUAAAUAAAGAAUGAAAUGCAUGAAAGUCUUAGUGCACCAACAACCUUACAAAGAGAUCUUAAGAAGCUUUGGUCUUGAAAAACUCUUCUCUUUGAGGUGGUCUUCUUUUUCAUGAUUUCUCCUUGGCUUGAUUUGUCUUUGGAUUGCCACUUUGGAAGUCGUCUUGCCUAAUCACACUUGAAAUAUGAUCAUUAGUUCUAAACCUUGUUUUGUUAUCAUCAAAAUCAAGAUUAACCAAACUUUGGUUUCACAAUCUCCCCCUUUUUGAUGAUGACAAAACUAAGGUUGCUAAAAAACUCCCCCUCAAUAUAUGCUCCUUUGAAUUUAGAAAAUUUUCAAGUUUAGAAACUUCAAGGAGUAUAUUAAGGAUGCUCAAAAUGAUAUAGUCAAACAUAAAUAGCAUAAAGAGCAUUUAGCAAUUUGGCAAGACAUUAUUAUUAAAAAGGAUGCAUACAAAUAUAACCAAUAAAGCACAUAACAUCAAUAUGAAUAGGAUUGCUAAAACAAUAUUUGAAAUAUCUUUCCAAAUUAGCAACCUACCAUUACUUCUCCCCUUUUUUGUCAUCAACAAAAAGUUUUAAUAAAGUAUAUAAGGGGAAUCACAUGUUAUCAAAAAAUAUAAUUUCUCAUAAAAAUGAAUCUCCCCCUUUUUCAUUUGAGAAUAGUUUCCAAAUAAAAGAUUUCUCAUCCUUAGAGCAUUCCCAAUUUAAAGCAUGAUUUGGAAAACAAUAUAUGGGAGAACACAUGCAUUUAAAAAGAUAUUUAACAUGAAUUAAAUAAAACUUUUAGGGCACACAAGCAUAUGAUCAUUUAAUUUUACCUAGGUAAAAAAAAUCUUCUUUUUAAAACCAAAACCUUGGUUUAACAAAUAUACCAAUUUUAUCAAAGUGAUACCAAAUGUUAUAUUAUUAAAAAAUAUACCAAGUGUUAGCAAAAUGAUAUUGCAAAUUAUGCUUUAAAAGGGAUACCGUUACCAAUAUUGUCAACGCGUUCUUUCCAAGGUAAGCAUAUCCUCCUUUUUGCAUGGAUCCCUACAAAACAAUUUUAAGAAACCUUUGGUACCCAUAUCUUUUUGGGUCCUAAAGGGUUAGUCUUUCUUUCCUUUGGAAUCCAAAAUUAUUUAGAGUUUUGAAGAACAUGAGAGGAUUUUCAAAUAUCACCAAAGUGGCCUCUUCUUUCACAAAAAGCGCAAAUAGUUAAAGGCGAAAAACUAGGGGUUUCCUUUUAAAAAAAUCGAUUUUUAAAAGGCUUGUAGGCUAACCUCUUUUUAUCAAAAAUGCAUUUUUUGAUUUGCCAAAAUCAUAUCAAAAGUCUUUUGGCCAUUUGAGAAUUUUUAGCCUCAUUUUCCUUUUCAAAAGGGAUUUUUGUCUUCUCAAUAUUUUCAAAAUUUUCAUUAUCCUCAUUGAGCUCAUUUAGAAGACAAGAAAUCUUUUUCUUGAGAGGGAUAUUUUUGGAACCAAGUUUUUCAAGAUUAAAAUAUAAUUUUUGAAGCUCAUCUUGAAAAUCAAAAUGGUUAGAGUUGGAGUUUACCUCAUCACUUUCACUUUCACUAUUUUCUUCCUCAUCAUCAUUUGUUAUAGCCAUAAAGGCUAUACUUUUCUCAUUUUCUUCAACUCUUUGAUGAUUGUACAACUCUAUCUCAUAAGUCAUGAGUGACCUAAUGAGUUCUUCAAGUGAGAGCUUGGUGAGAUCAUUCUCUUCUUGAAUAGCCGUCACUUUUGUUUCCCAUUUCCUUGGUAGAGACCUUAAGAUCUUCAUGACUUUCUCUACUUCAGUGUAGGUCUUUCCCAAGGCUUCAAGUUCAUUCAAAAUCACAAGAAACCUAGAAAACAUCUCAACAAUAGAUUCAAAAUCCUUUAUAGAAAAUAAUUCAUAAUCAUGCAUAAGGAUAUUGAUUUUAGACUCUUUAACUUGGUCGUUUCCCUCAUAAGUGACUUCUAAUAGUUUCCAAAUUUCUUUAGCCGACUUACAAUACCAAAUACGAUUAAAUUCAUUUCUAUCAAUAGCACAAUGUAAGAUAAAAACGACUUUGGCAUUUAAUUGAACUUUCUUUCUAUCAAGUUCAUCCCAUUCAUGCUUAAGUUUUGGAACCAUCACUCCAUUUUCUAAUUUUGAAGGAAUGUGGGGACCAUCUUCAAUGACAUCCCAUAAAUCAAGACUAGUAGAUUGGAUAAACCAAGUCAUUUUAUUUUUCCAAUAGGGAUAGUCGGUUCCCGUGAAAAGUGAAGGUCGGGUGGUUGAAAAACUUUCAAUUUUGGAUAAGCUUGAUGGAAUAGCCAUUACUUCUUAGACGGUUAAGUCUUAACAAGAAGCCUUGCUCUGAUACCAAUUGAUAAAACAAAGGCUAUGAAUAAUUAAGGAAAAUACCCAAAAGGGGGGGGGGGGGGGGGGGAAUUGGGUUUUUCCAAAUCCUUUUCCCCCCAAAAAUAUAUGCCCCAAAAAUAUAAAGGAAAAAAAUAAAGUUAAAAAAUUCCAACUCCGGGUUAUAGGGGUUCGGCACCCCCUUGGUUACGUUCACCCCCCCCAAUCCCCCAAAUGAAUAAGGGUUCCCCUAAAAACUUUCAUCCAGCUUUCAAUCUUCUUACCUUUGGAUUCCNNNNNNNNNNNNNNNNNNNNNNNNNNNNNNNNNNNNNNNNNNNNNNNNNNNNNNNNNNNNNNNNNNNNNNNNNNNNNNNNNNNNNNNNNNNNNNNNNNNNAUUUAAUUGAAUUUUCUUUUUAUCAAGUUCAUCCCAUUCAUGUUUAAGUUUGGGAACCAUCACUCCAUUUUUUAAUUUGGAAGGAAUGUGGGGACCUUCUUCAAUGACUUCCCAUAAAUCAAGAUUAGUAGAUGGGAUAAACCAAGUCUUUUUUUUUUUCCAAUAGGGAUAGUGGGUUCCCGUGAAAAGUGAAGGUCGGGGGGUUGAAAAACUUUCAAUUUUGGAUAAGCUUGAGGGAAUAGCCAUUAUUUUUUAGACGGUUAAGUUUUAACAAGAACCCUUGUUUUGAUACCAAUUGAUAAAACAAAGGUUAUGAAUAAUUAAGGAAAAUCCCCAAAAGGGGGGGGGGGGGGGGGUGAAUUGGGUUUUUCAAAAUCUUUUUCCACACAAUAAUAUAUGCACAAAAUAUAUAAAGGAAAGAGAUAAAGUUAGAGAAUUCAAACUCAGGUUUAUAGUGGUUCGGCACUCUCUUGCUUACGUUCACUCUCCUCAAUCUCCUAACUGAGUAAGGGUUCCACUAGAAGCUUCAAUCAAGCUUUCAAUCUUCUUACAUUUGGAUUCCGGCUCUAAUGGGCUCUUACACAAUCUUUUCAAGAUUUGAACCACUUGAAGGCUUUCACACUCAGUUUACACAAAAAUGAAACUCUCAACCUAGCUUAAGGAUGACUCAAGUACAAGAGAAAGCGAGGAUGAUUUACAAGAGUGCACUAAGAAUAUGCAAGUGAUGGUUUAAUGCACUAAGAAAGAAAUGAGAGCUUUUUGAUCAAGAACAGGUAGGUAGACAAUUGAUUGUAAAGGUUCUCUUGGUCAUAAAUGAAGUGGAGCUCUCAAUUUAUAGGUUUCUAAGCUCGGGAAACAAAAAUAGCAGAAAGUAGCCUUGACCGGACGAGCAAAGGGUCGACCGGAUCACUAGCCGUUGGAGCAUUUAAUGCAUGACAGGUUACCGUUGCCUCGACCGGACCUCGACUGAACCUCAACCGGACAAGGGUGAGGAUCGACCGGGAAGAGAAAGGUACUGGGAGAGAGAAAAGGUUUUUGUGCCUCCCUCGACCUGACCUCGACCGGACAAGGGAAACCGGUCGACCGGUUAUCAAAUCGGUUGAGCCGGUUGGCUAUAGCCUCGACCGGUUGAGCCUUUUGGCCCCGAAAACCUAUCUUUUUUUAUUUCUUUCUUUUCCAAUACUUAGGCAAGGUCUUUAGGUGAGUUAAUAUGCCAAUUUUGAAUCAAUUUGCCUAAGGUAUAUUUGAUAAAACUCGGGUUUUAAAGAAAAUCAAGUUUUAAAGAAUAAAUCGAGUUUUCUAAAAUGCAUGAAAAGGUAUGAACAUCCUAAGUGCACUCAUGCUAUCAUCUUACAUUCAUUUCCUAUGAUCAAAAGUCUUCCAAAUGAUCUCGAUCCCGUAUUCGUUUGGUCCUUGAUGAAUUUUUGAGAUUAUGCCUGAGAUUCUUAACAAUUUAAAACAAUUAGUCACUUAACCACGGUUUGUUAUCAUAAAAACCUGAUUAGGAGAACCCUUGGGCUAACAUGUAUCAUUAUUAUAAUAAACAUGAAUAAAAUAUGUUAUAAAGUUAUAACUAUUAGAAUCUAAAAAUAUUAAUUCUAAAAGAGUAUAAAUAAGUAUGAUGUAUUCAUGAGUUUAACAUUGUGCUUACAAGUGUCAUAAGAAGGUCCAUGUCUCUUUAUGAAAAUAGAAGGAUCAACCUUCACAACACCAGUUAAUAAAUCUAUAAGGAAAUAUGAAAACAUUGAAUGUUGGUAUUUUAAAAUUGUAAAAAUGAAAUGAAAAUUUCUAAAUAAUAUAUAUCUAUUUACUAAUUAGAUCACUAGUUUCUAAAUGUUGGUUGAUGUCAUUAAAUUGGAUGAAGUUAUAUAUAGGAUUUGACAAGUCAAUGCUAAUUGUCACCUCCUUCAAUCGGGAAUGGAUAGAUAGCGUUAACUCAAGAGUGUUAUGAACAUUUAGAAAAUUAGCAUUCACUUGUUUGACCAAUCCAUUUGAAAUAAAAUAUGUUUUUUCCUUGAUGAAUUCCUUCUCGAACAUGUCAAUUGCAUCAUUGAAUAAAAUUGUUUGCAUUCUUGUGCCUUAUGAGAACAUAAAGAGAUAUUUAGAUGCAUGCCUAAAUUAAGCAAAAGGUAAAUCAAAGUAAACAUGAACAUAAUUAUAAAAAAAACUUAUCAAACCUUAUCAUCCAUUAAUAUUAUCUUCCAAAAUUUUCAAGAUCCUUUUGAAGUAUUAUACAAUUCUAUUAAUUCUUGAUAAAGAACAAACGCUUUUAUAAUCCAAUGCUUGUGAAAAGGUCAAAACAUGCUAAGAGGUAUAAAGCCCCAUUCAUUAAUUUCUUCAUUAGACAUUGUGGCUACAAAAAAUUGAAGAAUUAAAUUAGUUAGGAUAAGAAAUCUAACGGUAAGAAAAAAAAGGAAACUAAUUAAUUAAAAUAAUGAAAAGCAGAAAGUAUGGGUAGAUUCAUUACCCUCAUGGAAUUAAAACUUCUUUAUAUACCACAUUCUUAGUAUAAGAUCCUUUGCCAAUGGUACAUUUGGGAGUGCUUUCUUUAAUGAGGACUUUUGUUGUUGUCAUUGAAGUAUCACGUGACAAUGAACAUAUAAUUGACCAUGUGAGAAGAUAGUUUGUGGUAAAUAUAUGCCAACAUAUGUAAUUGUUUGGCCUUAUGCUUUGUUUAUAGUCAUUGCAAAACUAAGUUGAAUUGACAAUUGCAAUCGUUUGAAAUGAAAAGGGUAUUCUUCAUUUUCUGCAGGUGAAAGAGGUAUUCUUGGGAGUAACACUUGUUUUCCAGCCUAUUGCCCUAUUGUAAUUUCUACAAAUAUUACAUUUGACUCAAAACCUUUGUACACCAUUCUAGUCCCGUUGCAAAGUCUAUUUGAUGGAUCUAAGUUCCGUAAGAGCAUGAUAUGACAAUUCUUCUUUAAGACUAACUUAUGAGGAGGAAGCCCAUUUGGUGUUAAUGUAUUAAAAAAUUCUUCUUCGUAAUAAUUUUGAGUAUCAUUAAUUGCAGAGUCGAAACUGUAAUAUGUUCUAGAUUCCCUUGGAAACGUUUAAUUCAAUGAGCUUUUCAUUUAGCAUAUCAAUAUUAUCAUUUUUUUUUUUUGUUGUAAGGAUAGCUUAUUCUAUGAUAUAUUCAACUAAGUGUGUAUGAUCUUUUAAGUGAAUGAAAGACAUUGUUAAUCAAACAUUCUUUGGAUUCUCAUCAUCUCCAUGUUUUAUCAAUUCAUUAGGGAUUUCUAUCAUAUCUUCAUCUGUUAUGAGUUCAUCACCAUUCCCAACAUGUAAAAGAAAGUCGCUAAAAAUGGUAUUAGAAAGAGCCCUCAUGUUUGUAGUUAAUCUUAAUUUCUCCAUUUUAGGCCAAAGGUAAGACAUAACUAAACUUGCAUUAAUAGUUUAAAGUUUUGUGUCUUGAAGUACAACGGGUAGCACUUGUCAAAAAUCUCCUCAAAAAACAAUAACCUUUCUAAUAUUAAACUAAAAAAAUUAAAAAUUAAAAAUUACAUAGGUCAUAUCAUUAUGAUCCACAUUAUUGUAAAAUAAAAAAGCUAGAACUAAUACUCUCAAUUUUCUAAUAAUCAAAUUGCAAAAGCAUGGAUUUUUCCAAAAAGUAGCCAAACCAAAACUGAAAGAGCACAAGGUCAAAAGAAAAAGGAAAAGUAAACUCCAAAAACCCUUUUAAUUCUUUGCUUUGCACUUAAUUCUUGCUCUAUUUUAGUAGAAUAAGGAAACACCAAACCUUUUUCACAAGCUAUUCAUGCAACAAUCAUUUGUUUUAAAACCAUUUUUGUUCACUUCCCAUUCCAAAAACUACUUCAAUUAGAAGAUCUAAUGUGGUAGUUCCUUCCUUCAACUAAAGGAAGAUUUUUUAAGCAUCAAAAUCUUGGAACUUAAUAAAGAACUCCCACAUUUGCCUAUAGUGUUAUUGUCUCAAUUUUUUGAAAUCUAUUGUAGACACUCUACACCAUUAAGAUGCACAUAUGUCAACAAGAUAGAAGAAAAUUUGGUUUGUUUUGAACAUUCUUUGUAUUGGAAAUGUCCUAACCUAUUUGGAAAUGACUUACCAUCAUGAUUAACCAAUUAUGCAAUUAAUAUAGUAGUUUUUAGCUAAUAAUCAACAUAAUAGGACUCUAGUAAGCUAUUUCCUAUGUCUUGGUAACUAAGCAAUGUUCCCGCUUUUCAAGUUUUCAUUGAGGAUCCAAACAUACAAAGAUGGAGAGAUUAAAUAUUUUAUCAAAUUUUGACUUCAAAAAAAGUAUGGAAAUAUUUUCUUGAUGUUAAUAAAAAUGAAUACAAUUUUUCUAUAGGAAAAUAAAAAUUAAUAAAAGGUGCCUAAUAAUAUAGGGGGAUCAGAUGCAUCGUAUACAAAAGUGAUAAAAGGAACAAACAACAAUAUAUAUUACAAAACAUGACAUGGAAAGGCAUUGGGUAUGGGAUAAUUUAUGCAAUGUGCCUAUUGGUAGCACAUGUAAACCAACAAGCAUGUUCUCCAUUAGUGUGAACUUGUAAAAAUGGAAACAAGUUCCUACAAAUAGGAGUUGAGAAGAUGAGAGAGAAUAUUAAUGAGAGGAUGGUAUUGAUAACAAAACCUUAAAAUUUUUACCUUUAAAAGAAAUAGAUGAAUUGGACAGACCAAACUCAUAGCACCUUGUUUAAGCAACAAAUUCACAAGCCUAAUCUUCUCACAAUCACAAUCUAUUGCAAAUUAUUCUAGUUAGACCAUACCCCCAAUCCCCAAUUCAAAACUUGAAAAACAAAGCUAAAAAACUAAUCCCAAAUCAAAGUUUGAAGUAAGCAAAUAAAACCUAUAAACAAACCUCUGUAACUGCAUUUUCUACCUAAAAAUUCAUCAAUCACUAGUUCAAAAUAUUUAACAUUAGAAAGCAAAAAUCAAUAAAAAAAAUUCAUAAUAUUUAACAUCAAAAAGCAAAAAUCAACAAAAAAUUCAAAAUAUUUAAAAUCAAAAAGCAAAAAACAACCCUGCUAUACAACUUGAAAACACAAGAGGUAAAUUGCAAUAUAAUUGAAAAAAAAAACAAAAUUAAACAAUUUAUAAUUCAACAAUUUUAUAAUUUCACACCAUCAAAAUUAACUCAAAUAAUUUUACCUUUUUAAAAAUCUCACUAUAACAAUGAGCAACUUGACCAUAUUUUGGCAAAGAUAUCUACCCCCAAUUCUAAGCAAAUUUCUAGCUUGUCGAAUAAAGGACUGACAUUAGAAAAUGCAAUCAAUCUAUUUAUUAUACCAAAUUCAAAGAUGGGGGAAUUUUUCUUAAAAAAGAAUAUUAUAUUUGAUAGCAUAAUGUAAUAUAAUACUUGGAAAACUAAAGUAAUAACCUAAAUUCCCUCGAGGUUAAAAAAAAGAGAAUGGAAGCAGUAGAUUGAAAGGGAAGUGAACAUGGAAAAUUAGGGAAUAAUGUAGAAAGUUAGAAGAAGAACCAAAAAAGAAGACAUCCAUAUAUAUGGUUACAAUGGUAAUCGAUGCAUGGUAGAUUGAAUGAUUGCUAAUGAAUAUAAUUUACUUAGUCACUUGAUUCUAAAGAGUUAAUGGAGAAGAUUGAGUGGCGCAUACAUGAAAUUGCAAUAAAUCCAAUUGGUGGCUUUUAGAAGCUAGGGUUUCUAGUUGGGUCCUCACAACAAGAAACAUGGACAAAGAGGUGGAAGACACGCUUGUUUUCCCAAGUUGUUGCCAUGAUUUCGCUGGUGGCUAUGGAAGAUGGAGAGAUGCGACCAUAUAUUGUGACAUCUUUGCUUUGUGAAGUUGAGAGGGUUACUUCAUUGGCUUCGAUGAGCUUAUUAGAUGUUGUUGCCUUGUAAAACUAAGAGUGUUAUUUCAAUGGUUUCAAUAGAUUUAUUAGACGUUUAGGCUUGGCUAUUAAAUUGAGCAAGAAUAUCUAUGAGAUUAUUUAAAUCUAUAAAGUAUUUUUGGAAUAAAAUUAUAUAUAUAUAUUGAAAGGAUAGAGUUAAAGAGUAGGAAAUGAGAACGAAAUAUUCAUCCCGUUUUUUAUUAAAAUUAUUUAUUUUCAUAGAAACUAAAACUCAAUUUUUAUUAUAUGAUAGUAUGAUUCCUAUUCAUUUCCCUUUAUAUUUUGCAUAUUAGGUUAAAUUUUAAGGCAAUAAUAAUAUUAUUAUUAUUCAAAUGAUCAUUUAAUAGUAAAAAUUAGAAAUGAUAAUGGGAUGAACUUAGAAGGGGUCCUUCCAUCCAAGCCUUGCCUCUAUUAUUUAAACAUAUUCUUAUCUUUAUCUCAUAGGAAAAUGUUUAAAAAGGGAGAAGAGCAGUGAGCGAGUUUCCCUUUUUUUUUUUGUCUUUAAUUUUUUUAAAGCUUAAUUAUAUUUAAAAGAAGUGUGUGGUAAAAACAAAGCAAUACUUGAUUCUAACCAUGGUUAAAAAAAAAAAAAAAAAAAUCUAAAUCGGAUCUGUUUAUCUUUAUUAGUCAAAACUAAAACUUUUCCAUUAGAAGUCAAGAAUGAUGGGUAUCCGCAAAAAAACCUACCUCUUUCCCAUCUUUAGUAAAAAUGAUUGAAAAUUUUGAAAACGGAAGAAGGAAAAACUAUAUAUUAAGACUGUGAUGAGAGCAAUGCUAACCUCAAGGGCAAGUGUCAAGUUGCCAAUGACAGUGGCAACAUAUUGAAUCUUAAGGGAGUGAGGCAAAUAGGAUGCCAUGGCCCCAUAAUCAUUUCCUCCGAUACUAAACAAAUAGACAGCUUUCAUUAAUAGCUUCUUGGCUUCUUCACUACCCAGUUUCUUCCUCAGCAAUUAAAUUCUAAGAUUUAGCUUCACAAAACAAGUGCACCAUGGAGCUAUAUAUUAGAAAAAAAUAAAAGGAGAUAUAAAAUAAUUAGAAGCAUAAAAUAAACAUUAUUUUGUGUGUGUACUCUCUUUAUUAUGAGAAGCCAUAUAGAGAUCCACUAGCUGCUUAGAAAAUCCAGGGCUUGAGCCUAGUCUUUGGAUACUUGGGCUGGGUACGGGCACACAGAAUCGGGUCAAGCCUAUACCUAGAUAUGACAAUAGGGCAGGUAAUUUAGAAGACCCACCCCAUCCCACCUUUAAUGAGGCAUGCUUAGUAUAGAUAUAAAUUGGUUUUCUACCUUUAAUAAGACAAGUCUAGGAUAGAUAUGAAUGGGUUUAGGGAACAUUUUUUUAAUCGGCGGGUUGAAGUAUUGGUUUGCCUUGCUUCUCCUAUCCAAAAUAUAUAUUAAAUUAAUAAGAUAUAAUUAAAAUCUUAAAUUUACUUCUCAUUAAAAUAUAAAAAUUUAUAUAAAAAAAAGAUUAUUUAAUAUCCAUUUGAUACACUUCUUACAUUCUAUUUUUAAAAUAAAAAAACAGUACUAAUUUUUAUAUAAUAUAACAUAAUUUUUAAAUGUUUACAUUGAAAAGCUAAUGAUUUUAAAAAUUAUUUAAAAAAACUAGGGUUUAAAAAAAUUACUAUCUUAAAUUUUAAAAUUUUUUAAAAUGAUUUUUAAAGAUACAAGGUAAAAAUAUAUAUUUAUUAAAUUUAUUCAUGGGUUCUAUUUUUAAAAAUAAAAAACAAAAAACAAUCCAAGUAGACACUUGAUUAUAAAUUUAUUUAUUUAAUGAGUUACCCAUCGUAAACCCUCUCGUCACCGUAGUUCAUGUCCCUUCCUAAAAUAAUCAAAGCGGCAUAAUCGGACAACCCAUUGGGCCCUUGAUAAGCAAGCCUUUGCAAUCAGCCCAACUAGUUUUCCAACUGAGUUGGGCUGUUUGGAAAAGCCCCAAUUUUUGGCUGUUUGGGAAGCAAUGCACGUGACCUUCCUCUACCUAAUUAUUUCUGCAGCAGUAUGGCGCUCUCCAGUACACGCCCCCACGCUGCUCAGAACCCACGGGACCUUUGUCCCUUAUCAACAUCUUCAUCAUCUCCGAACUUAAGAGUUCUAGUUUUCUCAAAAUAAUAAUAAUAAUAAUAAUCAUAAUAAAUCUUUUUUAAAUUGAAAACAAAUUAUUACAUAAAUCUGUCGAAAAAAUAAAUUAAAAAAAUUAUAAAUUUUGAAAAUGAUCAAACAGACCAUUCCAGGAUGUGUUUAAACUAAGACAACCGCUCCACCGGAUGCAAACUUCGCCCCAUUGCUAAAAUCAAUGGGACCCGGUCGCAGACAAACAGUGCAGUGUGGUUUUCAGGCAGCCGCCGGAGUGAUGAGCAGCAGCUCUGCAGGUGGUGAUGGGAAUUGGGGAUGAAGAUGGCUGCAUGGAUGAGGAUGAUAGUAGAGAUGAAGGAGAAGAUAUCAUAAGUUGCCAUAGCUUGUGUUUGUUGGGUUGCUCCUUCUAUAUUCACUCUAGCUGAUUUAAUCAAGUUAACGUCACUAGGGUCAAAAAUGAAUUUUUAUUUUUGUGGUCUAUGUUGGGAUUCCUUGGGGUAAUUAUUUGACAUGUGAACAACAAAACUAGGAGAAGGCCAACGUGUCUGAAGCACCAAUCACUCUCAACUUCUAUUUUUCCUCCAAGAAAAAAAGAAAAGAAAAUGAGAUUAGACAAAUUUCAUUGGAUUGUGAAGUUUAAAUCAGUUUUGUUAUAUUUUGCUCGGAAUGCCGUGGGUUGAGUUGUCCGAUCAGUUCAUGGGGUUGAGUUUGCUCCUAUUACAUAUUUAACUUUUUAUGUUAAAAGUUUUGUUUCUUAGAGAGUGUGAUCGUAAUUGAGAAGUGUUUUUCAAGAUUUUCAUCACUGCAACUCUUCUCAAUUUUCUUAAUUAAUGGACUGUUAAGUAUUGGUGUAUUUGUGGAUAUAGAGAUUACAUUGAUCGUCGAGCCACAUUAAAAGUCCUAUAUUUUUCUGUAUUUUCUACUUGUAUGCAUACGUGAUUUGAUUAACAAAAACUUUUCACAAGACCGCUCAACGUGGUCUUUCUCUUAAAACAACUAAAACAACUUCUCAAAUAAUCUCCUGAAUCAAGGCAUGCAAACACAAAUAUAGCCCAUACUCAAACAUUUUAUUACAUAAUUGUUCGCUAUUUAAAGAUCAAAAUGCAAAUACAAACCCAUAUAAUCCAUUUAUGCUCAUGAUAGAGUUACCAAGGGCUAAAUCAUGACUAUAUUUUUUUAUUAGGGUGGAGGCGAAUUGGGAAGCCAUUCAUAGGAAUAGGUGAAUGCGUGUAUGUAAUCUUCUCAUUUGGAUCUACUUUCUCCCAUUUGAACCUUGUCACCACAUUAUGCAUGAACACUAGUAGCUGCAAUCAAGCAUAUUCCUUCCCUGGACACAUCCUUGGUCCUCCUCCAAAGGGCGCAAAUGAGUAUGGUGCAGGCUACUUUCCUUCGAACCUCGAUGGAUCGAACUUCUCAGGAUCGGGGAAGUACUAGGGAGCCAUGUACGUUGAAAUUACAUUCCAAUGUGUCUGCAAGAAAUCAACACACUUUUUGUAAUUUUUUUUAAAAUUAAAUUUUAAAAUGAAUCAAAUAUGAGUUAAAUAAAUUAUGGUUAUAAUUAUAUUAAUUAAUAUAAUUAUUAAAUGGAUUGAUUAAAAUUAAAUUUAUAUAAUCAUGUUUACCAUACAGAUUAUAUAAGUCAACAACUUAUCAUCAACUUAAAUUCGAGAAAAAUAUGCCAGAUUCAGUCAUGUUAGUGAACUGUAUCAAACUUAGCUAACCAUAACCUAAACUAACUACAAGGAAAAAGGUAUAUGGUGACAUUUAUAACGAGUCACCAUAAACAUAAGGUGUUACUACAACAUAGCGUCACCUUCUCCACUGACACCAUAGAGGGUACCAAUUGGUAACGUAUUUGGAAGUGACACCAAAGUAGAUAAAUGGUGACCCAUUCAGAAGUGACACCAUAUAUUUCUAGUGAUGAUAGGGUGUCACAUUAAAUACAUCAUCUUUGAGUUAUGAUGUCACAUUAAAUGCAUCACCUUUGAGUUAUGGUAUCACAUCAUUGUAAAUUAUUGUGGAAUAUAUGAUUGGUUUUAGUUGUUGAUUUUUGUAAUGCUUAUGAAUUAAUAAGAUUAACCUGUUUAUAUUUUGUCCAUAAAUAUAACAAUCAUAUUAUAUUUAACUCAUUUUUCUGUAAUGUUUCUGGAAUAACUCAUAAUACAUUGAUCAUCUAAUAAUAUUUGUAUAUCAAAUGUUCACAAAAGGAUAGUACGUCCAACAUAUCAAAUCCAUCAAAACUAAAAAAGAAGAGUGAAUACAUACCAAAACAUGAUUUAGAAAUGUUAAAGAUCCCAAGAUUCAUGUAUACCUCCAUUUCAUAAGCAUAAAACCGGCUAACCAUAAAAUGACAUAGAAGUCCCAUCUAAAAAUCUAAAUUUCUCAAUUGCAGUUAAAGUAACAUUUAUGUCCUACAACGUAUGACAUAAGAGUUGCAUUUAAAAACCCAAAAUCUUGUUGCCUUCUUCUUUCUUUUUAUUCUCCAUUUCACCCUCCCAAGAGUGUAUACCUGCAUUUCAAAAUUUAAUGAGUUUUAGAGAUUUUUAUUGAAGAAAAUAAACAUGGAUCUAUGUUAUCAUAAAUGAACAAAUCUAAGAAUUAAUUUUUUUUUUCAAAUAGAAACAUUAUUCAAAGAAUAAGCAUUACUAUACAAUACCUAUGAAAAAAUUCAUAUAGUAGCUAAGAGACUCACCAUGCAUGGUGAUCAUGAGGCAUCAACAUGAUUCAUGAUUAGUUGUAGCACAAAAGUAGCCCAUUCUCCUCUAAUUUCAUCGAAUUCUACUUGAGAAUAUGUUUUUUUUUAUUACCAAACUAAAAUCAAAUAAGAAAAUAACAUUAAAAUGCAUAACAUUUGGAAGCUUAACACUAUGUACAAUUCAUUAAAUAAGUAAUACCUUUGAAGCAAUAAUUGUAGGAUAAAAAAUUAUCUCUUUAAUGAAUCUCAUAACAAAGUAGCCACAUUCGAACCCUCCUUCUUGUCUUGGACACUAAUCGAUCAAUUAUAAAAUAACAUUAGUACUCACAUAUAUAAAUGGUGCAAAUGCAUAAGCUAAUGUGUAAAGAAAAUUUUUUGGAUGUCACCUACACUAGUUGCUAAGAUGGCUCCCUCUUAGAUGUUUUCUUUACAGAUAUUCGAAGAGCCUUAUGUAAAUAAGUUCAAUGGAUACAUUUUUAAAAUAGGUAAAUGUUAUAUGUUUUAAUAUAUAUAAAUAAAUAAAAAAAUGUGUUUGAGGUGAAUGUAUUUUUUUUUAUUUAAAAAUAAUACUAUGAAAAAUAAUAGGAAGAACUUACAUGUUUACGAUAUCCUUUAAGUCCUCACAUGGUUUGUGAUGCAUAGGGUCAAGAUAGUGGACUAUCAUUUUCCUUGGCUCAAGCACUACCUAAAUAUAAACCAUUUAAGUCCUCAUAUCUAUUUCUAUUACAAAAUAUAAAAACUUUCCAAAACUCAACUACUUAAAUAUAAAAACAAAAUCAAAUAAAAUAUCUAGCUAAUUGGAUUUUAGAAACUAAAUAAACUAUAAAUAAACUAAAUAUAAAAACUAAAUAAAAUAUCUAUGCCCAUUAAUUAAUUGAAGAGGAUAGAAAGACACAAAGAGAACAUGGCUAUGGUUAUGAUUUCCAUCUUAUCAUUUCCUGUCAAUACCACACAUGCCCAUUUUAGGGUUGGACACUACUUUUGUUGCUGGACUUGGAAAGGGAACUUCAAAAUUGAAAACAUAAAUAAACCCUUAUGUAAAAAAAAAUAACAUUAAAAUAUAAUUGAGCAUUAAAAUAUUUACUCUCUUUCAUCACUUUCAUUUGAAUAUUAAUAAUCUCUUAUUGAGAUAGAUACUUACAAUUUAACAAAAUAGAAAUUCCUAAUAAUAAAAAAUAUAAAAUUUCUAUUUCUAUUAACAAAAUAUAAAAACUUUCCAAAACUCAACUACUUAAAAAUAAAAAUAAAAUCAAAUAAAAUAUAUAGCUAAUUGGAUUUUAGAAACUAAAUAAACUAUAAAUAAACUAAAUAUAAAAACUAAAUAAAAUAUUUAUGCCCAUGAAUUAAUUAAAGAUAAUAGAAAGACACAGAGAGAACACGGCUAUGGUUAUGAUUUCCAUCUUAUCAUCUCCCGUCAAUACCACACAUGCCCAUUUUAAGGUUGGACACUACUUUUGUUGCUGGACUUGGAAAGGGAACUUCAAAAUUGAAAACAUAAAUAAACCCUUAUGUAAAAAAAAAAAAAAAAACAUUAAAAUAUAAUUGAGCAUUAAAAUAUUUACUCUCUUUCAUCACUUUCAUUUGAAUAUUAAUAAUCUCUUAUUGAGAUAAAUACUUACAAUUUAACAAAAUAAAAAUUCCUAAUAAUAAAAAAUAUAAAAAUUUCUAUUUCUAUUAACAAAAUAUAAAAACUUUCCAAAACUCAAAUACUUAAAUAUAAAAACAAAAUCAAAUAAAAUAUCUAACUAAUUGGAUUUUAGAAACUAAAUAAAUUAAAUAUAAAAACUAAAUAAAAUAUCUAUGCCCAUGAAUUAAUUGAAGAGGAUAGAAAGACACAAAGAGAACAUGGCUAUGAUUAUGAUUUCCAUCUUAUCAUCUCCCGUCAAUACCACACAUGCCUUCCCGGAUUGGUCCUUUUGGGGUUGGAUACUCUCAACGAAAUUCUAUAUCUCAUUCCCACUUAGAUACAAACAAAAAAAUCAUUCUUUUUUUUUUCCUCUCUCGUUUUUUAGAAAGGAUGAAGAUUAUGUUAUAGUAUAUCUUAAAAAAAUUCUGUACCUAUCAUUCUCACACAAAUACAUAUUAAAAAUCAUUCAUUUUUUCCUAUUUUUCACUUUUUUUUAAGGACUUGAUCAUGUGUUUGGUUUAGAUUAAAAAAAGUCAAUUAAUCUAUAGUUUUUUCUUCCAUGCUGGAAGAUUAAACCUAAAUUUUUCUUCCCUACAACUCAAGAAAACACAAUUCACAAAAACCAUAAUACAAAGAUGUUGAAACAAUUAAUAUAAUGGCAUUAAUAAAAGAAAAAAAAAAAUGAUAGAUCCAAGAGAUUUUGGGUUACUUGGGAGUCCACAAAGUGAAGAAUGUCGGUUUUGAGCGUGUUGACUAUGGAUGGGUGAGAGAAAAGGUUGAAGAAGAUCAUGAUUUUAUAUAUAGGAUUUAUAUAUUGAGAUUUUUUGGAUUGUGGGUGAGAUAUGGAAACAAUGGAAUUUUUAUAUAGUAUCCAUCAUUAUUAAUUCUAAAAGUGGGCUCAUUAAGUUAUAAUACUUAAAAAAAAUUUAUUUUAUAUGAUGUCACUUCCCAAAAAAUGACACUAUAAAUAUAAAAUUAAUAUCAUCUAACUACCUCAAUUGAAGAUUUUUUAUAUGAUGUGUCACCUUUAUUAAUUAUAAACCCUAUGGUGUCAUUAUUUUAAAAGUGACACCGUAAAUAGUGACACCAUAAACUAUUUUUGUAGUAGUAACGGUAAGUGAAACUUUGUUGGUAUUUAUAGCAUACCUUCCAUCCCUUUGUUUCACAUAACCUAGACUAACCGUAAGUUCCCAAGGUGGGUGGUGAAAGCCUCAUUGUUUCGCAUGCCACACCUUAUGUGUACUUCAUCUUCUGAACGUCACUCCAAUUCAGAAACUCUCCUGGACCUUUAGACUUUGCUAUCUCCGUUUGCUCUGCAUAUGCAAAUAUCAAGAUACACAAUGGAGACCAAAUAUUUGAAAUUACAACUCAACUUGUUGCAUAACAAAAUUUAAUGGAAAGUUUAACGAUCAGAGUGAGAAAAUAAAACUUUUGAAAUGAUGGAUAAUUUUAAGCUAAAAUAAGUGGUUUAUAUAGCUAAAAUUAGGGUGAAAUUUGGAGGAUUGGUUUCAUCCUAUACAAAUUUGAGACAGACUUAGGUAGUUAUUUUUAGUAUUUGGACUGGGUUUGACGUUGAUUGCGUUUGGGCCAUGGUUUUGAACCUAAUCCAAACUUAAUAAAAUAUUUUUAUAAAUUUAUUAUUCUAUAUAAUAAUAUUUAUUUUAUUUGUUUAUUUAACUUUUAAGAAAAAUAUCAAAUUAUAUUUAUAUCAUGUAAUAUUUAUUUUUUAAAAAGACAAUUUUAUUUGUUUUUAUUAUUUUGAAAUAUCGAGUCAUAUAUUAUUCAAAUUGUGGGCAACCCAACCUAACCCUAUUAUACGUAAUUCAAUUUUGACCUACAUAAUCUAAAAAUAUUGAAUCAAUUAUAAUAAAACCAAUUUGAGUUCAACCUGAGUUUUGGAAAUAUGAAAUUGAGUUCAAAUUAAAUUGAGUAUCUUAACGUAGAAGUGGGAUAGAGUUGAGUUCAAGUUGAAGCAUUUCUUUAUUUAUUUUAGACCUCAGUUACCCAGAAACCUUAGCCAACCCACAAUAGUUACAUCACGGCCAUCUUCUUUCCCAGCAACGAGGUUUUGAAUAUUUUCGGGGAGUACUUAUUCAUUCUAUCUGUUAUGAAUUUCUCUGGGGUUCCCCUUGUAGCAGUUAUGAAAAAUUCCAGAGUUUCUCUGAUGAUGGGCCACCCCAUUGUACCCGGCGGAAGCUUUUGGCCGGCAGAUUUGCGGCUGGAAAUGAGGAAAAUAACUGAAAGAGUGACGGAGAGAAGUAUGAAGUGAAGGAGAGAGGAGGAGAGAUCCAUGUUUCUCACUCGAUAACUCAAGAAAGAAGAAAGCAAAAUAAAGACAAGCAUGGGAGCCACCCUAUAACAAGGGAUCAUAUAACGAAGGAAGUUGCUUCCAUGGUUCGAAAAAUGGGACCAGAUCGAUUUACCAUGCAUUCAUCUUAUUGCCGGCACAGUUCAAUUAUCGGACCGGUUGCAUUACUUCUUUGAAUUAAUUUCUUACUUUCGUAUGCCAGGCCAACUUAAUAAUAGAAGUUGCUGAUUCAUUUUUCCUUGGUUGUAUAUGCAUGCUCAUUCACACGCACACACACGUGUGUGUGCAUAUAUCAAACCACAAGUUUUUUGAACUACAAUAUCAAAUGAGAUUAAUAAUAAUUAUUCCAAAAAUAAAAAUAAGAUAUAAAUAUAGGAGCCUAGACUUAAAUUUUUUCAAAAUUUUGCUGUUUUUAAAAAAUUUAUAACAUUAUUUGGCAUUUGUUCUUUGGAAAUAGGUUUUAAAAAGUUUUUAUAGAAUAAGUAAAUGUAGGUUUCACAUAUUUAAAAAAACAAAACAAAAAUAUUGAGAAAUAAAAACAUAUUGAAAAAAAACUAUAAAAAGCAAAUAAAGUGUAAUACAAUCUCUGUGUUCUUUUAUUUUCCAUCACUUAAUAUCGAAAAUAUCACAAUAUUAUCUCUUUUUGAAUCAUAUACACUCUUUUUUAUUUAUUAAUUUUUUAAACUUUUCUAAAAUUUUUAUUAAAAAAAUAUAUCUCAAAUCAAGUGACCCUUAAUAUAGAGGUUUUAUUAAUUGUUUAAAAUAAUUGAAAAUUUAAAAACUGAUCCAAUUAUGCUAAAAAUUGCACAUAAAAGAUGAUACUAAUUGAUUUUGUUAGUUUCUUCUUUACGUAUAAUUAUAUAUAUUUAAUUUUUUUCAUUAGGUAAACUCAAUGCUUUUGAUUUAUUAAUGAGUCUUGUAAUUUUUGAAAAAUAGUUUGAAACUCAAACUCACCUAAUUAGUACAUGAAAUUUUUGGACAAAAAAUUUCUAACUAGAACAUUAUCUUUCUAAAUUUUCUCAUUGGAAAAAUAGAUCCCAAAUUAAUAAAAAAAUUAACUCCUUUUAACAAAUUUAUUAAUUUUAAAAAUUAAUAUGAAACUAAAAUAAUAAUUCAAUCACCAACUAGAAAUUCAUAAACUAAAACUACUUUAGAAUGAUCUAAUUAUUGUUAUUCUGAAUGUAAUUUAAAUAAAUUUCAAAUUGAGUGAGAGUUAACAAGUUACAUUUAUUAAUGGGUUGAGUAAUUUUCAAAAAUAAUUUGGAACUAAAAAUAAGAGAACAAAAGUGGUAUAGAAUGAGUCAUGAAUAUGUUAUUUCUCUAUAGCACACCACCACUCCAAAUUUUCUCAUUAGACAAAUAGAUUUUAAGUAAGACCAAAUCAAGUAAAAUUUAAUGGUUUAAAUUCUUUAAUGAAUCCAAUUAUGGGCAGAAUCAAAAUUAGUCCAAAAUUCUCUAUUUGUAUAGGAUUACUAAAUGUAUUGAAAAACUUGGUUUGUUGAUAUAUUUUAAAGAACAUUCCUUAUUUUUAAAUCUAUUUUAAAUAAAAUAUUUUUAACCAUUAUUUUUUUUCAAUUUAAUUUAUGCCUUAUUAACAAAAAAAAAAAAAAAUCAAUUAUAUUCACAUUUUAUAAUAUGUACUAAAAUAGUAUCAUUUUUAAUAAAAUUAUCAUUUAUAAUUUAAUUACAAUAUUAGUAUUCAUAUUUUACUAAACAUGAUUUAUUUUUUAAUUUAUUCCUGCUUUCAAAAUUAUUUUUAUUUUAAAUAAAAUUUGAAUCAAAUUUAAUUAAUUUUAUAUAAAUUCAAUUCACAUUUUUUUUUUCCAAAAUCAAAGAAAGUUUAUUGCUAAAAGAAAAGAAAAUUUAUUUAUUUAAACAAUUUUUUUGUUUUUUAAAAAUCGUUUUAAAAACAAUUCACCAACUACCCUUAUUUUUGAAAAAUAUUAAGUGACUAUUUGAGAAUUGUUUUUAAAAGAAUUUUUUUCUUUCAAAUAGAAAACUAUUUUCCAAACUCCAAAAUGUGUUUGACAAAAAGCGGUUUUUUAAGAACAAAGAGUUUUAUGAUAACAUAUUUUAAUUGUUUUAAAUAUAAUUAUAUAAAUAUGGUGAAUAAAUGAAAACAAAGCAAUAAAAUAAAAUUUAUUUUUAAGAAAUAUCUAAAAACAUAAAAAAAGAAAAGGGAUUAACAAUAUUUCUAGUUUUUAAACAAAAUUUUAUUCUAAAAAAAUAUCAAAAAACAAUUCUUACAAAUUAUUUAAAAAAAAAAUAUUAUUUUAGGAAAGGUUAUUAAACAACUUCUAAAAGCGCGCCCGCCCCACCCCCCUUUUUUUUUUUAAGUUGAAAACAAGUAUUUAUUUUUCUUUCCAUGGGUUCAUACAAAAUUAUUUUAGAAAAGGUCAGUGAACAAGUCCUAAAAACCUUUAUUUAUUUAUUUUAUGUUCAAUACAAAGUUUUUAUUUUUCUUUCCAUAAGUUCAUAAAAUUUUUCCAAGUAAAUGGUAGAAAAGAAAUCAAAUUAAAAUGAUUUUUUCCCUUCAAAGCAUGUGAGAUGAGUCGUGUUGGGAACUUGGGAUUAUUGUAGCCUUCAUAAAAGUUAAUCUCCACUAUUCUAAGGGUUCAUGACCAAAGUCAUGAACCUAAUGAAUUUACAUUUCCCAUUUUAUAUAUUUAAUGUACAUGCAUGGUAUUUAGAAAAUACAAAGUAUUAUGACCAAAAUCAUGAACCUACCAAGUAGUGUACAAGGUAUAAUGAUCAAAGUGAUGCACCUAAAUUAAAGUUUUCAUAUAUCAUGAAUACUACAUAGAAUUAAGAAAUGAGAAUUCAUAUAUGUAGAAGGAAGUGUUCAUUUGUAACUCUUGAUGGAAAGUCACUUGAAAUGAUAUAAAAGAGCUCUUGGUUUCUCCCUCCACUCUUCCUAAGUUUGUGAGAUUUUCUAUCAUUUUGUACAAAUGUCAAGUGUGAGAGAGUAAGGAGAGGGAACAUACAAGUUGCCAAUACGAAUUCAAAAGAUACAAGGUGCUGCCAAAAGUAACUCAAUAUUAUAGACAAUUUAUGUAAGGUGAUCUUUAUCACAAUGUCACAAGGUGAGUUUUAUAGAUUUAUUUUAGGUUCAUUAAAUUAAAAAAUAUGUUUAAACUCAAUAAAUUAUUUUUAUAUGCUUCUUUAAUAUCAUUUUGCUUAUUUCCCUUUACUAUAUAAAGAUUAAAUAAUUAAAAAAUAUAUAAAUUUUUUUGACAAAUUUUAAUUAUAUUUGAUUUUCUUCCAUAUUUCUUAUGGUGAAACCAAACAUGAGAAAACCACUUUCUUUAAUCCUUAUUUUUUUCUUUCCUUGAUACUUUUUAGGAACCACACAUAGCCUUAAGAAUAUAGACUAAGGUAAAAUGAUGUAUAAUAAUAUAAAAUAAUAAAUUAUUUUUAAUUUUUUAUGAAAAUAAAUAAUCCAAAAGAAAUAUGAAAACAAAAGCUAGCUUCAAAUUAAUCAAUAAGUGAAUGAAUUAUCUAAAUUGUGAAUGAGGAAAACUGCUUGAAUUAUUAAAAUUUUAGACUAACUAAUAAGUAAAUCAAUUAUUUAAUUUUUUUUCUAAAAUUAAAAAAGGUUUUCUCUUUCCUAUUUAUAACCAUAAAAAUGAAAAAAAAAAAAAAGAUUUUAUCAAGGAAAUGUAAAUAUCUCUUCAAAAACUUCUUUUAGCAAUUAUCAAAUUUUUGAAUAGAGGGAAAAUUUUAAAAUAAAUUUAGUAUUUUCCGAUAUAAUGAACAAUGAGAGAUGAAUUUAUUAGAAUUGUUACAAUUAAAUAAUGAAUGUAUUUAUUAAGGCUGUGUUUGGUUCCCAAGAAAUUUGAGGAAAAAUGCAAGGAAAAGAAAAUAAAAAGGAAAAAUAGAAGGACAGAAAAUAAAAAAUAGAUUAAAAGUUAAUAAAUUAUUUUUAUUUGCUACUUCAAAUUCAUUUUACUUAUUUUAAUUCAUUGGUAUAAAGAUUAAAUAAUUUUAAAAUACAUAAGUUUCUAACUAGUUUAAUCAUAUUUAAUUUUAUUUAAGAUUUUUCUUAAUACAACCAAAUAUGAAAAAAUAAUUUUCUUUAACAUUUUUUUUUCCUUAGGGUUUUUCGGAACCAAACAUAAUGUAAAGCUUUAAAUUCAAAUAAUAAAGAUAUGAGAUUUGAAUAAAACUGAAGAUAUAUAUAAUAAGAUUAUUUUGAUAUAUGGGGAGCGUAUUUUAGAUAAAGAAAAGUUUUCAAACUAUUGAAUUUCUUUAUAUUUAUAGAUAAUAAUAAAAAAAAAAGAAUUUAUUUCUUCACUAAUUUUAUGAUUCAAACCUAUAUUAAACAAAUAAAGAUUAAAUGUACAACACAAAAUUUCCUUCAGAUUUGGUAGGAUGGUGGCCGUAAUUUGUGAAAUGAACAUUAUGCAGUCAAAUUUUGAAUGAUGAAUCAUAAAGACUCAUAGUUAAUGAAAGGAUAAUUAUGUAUUAAUUAUUAACUCAUGAUUGAAAAUCAUAUACAUAAUAAAUUGAACAUAAUAAAUUGGUGUGUCCGGAUUAAUAUAGAAAUUAAUCUAGAUAGGUUGUCCUAAGAUUUAAUUGUCCAACCAUUUAAAUUAUUUAGUGAUCAUGUCAAUACAAUAUGAUAAUGAUCUAUCCUGUUUAUGAAUUUACCAACCUAUAUAUGUUUCUUAAUGUUAUAUUACAUAAAAAAUACUUGAUCUUAAUUUUAAAUACUUGAUUUUUUACUUAUAGAUAGAUAUCCUAUUGUUAAACAAUUGAAAGAAAAUUUUAAAUAUUUUUGAAAAACCAUAAAGGUUAAAAAUAAUUCUAUACUUCAAAAUUGAAUAAAAUCUAAAAUCUAUACUAUAUAGAAGAUUAUAGUGUUUGUAGAUUAUUUUUUCUUCUUAAAACGAUCCUAUGAAUAUACUUUAUCCACUUAUAUUCUAUAAAGCUCAAAGAGACCUUUUAAUAGAAUGAUGAUGUCUUUUUAGUUGAUAACACAAGUGAUAUUUUUUCAGUUGACAAAUAUAUAUCCAAAAAGUUGAGAAUCCUAUACCUUUAUUUACUUAUAUAUGGACCCAUGUUUUUAAGAUGUUUACAACUGAUAGAGGUAUAUUGAUAGAGAAAUGUUUUACAUCUAUGUUUCUUAAUCCCUCUUUCUUAUUUUGAGAGUAUAUUUAGUUUUAUGGAGUUCAUUGUUCACAAAUGGCAUAAGUUAGUAUUGUGAAGGAAUUCAUGCUUGUGUUCACAUUGUUCAUAAAUGGUUCCCUUUUGUGCCUUUAUACCAUUUUUGUUAUCUUCCUAGGAUUUGGGCAAGGUCUCGAUGGGAUACCUAACGACAAAAAAGGUUUAGAAAGCUCAAUGUGUUUAUUCUUUAGGUCAUUAAUUAACGAAUAUUAUGAAUUUGAGAUGAUACAUUUAUACUUUCACUCAUCAAGCAAUUUCUAAAUUCCUUAUGAUAUUUUUAAGAUUUCGCAUCCUCAAAGACAUAUUUUAACAACUUAUUUGAUAAGGUACCUGAGAUAGCAUGACAAACUUGUUUGUUCGUGCUUUCUUAGUCAACAAAAGGUUUAGAGGCCUCAUUGGAUUUUGACUAAAUCAAACAUGUCCUAGAUUAAUCACAUUAAUGGUAAAGAAGUAAUGUGUUGUUAUCUCUUAAACCAGACCCAUUAAAUGGGUCUAUCUUGAGUGUUUGUUUGACUAUGUUUAGGAAACUUCCAUGGCCUCUAAUCUACUUUAAAAACUUAUUCUUUAAGAAGGAAAUGCUAUUGAACACAUGCAGAUAAUCACAAGAAUCAAAAUGCAAGAAACUAAACUUGAAAAUUGUAGAAUCCAAUCUAAAUAGGGAAAUGAAAUUGUAAAAAUCAAAUAUGAAUGGGAAAACAUAUUGCAAUUGGUUGAGAUGUGUAAUCACUAUCUUUAAAGUAUAGGUCACACCCCUUCUAAGACCAUCGCUCAACACAACAUUGAUGUGUUGUGUAACCCCUUCUAAGAUGUGUAAUCACUUCUUUAAAAAACCAAUGUAACCCUUAUUGAAGGUAUAUAUACUGAUGGUCAAUUAUAUACCUAUCUAAAAUUUCAUCAUUGGAACUUUGCUUUCUUAUUGUAAAUCCAUUAUGGAAAUAUCAGAAUGCAUGCAUAUAUAUAUAUAUAUAUGGCAUUUAUUUGCUAGUUCAUAUAUUUAACAUAAGUCCACUGCAGAAUAGUUCGACUACUCCAGACAUGGUAGCCUUCUCAAAUGGUGAAUCAAUCUAUUUCUCAUGGGGCUGGAGGCGGAUUGGGAGACCAUUCACAGGAAAUGGUGAAGGGUUAUAUAUGAUCUUUUCAUUUGGAACUACUUUCGCCCAUUUGAAUCUUGUCACCAUAUUAUGGAUAAAUACUAGUAUUACCAAUCGAACAUAUUCCUUCCCUGGACACAGUCGAGGUCCUCCUCCAAAAGGUACAAAAGUGUAUGGUGCAGGCCCCUUUCCUUCAAAUCUCGAGGGAUCGAAUUUCUCUGGAUCUGGAAAGUACUUGGGAUUUUUGUUUGUAGAAUGUACACUCCAAUAUGUCUGCAAGAAAAUGAAAAGUUCUAUAGUAAGUUAUGUUAAUUAAAUCAUCCAUAAACACGAAUAGAAGAUAAAAAAAAAAUGAGAUUUUUAACGUGGUUUAGUGAUGAAUGUGAUCGCUAUGUCCAAGGAGUGUACCAACACUCAACACUCAACAAAUCAAAAGAAGAGUUAUAAUAGUGAAACUUUAAAAAAACCUUUCAAGUACAGUGUCGCUCUCUAAAAAACCAAAACCCUAAAACAUAAAAGGGUUAAAUAUAUAGUAUGGACAAACUUGCCAUUUACUACAUAAAAAGAAUUUCUACGGGGCAGUUGACUAGACAGCUUAUCUCAUGAGCUCAAUGAGGAGCUGAACACUCCACAUCCUAAACGAAACCCAAUAAAAUUAAUUCAAACUUCACAAUCCAACAAUUCAUUGGCAUAAAGUUAAUUACAUAGUAUUAUUAAACUCAACCGAGACCAUGUUUAAAUAUAGGAUACCUUCCACCCUUUUGGAAUGGUAAAACCUUCAAAAGUAAAGUCAGUUAUGGCUUCUCGAAAAGUUCCUUGUGCAGGUGGGGCUAGCCUCAUUGUUUCCUUCACCACACACCAAGUAUACUUCAUCUUCUGAAUGUCAUUCCACUUCAGAAACUCUUCUGGAUCUUUGGACAUUGCUAUCUCCAUUUGUUCUAUAUAUGUAAGCAGAAACCAAUUGGAAAUUACUAUUAAACUUGUUUAAAAAUCCAUCUUUGUAGAGAGAUUCCAACUGAAAAAUAAUGGAAACCAAAAGAUAACUAUUGUCAUGUUAAAGAGAAUCUCAAAAUGAAGAUAUGGGUGGGUAUUUGCUAUAAAAACUCAAGAGAUAUGUUAUACAUUUUACACACUAUCAAAGAGGAUUAACCUACAUUUUAGGACCAAAUAUUCUUUGUUUUGGUCCAAAAGUAUAUUUCGUUCGUUACUAAAUCAAUUAAGCAAUCUUGAUAGGGCUUCAAUGGAGAGGAGGCAAGGGUUUUACCUUUUAAGACCUUAUCAUAGGCAUGAGGAAACUCUGCUAGAUAGUUGAAGAUAAAUGUUAAAGUCGUGCUUGUUGAAUCAAAGCUAGCAAGAAAUAUACCAACAAUUUUAUCAGAGAUCUCCAUGUCAUUCAGAACCGCGCCGUUCUCAUCUGUCGCUAAAAGCAAAGAAGAUAGUAGGUCCCGGGCUACCGAUUCUUCUUUCUCUGAUAACUCCUUCCUUCUCUGCUUGAUAAUUGCUACAAGCUCAUGCCGAAGCAUUUUGCCUCCUUUUUUGGCGGAGUUAAAUGCUGUACCAGGAAAAUCUAUAGGCAAAGACACGAGCCCAGAUAACAUCUGAUGGAAGGGACGAGCAAUCCUAGCGAUAUGCUCAGGAUCUUUGAUGCUUAUGAACAAGUGACAAGCCAAUGUGAAGGUGUACUUCUUUGAUAGUGGAUAAACAUUCACUUCUUUAUGAGGAGCCCAAUCCGUAUUUAUGUUCUGGUGUGCCAUUGAAUCCAUGAUAUGUAUGUUACGUUGCAAAGCAUCUGGCCUAAGAAAUUCAAGGACAAAGCUACGCAUUCCCCUCGGUUCUGCCUUUGGGGGAGAAGACUGGAAGAGCAACGCCUUCUCCAUCGAUGGUGGUUUCCAAGUGGUAAUGAGCUUGUUGUGGUUUGAAAAUAGAAACUUGUUCCCCGCUGGGCCACAGAACACGGCGACCUUCUCCCCCAACAAGGAGGUCCGGAACACAAUUGGGGAGUAUUUCUUCAUUCUAUCAUUUAUAAAUCUUUCAGGGUUAGAAUUUUUGCCUCCUAAAGCAAAUUCUGAGGUUUCCCCGAUGAUGGGCCAUCCCAGUUUACCCGGGGGAAGCUUUGAACAGGCGGAUUUGCGUCUACUGACAAGGAAGAUUAUACAGAGAGACACAAAGAGGACUAUAAGGUGCAGAAGGUAUGAGAAAAGAUCCAUGGCUGCCACACAAUGAUGAUAAUGAAUCAAAAAGUAGGCUAUGAAAAAGGCUCAGGCCUCUUCUGGGCGAUAUCUCCAAGAACUGAAUAGAAGUAGUGAAAAAACAUGAUUGAGAUUACCAUGUCAAUUAAGGAAAAAGAUCAUUUAAUGGUUAAUGAAAAAAUAUUUUGAAUCUACUUUAUGAUUCCAACUCACUGUGUCAUGCACUUAGCAUGUUGGGCAUGCAUUCUUUAACUUAUUAUUAUUAUUAUUAUUAUUGUUAUUAUGGUAUUUGCCUUAUAUUUGAUUAAAUAUAAUAUAAGAUAGAAUAAGGAGCUAAAUAAGGUAAUUUUAUUCUAUAUAAGUAACUAAUCUCCAAUCGGCACGUAUCACCUUUUAAGCCAAAAAAUUUUCAUAAUUAAACCACAUCAUCACUUUAUCUUAAUUACAAUAAAAAAAUCUCAAUAAUUAAAUGAAAAUAAUGUUAUAUUUAAAAUAAAAUUUAAACAAAAAAUAAAUAAACAUAAAAUUAUACUCUUAUUCGAAUUUAUAAUUACUUUAUAAUUAUCUUGCUUUUUUCAUAUGGUGGUUUUUUUCUUCUUCUUUCAAAUCUCAUAAAAUCAUUAUUUUAAGUUAACUCUCAUUUUUAUUUAUUUUUUAUUUUUUUAUAUUUGUCAACAAUUUUUAGCACUUAACUUAUUUUAUAAUUUUAGUUCAAUUUUUUUUUAUAUAAAUUUUAUCUUUCACAAUUUAUAUUAACAUAUUAUUUGGUUAAUUUUCUUAUAGGUUCUUCCCAACUUCAAGAUUUUUAUUUUAUUUUAUUUUAUGAGAUGAUUAUUACAUGUCUUAUCAAUACUUCCUACUUCUAAGCACCAAUUAAGCUCAUAUAUCUAGGUUAUAAAAUAUGAGAAUUUGUUGCAUUGUGGAACUUGUGAAUGAUUAUAUAUAAUGAUGUAUAUCUCUUUACGACUCCCUAUAAAAGGGAGAGACCUCUAAUGAGAGUUCAUUCAGAUUUCUUCCUUCAAGUUCUUUCCUAUAUUCUACUUUUCUUUUAGUAUUUCUAUAUAUUUUCUAUCUUCUUUCUUCUUCUCAUUUUUUUAUUUUAUAACAUGUUAUUAACAUAAGGCUCUGAGUAUGUAGAAAAAGAGAAGAGAAAGAAAGAAGAACUCAUUUAUGAAGUUUCUUAUAGGUAUUUAGCCUUAUUUUCUUCAAACGAAAUGAAAUAUGAAAAGUAGUAUGCAUUGUAUUCUAUUAUUAUAACUUUAUUUACCUUGUCUUAUGGUUAAAAGUUAUGUAAAUCAUAUUUCAUAUAAUCAAACCAAAAACUUAAUAUUGUAAAUAUUUUGAUUAUUUAAUAACUAGAAGUUAUAUAAAAAAUUUUGAUAACUAGAAGUUAUGAAAAAUAUGUACAAUUCUUAUAACCAGAAGUUAUGAGGUAAAUUACAAAAUUUAAAAAUACAUAAUCAAAAGUAAUGCAUAUGAUUCAUAAUUACUUUAUAAUUAUAUCAUAUAAUUGGAAGUUAUAUAAAAUACCAAAAGCUUUUGAACUCAAAGGCCACCUCUGAGAGUGAGACAUUGUAUUGUGUCUAUGUAGCAAUUGGACAGAAACGCUCAACUGUGGCAUAAUUAGUUCAAAUUCUUUCAGAAGCGAAUGCUUUGGAAUAUUCCAUUCUUGUAGCAGCCACUGCAUUUGGCGACGUAGAGUCUACAGGCAGAACAAAGACAGGUGCGUCUAUGGAAAAAAGUACUUCUUGCUUUGUCAUGGUGAGAGUGAGGUACUGAAGGGCGCCAACAAUGCUACGAUAUUUUGUUGCAUUAUGUAGCCAGAAGUUAUAAAAUAAAUAAGUCAUAGCCUAAAACUAUAUAAUGAAUAGUUCUUAACAUGAAGUUAUGUACAAAUUUGCAUAAUAAAUAGUUAAUAGCAUAAAGUUAAGUAUUUGUUUUGACAAAAUAAUCAAAACCCAAAGUUAUGAUUAAUAUUGUCUUUUAAUUUUUAUUUCACAUUCAUGCAUUUUUCAUAACAAAAAAUUAUGAAAACAAUCUGUAUUAACAAUUAUUUCAUAGUUAGAAGCUAUGUACACAAUUUUUAAUUUUGUGAUAUAACUAAAAGUUAUAUCAUAAUAUAAUUGUUAAUUGUUUAAUGAUAUUAUAACAUUACUCAAAUUUUAAUUAUUCUUAGCCUGAAGAUAUGAAGAAUAUUAAUUGUUAAAACUCAUAUAGCUAAAAGUUAUAUUAGAAUAUUUUAUUAUAAAUUUAUAUUAUAUAGCCAAAAGUUAUAUAAUUAAUAUUAUUCAUGACCCCGAAGUUAUGAAAAUAAAAAAAUUAAUAUUCUUUAUAUUGAUAAAAGGUUUUGCCAAAGUUGUUAAUAUGUAUUUUUUUUUUAGUUAGAAGCUAAAGAUAACAAAAUUGUUAACUAACAAUUUUACAACUUUAUGAAAUUUAUAUAACCAAAAGUUAUAAUAAAAUAUAUUGUAGUCUGAAGCUAUCAUAACAAAGAUGUAGAUAAUAGUUACAUAUUAUUUAAAAGAUUAAUAUUUUAUAUAUCAAACUAAACAAAUAGGUAAGUGUUUGAUAAUUUUUUUAUGAACUCCUAUUAUUAGAAGUUAUAUCGUCAUUAGUAAAAAUAUUUACAUAUAGAUGUGGAAUUUUGGGUUGUAUGAAAAUAUGAUAUUUAUGCUUAAUAUUCUUGUGUUAGAGGUGAUGUUUUAGACUAUUUUUUAUUCUAAUUGUUUAAUACACAAUUACAUUAUGAGAUGAUAUAAUAGUUGAGAUUAAUCUUAUCUUUGUUUUUCAAUAUAGAAAGUUGAGAUUUUUGAAUAUUAUAUAUACUUAUAUCUUGAAAAUUCUAAAUAACAUCUUUUUAUUUGAUUGUAUAUAAUUUCAAUUUUUAAUGAUCCAAAAAUCAUGCAUAAGAAUUCCUCUCAAAGCAAAUACUAAUGUUUUCCCAAUGAUGGGCCAUCCCAUAGUUUACCCGGCCGGCGGUAGCUUUGAACAGGCGGAUUUGUGUCUACUGACAAGAUUAUACAGAGACGCACAAAGAGGACUAUAAGAUGCAGAAGGUAUGAGAAAAGAUAUAUGGUUUUCACUUGAAGAUGACAAUGAUCGAAGAGGCAAUGAACAAGCUCUAGGUAAUCUCUGGGGAUAUCGAUCUCCAAUAAUUGAAUAAAAAGUAAUGAAAGACCACUUGUCACUGUUGCGGUUACAUGCAGGUGAAUCUGCUGACACAAAUGUCUGACUGUAGGUCCCAUUCUUGCAAGGAUGGGGAGCUUACUGAGGAUGGAAGAAAGGUUAUUUAUUAAUCAAUGGAACUUUUAUGUAAUGCCUUCAGUUCAAAUAGAACCAUCAAACAUUAACACUUCACUUAUCAGUCAUAAAAGUUACAUGCUUAGAAAUGCAUUUCAAAUAAUUUAAGGUUAUGUUUGAUGCUCAAAUUUUUUUAGUGAAAUUACUUAUUUUAACUCUUCCAUAUAAAAAUUAAUUAAUACAAAAAUAUAAUUUUUUUAAUUAAUUGUAAUAAUAUUUGAUUUUUUGUAUUUUUUUUAUAAUACAACAAAAUAUAAAAAAUGAUUUUCUUCUAAUUUUUUUAAGUACUUUUUAGGAACCAAAUAUAACUUAAAAAUUGUAUUUAAAAUUAUAGGUUUGAAGAACAUGUAGAUUAAGAGGUUUUGCAUAGCGUUUACAUGUAAAAUUAGGAUUGAAUAGGUAAAAACACAUCAAUCUUGGUGGUUUCAUGCUACUAAAUUACUACAACUUAUAUUUAAAAUUAACCUUUUGAAGAGUGGGAUAUUUAUGAAAAUUAAUUACAAAUUGCAAAACUUUCUGAAUGAAAACUAAAGAAACAAUUCAUACUUUUACAACUAGUACAUAUGUAAAUACAAAUAAUUCUUAAUUUUCAUAACUAAUAUAGAUCUAAAUAUUGCUAAAUUGAGUUUGACAGUCCAACCUGUAUGCUAUAUUUGGUUCUUAGAAAGUAUUAAGAAGGAAAAAAAAAAGCAUAAGAGAAUGUUUUUAUCAUGUUUGGUUUUAACAUGAAAAAAUACGAAAGAAAAUCAAAUAUAAUUAAAAUUAGUUAGAAAUUUAUAUAUUUUUGAAUUAUUUAAUUUUUAUAUAAAAGAAAAAAAGAAGUGAAAUGAGUUUGAAGUAGUGUAUAAAAUAAUUUAUUGAUUUAAUUUUUCUUUUUCCAUUUUUUCUUUUCUUCUAGUACUUUUCUUCUCUUUUUUUUUUUUUUUCCUUGUAAUUAUCCUCAUAUUUUCCGAGAACGAAACAUAACCUAAGAGUAUUGCAUAAUAAUACGUCAAGGCACGCAUAUACAUAGUAAUGGAUCAUGUAAACAUUAAAAUGCAUAUACAUGUUGCAUUUAUUUUCUGGUUUAUUUAUGCAACACAUGUUCACCCCAAAAAAGUUUAUAAAUCACCUUACUGCUUAUAAAUCACCUUAUUUUCACGGGGAUGGAGGCGGAUCGGGAGACCAUUUACUGGAAUGGGAGAAGGGUUAUAUAUGACCUUUUCAUUUGGAUCUACUUUCUCCCAUUUGAACCUUGUCACCAUAUUAUGGAUAAAUACAAGUAUUUGCAGUCGACUAUAUUCCUUCCCUGGACACAGCCGAGGGCCUCCUCCAAAGGGUACAAAAGUGUAUGGUGCAGGGCCUUUUCCUUCAAAUCUUGAGGGAUCGAAUUUCUCCGGGUCUGGGAAGUGCUUGGGGUUUCUGUUUGUUGUAUGUACACUCCAAUAUGUCUGCAAGAAAAUGAAAUUUUUUGUAGUGAUAAGCCACGGGCAUGAAACAUAGAUUUUUUCCUUUUGUUUAAUGACUAAUUGGAAGCAUAGUUGUAUAUAACAUACCUUCCAUCCCUUUGGAAUGGUAAAACCUUCAUAAGUGAAGUCAGUUAUGACCUCUCGGAAAGUUCCUUGGGCAGGUGGUGCUAACCUCAUUGUUUCAUUUGCCACACUCCAAGUAUACUUCAUCUUCUGAAUGUCAUUCCACUUCAGAAACUCUCCUGGAUCUUUGGACUUUGCUAUCUCCAUUUGCUCUAUAUAUGCAUAAUAGAAACCAAUUUGGAAUUAGUAUUAAGCUUGUUGUUUAAGAAUCCCCCCUCUAUAGAGAGUUUCCUACUGAAGAAUUAUUGAAACGAAGAUAUGUAUUAUCAAAGUUGCAGUGAGUCCCAAAAGGAACAUGUAAAUGGGUAUCCACUGAAGAUUCAGAAGGCAUUAUAGGAUAUGAGCAAGGAUGUAAAACUUUUGAAAUUGAUGGAUAAUGAAAUAUACACUAAGAUCAAAGGUAUAUGAUGUCACUUCUGUUUUUAUAUAUGGACCUUACAUGACAUCUUUUAGCAUAACAAAACUAAUUCCUGAGGAUAUAUAGAAAUUUAAUAGCAUAAGAAACUAUAUGAAAUCCCGUUCAAAUUUUUUAAGAACCAAACACAGCUUAUAUAAUUUGUCACUAAAUCAAGCUUGCUUGAUAAGGAUACAAGAAAGAGGAGACAAGGGUUUUACCUUUUAAGACCUUAUCAUAGACAUCAGGGAACUCUGCGAGAUAGUUCAAAACGAAUGUUAAGGUAGCACUUGUGGAAUCAAAGCUAGCAAGAAACAAACCAACAAUUUUAUCUGAUAUCUCCAUGUCAUUCAAACCCUUGCCGUUCUCAUCUGAUUGUAAAAGCAACGAAGAUAACAGGUCUUGGACUUCUGGUUCUCCCUCAUCUGAUAACUCAUUUCUUCUCUGUUUAAUGAUUGCUACAAGCUCAUCCCUUAGCAUUUUGCCUCCUUUCUUGGCACGGUUAAAUGGCGUACCAGGAAAAUCUAUAGGCACAGACACCAGCCCAGAUGUAAUCAGAUGGAAGGGAUGAGCAACCUUGGCGACCUGUUCAGGGUCUUUUAUGCUCAUGAACAAGCGACAAGCCAAAGCAAAGGUGUACUUCUUUGAUAGCGGAUAAACCUUUACUUCUCUAUUAGGAGCCCAAUCCAUCUCUAUGUGCUCCCGUGCCAUGGAAUCCAUGAUUUGUAUAUAGCGCUGUAGCACAUCUGGCCUUAGAAAUUCCAGGACAUAGCUGCGCAAUCCUCUUGGUUCUACCUUUGGGGGAGACUCGAAGAGCAGUAUCUUCUCCAUGGACCGCGGCUUCCAAGUGGCAACGAGCUUGUUGUGGUUUGAGAAUAGAAACUUGUUCCCUGCGGGGCCACAGAAGACAGCGACCUUCUCGCCCACCAAGGAGGUCCGGAACACAUCGGGGGAGUAUUUCAUCAUUCUUUCCUUUAUGAACCUUGUGGGGUUCCCACUCUUGCUUCCCAAAGCGAAUGCCAAAGUUUCUCCUAUGAUGGGCCAUCCUUGAUUACCCGGCGGAAGCUUUGCGGUGGCAGAUUUGUAUCUGCGGACAAGGAAGACUACGCAUAGAGACACAGAAAGGAGUAUAGGGUGAAGAAGAAAUGAGAAAAGAUCCAUGGCUCUCCCACAAUGAUGAUAAUGAAUCAAAAAAUGGGCAACGAAAAAGGCUCAGGCAUAUUCCGGGCGAUAUCUCCAAGAACUGAAUAGAAGUGAAAAACCAUGAUUGAGAUUACCACGUCAUUUAAGGAAAAAAAAUCAUUUAAUAGUUAAUGAAAAAAUAUUUUGAAUCUACUUUAUGGUUCCAACUCACUGUGUCGCAUGUACUUAGCAUGUUGGGCACGUAUCCUUUUAACUUUUUUUAUUGUGGUAUUUGCCAUAAAUAAAUAUUUGGGUUAUAUUUAAUUAAAUAUAAUAUAAGAUAAGAUAAUAAGCCAAGUAAGGCAUUUUUAUUCUAUAUUUAGAUGAAAAUGAGAUUAGUAAGUAAUCUCCAUAGGGUGUGUGUCAUCUUUUAAGCGAAAAAAAUUUCCUUGAUUUAAAAUAAUUUUUAUUUUUAAAACAGAAAAUAUGAUAUUUUUAGAGAUAUCUAAAUAAAAAAUAAAAGUAUACUCUUAUUAAAAUUUAUAAUUAGUUCAUUCUUAUCUUGCUUUUUCCAUGUUUUAUUUUUUAAAAUUCACAUAAAAUCAUUAUUUUAAGUUAACUCCCAUUCUUUUAAUAUUUGUAAAUAAUUUUUAGCACUUAACUUAUUUUAUGAUUUUAAUUUAAUUUUUUUUAUAUAAAUUUUAUCUUUCACAAUUUAUAUUAACAUAUUAUUUGGUUAAUUUUCUUAUGGAUUCUUCUUCACAUGAAAUAACUAGGAAGUAUUUCAAUAAUCAAACUAAUUGUAGUGAUGGAUCAAGGUAUGAGAGAGAUUCAUGUUUCUUCAAGUAUAAAUAAAGAAAAGAAUUAAUUGAUAAAUAAUAAAAUGUGAAAUAAACUAUAAAAGAUGAACAAUAAACAAUGUGUUCAAAUAUGAUAACAAAAUAAACUUAUUUGCAAAGAAUUAAAUAAAAACAUAACGUUUAAUCAUAGCAAACAUUUUCAUCACCAAUUAGAUGGUCAAUUUUCCCAUUAGGAUUCUCAAAGAAAUCUGAGACAUUUAAAUGGGUUAGAUCCACUUGGCUAUCACUAUCAAUGACGUUCAUUUCAACUUCCUUUCCUUUAAUUGAUGCUUGGUAAAGGUUGACCAAAUGUUUGGGUGUACGACAGGUAUGCGACCAAUGCCUCUUCAUACCACAUCUAUAACACUUAUUCUCAUGGUUCUUAGGAGGUUUAUCUUGUAAAUACUUCCCAUUUUCUUGUUUUACCUUAGUAUUAUUCCACUUUUGGUGGUGCAAUGAGGCUUUCAUUUUUUGAGAAUUUGGUGAAUUAUUACUAUAAGAACCAUGGUAUCGGGGAUUUCUUCCACAACCAUGACCACGUCCUUGUUAUCGUCCACGACUUUGGGAUAAUAUUGCAUUCACUUUAAGGAAAGAUUUAGAUCUAGUUGGACGAGACUGGUGAUUUCUCAUCAAAAGUUCAUUUUUUGUUAAACAUUCAUGGAGAUGAUAACGAAGGAAAAUCAAUGUUUUUGCACAAUCCUGCAGGGAUGCUUGAUUUCCUUCUUUGAUCAUAGCUCCAAGAUUCAUUGACAAUUUUGUUUUGAAUAACUUCUGGUUAUACAAGAGAAUUAGAAAUUGUAUGCAUAACUUCUGCCUAUGAAACAAUUGUUAAUAAAAAUUGUUUUCCAUAAUUCCUGUUGUGAAAAAUAAAAGAGUAUGAAAUAAAAAUUAAAUCCAAUAUUUUUCAUAACUUUAAGUUAUGAUUAUUUUGUCAAAACAAGAAAAUAUUCAAAUUUGUACAUAGCUUCAGGCUAUGGACUAUUUAUGUAUAACUUCUAGUUACACGAUAUAAUUAAAAAAAUUAAAAGUUAAUAUCUUUCAUAGCUUCAGGCCAUGAUUAUUUUGUCAAAAUAAUAAAAUAUUUAAAUUUGUACAUAACUUAGGCUAUGAACUGUUUUUAUAUAUAAAUUUGUAUAUAGCUUCAGACUAUGAACUAUUCAUUGGGUAGAUUUGUGCAUAGCUUCGGCCUAUGAACUUUCAUUAUGUAGAUUUGUACAUAACUUCAAGCUAUGAUUAUUUAUUUAUUUUAUAACUUUUGACUAUAUAAUAUUGUUUGAUAUAACAUCCAGUUAUACCAUAUAAUUAAAAAUAAAUAAUUGGAGAUCAUAUACAUAACUUCUGAUCAUGUAUUUGUAAUUCUAUAAUUUUUCCUCAUAACUUCUAGUUAUAGGAAUUGCACAUAUUUUUCAUAACUUCUGGUUAUGAAUUUACCCCAUAAUUUAUAAUAUAUGGUUGUAGGAAUUGUACAUAUUUUUCAUAACUUCUGGUUAUGAAUUUACCCUAUAAUUUAUAAUUUACCCCAUAACUUCUGGUUAUAGGGAUUAUACAUAUUUAUGUAUUCAAAUAAAAUAAAUGAAAAUAGAGAUCAAAAGGUAAUAAAGUAGAAAAUCAUGAUAUAAGUUUAUCAUAUACCUUUUUGUGAGAAAAAAGAAAAAAAGUCUUUCUAUUUCUCUGAAAGGAAGAAUGUCUUUCUAUUUCUUUAAAGAGAAGAACGUCUUUCUUAUUUAUUUGAAUAGAGAAAAAUCUUUAUAUUUCUUUUGUAGAGACUAUUCGUGCUGAUAACGUGUUGUAAAAUUAUAAAGUGAAAGGAGAAGAAAACAAGAAAGAGAAUCAUAAUGUAGAAAGAGAAUAGAAUGUAUGGGAAAACUCUAUAUUAAAUUUCAUUAGGACUCUCUCCUUUUUAUUAGAAGUUACAAGAGAUAUUUAUGAAUGAUCAUCCACAAGUUACCAUAGUGGUACAAAAUCUUAUAUUUUAUAACAGUUUUCUAUUUUUAUUUUUUUAUUUUUUUCUAUGGAACAAAUAUUAUCAUACUUAGUAGAAUGUGCCCAUAUACUUAGUAGAAUGGGCUCGUAGUACCAUAUCGGAUUCAAUCAAUUAUCUAUGAUAGAUAAAGUCAUUUUGUAUUUUCUUAUUUGGUGGCACAAACUUGACCAUGAACACAUACCAUUAUUCUAACACUAAAGUGGACCACUAAAAUGCACUACGAAUCACUAAUAUACAACUCACAAGUUACAGAGUUAUCAUGAUCCACAAUAAUGCUUCACAUAUUAUAAUUUUUGAAAAUAUGAUAUUUUUCUUUAAGUGUGUAAUGAAUAUCUUAUUUGGUAACUAUUCUAAAAAAUAAUUUUUAAAGAUACUUUUUAUAAAUUGUUCUUUGAUAUUUUAUAAAAAAUAUUUAUUUUAAAACUUAAAAUGUUUUUAAUCUACUUUUUAUAUUUUUAAAUGUAUUUUAAAAAUAACUUUAUAUAUAGUGUUUUAUUUUUAAUUAUUCUCCAUAUUCGUAUAAUAUUUUUUAAAAUUUUUUUUAAUAAAACUAUUCUAAAUAAUUGUUUUCAUAACCAUUUCCUAAAUAGACCCUUAAUUUUUAGUGUUUUUUUUUCUUUGAAGAUGCCAAUUAUUAUUAUUGGAAAGUAGUUUUAAAGUAAAUGUAGAGAGUAGUGAUCAUUUUGAUGCAUUAGUUAUAUAUUUUGGACAUCUUUCUCACUACUUUUUAUUAUAUUAAUUUGCUCUUCUACAUCUAUAUAUUGUAUUUUUUUUUUUUAAAUUUUUUUUUGAUAUACUUAAUCAUUUUUGUGACAAAAAAAUAGAUGAUAUUUACAUUUAUAUUGAGUAACGAUGAUUCUCUUGAUAUAUAUAUAUAUAGAACAAGAUGACCAAGUCAUAAGACUUCUAGAUAACAGAUCCGUUGAAAAGCAUAAGAAAGAUGGCUAUAAUUUCAUACACUUUGGUAUGAUUCAAGUAGCAGCUAAGCCUUUGACAAGAUUAGGUUUAAACACCGCUAUUGUCAUGUGUUUAAGGGAUAAUAGGCAUCUAACCGACAUUUGCGGAGAACCAAUUAUUAAGCAAAUCAAGCAUUGGAGAGCCAGAGUCAUCAGCAGAGACUUUGAAGCCUACCUAAAAAACAUGGGGCAUCUCAUUGCUGCAGAUUCCCUACAUCAGAUAUUUUGCCUUUUUUUGCCUAUUUAAGGAGGCUCGGUCCUCAUUUGUAAGCACGUUUCAUUUUUCUCUCCUAAGCUUAUGCUCUCCCUUCUCUCUUCUUUCUCUCUCAUCAUGUAAGCCUUUCAAGCUUUCAAAGUUUAUUAAAGGAGAAAGUUUCAUUCCUAAUCACUCAAUUCAUGGAACUUGCAGGAUUCACAAGAACAUGGCCCCCAAGAAAGACAAACAACCUCUUAGGUCCAUUAAUUCUAAGGAUUCCCAUUCAGCUCUCUCUGAGAAAUUCACGCCAUUUUAUGACCAUUUUGAAAUAGCAGAUUCUUCUAGCCACUUCAAUCAUCACAUUACUUCACCAUCCACUAGUAUGGAUAUAGACUCAAGCUCGGAAUCUCUACCUUUUGUGGAAGAUUCCUUACCCACAAAUUCAUCUUUUAAUAAUGCUAACACUUUGUCUGAUUAUGUCAAUUGCAUUUUUGAAUGGCAGGGAAGUUAUGAGACUCUUGAAAGAAAACUUGAGUCAGUUGACUUUCAUAAGCUCAUGUUAAACGCUCAAGCCUCAUUUUCCCCACUGGAAAAUGGUGAGAAAAACCCAUUCACCCCACUGGUGAAUGAGAAAUUAAGUAAGGAUGAGCAGGAGUGCAUUAUCUUUAGAAUGUUUCACCAAAGGAAUGAGAUCCUGUCCAAACCAUGUCUAGGAGAUCCAGUGAUUCUCAAGAUACUGUUGUAAACAGUGAAGAGAUCAAUUAUCCUAAGAUCCAAAAUGAUUUAGAUGAUUGGAAGUUACCCAAGGUGUCUAAUCAAGAAAUUUAUAAGAAAGGAACCUUUAAGUUCUUCACAUAUUAUACCAUUAAGACCUCUGAAAUGACAGUCAGUUUAGAACAAGAUGACCAAGUCAUAAGACUUCUAGAUAACAGAUCCGUUGAAAAGCAUAAGAAAGAUGGCUAUAAUUUCAUACACUUUGGUAUGAUUCAAGUAGCAGCUAAGCCUUUGACAAGAUUAGGUUUAAACACCGCUAUUGUCAUGUGUUUAAGGAAUAAUAGGCAUCUCGAAUAUCGAGAUUCUAUUAUAGGCGCAGUCCAAGAUGGACUACAAACCUUAUGAGACGUCACCCCAACCCUCUUACAGCCUAACAAACGCCUAUCCACGGCUAACAACGGCUCAACCGGCAGGGCUCGCGCUCCCAGGCACACUGCUACCUAUCCUAGGAUAGGCCAAGAACACCGACAUGCAGAUCCUGAAGAUAUGCUGAAAUGAAAACUUGUUUUUCUUCAGCACUGGACCUGGCUUUUUCACAAAUUAGAAGGGUUUUUUCCUUAAGGUUUUUAACAAGGAUAAAGGUUUGCUUAAUACAGAUGUCAUGGUUACAGAUAUGAACAUCUGUUAACUUAUACUUAAUGGCAAGUCUUUCGCCAUUGGCUCCAAAUAGAGACUCACUAGUCUCUUCGCAUAAAGGAAUAGGUACCAGACCUUCUUGAAGGCAAUUUUCCGCUGCUCCUGAAUCAAUCAAAGCAAUAAUAUCAAAGACAAAUUUAUCUUUGACUACUAUAGUAAGGGAGACUUCCCACCUCUAGAAGAUAACCCUACUCACAGUAUUCAAAAAAGUAUUUGUCUCAUUAUCAUUAAUAUGAGAAGAUUCUGGAAUAUCCAUAUGGAUUUCUUGGUUGCCAAUUCUAUUGAUUUGAUCUUGGAGAUCAGAGAGACCUAGACUUAUGAAUUGUCUUAACUCCUUAAUCUCCUUUUUAUGCUGCUUAACUUCUUCAUGAAGUUCCUUAAUGCUGACAUCCUUGGGAGACUGCUGGUCAAACCUGUUUAAGAUAUCGUUAAGGUUAUAAGGAUUAACAGUCUUCUUGGCUUCUAUCUUAACAACAGAUUUCUUAAAAACUUCAUAAAGGCUUUGCUUAGUUUUUUCAUCUUCAACUUUUCUUAAAGUAUCUAGGAUGAAUUCUUGAUCUUGGCUUAUGACAUUUAUGGUUUUAGGACGACAAUUACAAUUACCCUUAAUACAAACAUCUUGGUCACUAGAAGAUUGGCUAGAAACAUCGCCACUGCUAUCUAGUUGAUUAAUAUCAUCUUCAUUAUCUGAAUCAGUCCUUGAUUCAGAGUCUGAGUUUAACAUUACUUUACAAAGCAUAUUUUUUAGGUCAUCUGAGACACUUAAGUUGUUAAUCUUUUGCUUAACUCUACAAUCUUUUUUAUAAUGGCCAACUUUGCCACAUUUAAAACAGAUAAUUGGCUUGACAUCUAAAGGAGUUUCUACCUUUUUCUGAGUAUCUUUGUUGACCCUUCUUUGGACGUGUCUUGACUGCUUAGUAUCAUUCAUCCUAUAGUUGUCAUAGGUACCUCUCUUAUUGUGGUAAAACUUAUCUUUGCUAGGCUUCCUGCUUGGCUUUUGCUUAGAGGGAGGCAUAGUUUCUUUUUGGCUGAAACCAAACUGGCUACAGAAUGAUCCAAAUUCAUUCUUGUAGAUUUUUUGUUCAUUCUUCAUUUGUUGCUUAAGCUUGAAGUCAUUGUACAACUUAAUCCCUUAAGCUGUGACAAUGCUUAUAAUCUCACCAUAGGUUAGCUUAUCAUAAGGGAUUUGACCGUUAUACUGUUCCCUUAUCUUGAUCCUAAUUCUCUCAGAGAAAAGCUUGGGUAAUCCUGAGAUGAAUUUUUCUUUCCAAAAAGACUGGUUACAAUCUGACCUUAGCAUGACUUUGGUUAGGAAGACUUCCUUAUACCACCUAAAAUCAUGAAGCUUGGGACACUUAAGGUUGGUUAAGAGGUCUGCAGUUUUAUCCUUAAUUUUUGCAGGAUCUCCAAUGAAGUGCUUGGAUAUUGAGUAGAUUAGAGUAGCCACUGCAUCUUCAACAUCUUGGCCAUCUUCGUCCUUAACAACUUCAUUACUCUCAUUGAUCCUAUAGGCUUUAAGGAUACUAUUCCUAUCAUCAAAAGUGAGAUAAUUAUCCCACCAACCCUUAAGCUGACCUGUAAACCCAGCAACAAUGGUCUGAGCUACAGCAUGAUCUGGCAGUCUAUUGUUUAAUUUAUAAGCUGUACUAACCAUGGUCAUUUCUUGAAGCUUAGUGAGUAUGUUAUACUCGGUCAUACCGUCUAUGUUCCAUUCAUAGAUAGUACCACUGGUGUAUGAGGCUUGAGUAUAUUGAUUUCUUUCCUCAAACUGCAUGUCAGGAAAAGUAGGCCUAGGAUAGUAAUUCCUAGUCUUAAAGGUUUCCAAGUUGUUAAUAAUUUGAUUAUGGGGUUCCUCAAACAUCUUAAUUAGUUCAUCAGCUUCUUCUUCUGAACUAAUAUCACCUUUAACCAUAUUGAUUCUCUUAUCGGGCCGAACAGUCAAAGGAGUAACAAGAUUAUCCUUAAUCUUCUGAUUAAUCUUAUCGACAAUGGCUUGGUUGACUUGGGGAUUUUCUUGGAAAUCCUUAGAGAAUUCAUAUGGCUUAUUUUCAUUAUUACUACUGGUAACCUUUAUACGCUUAAAGGGAUAAUCUGGAUAUUCCUCUUGUUUGAAGAGUUCAAACCAAAUCCAAAACUUAAUAUUUUUCUUUUCUUGUCUUAAGUAGGCAUAGAAUUCUUCUUGGUAAAUGGUUCUAAUGACCUUAGGGACAGUGCUAAAGAACCAAUCAUUUCUUUGCUUAUUGACUUCAGAAUAGAAGUCCUUUCUUAAGAGAUCCUUGUUGAUCUCAAAGUCCUCAUCACUUAGGCUUAUUGUGUUAAUCAUCUGGGAAUAGGUAGGAGACAUAACAGGGGACUCAUCCUGUUGGGAUUCCUGAGUAGACUCAUUUUCUUCACUGUAAAAUGGUCUAGCCACAUUGGUGUAACUUCUGACACCUGUUAGCUUAACGUUCUUAGGAUUUCCUGAGCUGGAUCCUUCUUCUUCCCUAGUGGUUCUAACUGGGAUGGAAGAGCUUGAAGCUCUAGAGGGUUCAUAAACAGAAACUCUAGGGCUGCUGGAGUGUCUGAAAGAUUUGGAGAAGACAAGGUCAUAUGCAAAUGAACAAAUGAAUUAUGCCAUGAUUCAAAACAAAGAAGAGGGUUAGAAAAUACAAAAGAUAUGUUUUUAUUUCGGCUUAUCUUCAGGAUCUGCACAUUUAUCUCUCAGCCAUUCCUGGUCUCAGUGUUCUAGGAUUAAAUUUAACCAAGGAAAUGGAAUUUGAUGGCUCAAAGCUUUGCAGAAGUUGUACUGAAUCGCUUCUUCAUCAACAAGACAACAAGCCAAUUUGGAUCUUCUUGGGGAUGAUGAAAUCUGACACCUGUUAGCUUAACGUUCUUAGGAUUUCCUAAGCUGGAUCCUUCUUCUUCCCUAGUGGUUCUAACUGGGAUGGAAGAGCUUGAAGCUCUAGAGGGUUCAUAAACAGAAACUCUAGGGCUGCUGGAGUGUCUGAAAGAUUUGGAGAAGACCAGUUCUCCUCCUCCAUCUGGAUAUUGAACAAUUUGUUCAAUACUUUGGUUCCUUGGAAUGAGGAUCAUACCAAGAUUGUUAAAAUAGUAAAGUCUAGAGUCAAAACUCUACCAUGUCUCGCCUUAGCUGAUCAUAAAGCCUUUAAGAUUGUUGAGACUGAUGCUUCUGAUAUAGGUUUUGGUNNNNNNNNNNNNNNNNNNNNNNNNNNNNNNNNNNNNNNNNNNNNNNNNNNNNNNNNNNNNNNNNNNNNNNNNNNNNNNNNNNNNNNNNNNNNNNNNNNNNAGAUCAAUUAUCCUAAGAUCCAAAAUGAUUUAGAUGAUUGGAAGUUACCCAAGGUGUCUAAUCAAGAAAUUUAUAAGAAAGGAACCUUUAAGUUCUUCAUAGAUUAUACCAUUAAGACCUCUGAAAUGACAGUCAGUUUAGAACAAGAUGACCAAGUCAUAAGACUUCUAGAUAACAGAUCCGUUAAAAAGCAUAAGAAAGAUGGCUAUAAUUUCAUACACUUUGGUAUGAUUCAAGUAGCAGCUAAGCCUUUGACAAGAUUAGGUUUAAACACCGCUAUUGUCAUGUGUUUAAGGGAUAAUAGGCAUCUCGAAUAUCGAGAUUCUAUUAUAGGCGCAGUCCAAGCUGGACUGAAUGAUGGCCCAGUUUAUUUCCAGUGCUAUCCUAACUUCACAGUUAGAUUAAGAGAUGCAGACAUCUUAGAUUCAGUUGUCCUGCAUAUUAAGACUCAUGGCUUUAAGAUCAAACCAGGAAACAGUCCUGUUUCUAUCAUAACCAAGUUUGCUUAUAAGAGCAUGAACACAAGCGUUGGAUCUGGGGCUCUUUGCACCAGUCCUAAGGGUGAAACCACUUACUUUCUCUGAAUGAUGGCCCAGUUUAUUUCCAGUGCUAUCCUAACUUCAUAGUUAGAUUAAGAGAUGCAGACAUCUUAGAUUCAGUUGUCCUGCAUAUUAAGACUCAUGGCUUUAAGAUCAAACCAGGAAACAGUCCUGUUUCUAUCAUAACCAGGUUUGCUUAUAAGAGCAUGAACACAAGCGUUGGAUCUGGGGCUCUUUGCACCAGUCCUAAGGGUGAAACCACUUACUUUCACUCUGAUAUGCUAGAUAAGUCAGAUUUCAUCAUCCCCAAGAAGAUCUUGUGGAAAGAUGUUGAUUUCCCUGAAAAUUGGCAUUUUGCUAAUGCUGUUCCAGCCAUAGCACAGCGUUCUGAAAGUAUUGAACAAAUUGUUCAAUAUCCAGAUGGAGGAGGAGAACUGGUCUUCUCCAAAUCUUUCAGACACUCCAGCAGCCCUAGAGUUUCUGUUUAUGAACCCUCUAGAGCUUCAAGCUUUUCCAUUCCAGUUAGAACCACUAGGGAAGAAGAAGGAUCCAGCUCAGGAAAUCCUAAGAACGUUAAGCUAACAGGUGUCAGAAGUUACACCAAUGUGGCUAGACCAUUUUACAGUGAAGAAAAUGAGUCUACUCAGGAAUCCCAACAGGAUGAGUCCCCUGUUAUGUCUCCUACCUAUUCCCAGAUGAUUAACACAAUAAGCCUAAGUGAUGAGGACUUUGAGAUCAACAAGGAUCUCUUAAGAAAGGACUUCUAUUCUGAAGUCAAUAAUCAAAGAAAUGAUUGGUUCUUUAGCACUGUCCCUAAGGUCAUUAGAACCAUUUACCAAGAAGAAUUCUAUGCCUACUUAAGACAAGAAAAGAAAAACAUUAAGUUUUGGAUUUGGUUUGAACUCUUCAAACAAGAGGAAUAUCCAGAUUAUCCUUGUAAGCACAUUAACAACACCUCUAAAAAAGCUAAGAUAUGGAAAACCAGUGACAACAUUGUUAUAGAAUCCAUUCAUCCUCCUGAAGCUAAGAUAGAGAAGAAUAUUAAUGGAACCAUUGUCACAGCUUCACCUUUUAAGACUAAGCCAGAGGAUAAAGGAGCUGCUAGUGCAUCUGAUAUUAGAAGGAUUAUGGAACAAAUCAAUUAUACUAAUAUGUUUCUCAUAACCCUUGGAAAUCAAGUCAACAGAGUUGAAGAGAUUAUUGAAACUCAGGAUCACCUUAAGAAGCCUUUUGUUAAGAAUGAUAAUAAGCCUUUGUUUAAGCCUUUUGAAUUAUCUAAGAAAUUCCAGGAAAAUCCUCAAAUUGAUCAAGCUUUCAUUGAUAGAAUAAGCCAGAAGGUUAAAGAUAAUCUUGUUAUCCCUGAAACACCUCAACCUUCCCAUAGGAGAAUCCUUUUGGUUAAAAAGAAUAUUAGUCCAAAAGCAAAGGAUAAUGGACUAAUUAGGCUAACCAGAGAACCUUCUAUCCAAAACCCUUUUAAGAAUCAUGAUGAGAAACAAGAAAGGAUUAUCCUUAAUACCCUGACUAUUAAAGAUCUUCAAGAAGAAAUAGGGCAGUAUAAGAAGGAUAUUGAGAACCUAAGACAACCUACAAGCUCAGAAAUCCCUAUCCCUCAGGAUUAUAUCAACAGGGUAGGUUUUUACCACAGUAGUCCUAAAAAGGAAGACUUUGAAGAAGUUCUUGAAUCUUCACAAGACAAUAGUGAUAAGAUAAAUGCAUACUUAAAUACUAUUAGUAAAGUUAUCUUCCAAAGGUGGGAAGUCUCCCUUACUAUAGUAAUUAAGAAUAAAUUUAUCCUUGAUAUUAUUGCUUUAAUUGAUUCAGGUGCAACUUUGAAUUGUCUACAAGAAGGUCUUGUACCUACCCAAUUUUAUGAGAAAACCAGGCAAGCCCUCUUUGGUGCUAAUGGUAAAAAGCUUAUUAUCAAGUACAAGCUUUCGAAUGCCCAUAUUUGUAACCAAGGUAUUUGCAUUAAGCAAACCUUCAUUCUUGUUAAAGAUCUCAAGGAGAAAGUUCUCCUUGGAGUCCCUUUCUUAAGCUCCAUCUUUCCUAUGUGGGUAGAUGAUCAAGGUAUAAGAACUAAGCUUUUAGAUAAGGAAAUUCUGUUUGAAUUUGCCAAUCCACCUGGAGAAAGAAGUAUAAACACCAUAAAAGAUCAGGUGAUUAAGGCUAAGCAAAAUCAUAUUAAUCUCUUAAAACAAGAGAUUGCUCUGGUUAGAAUAGAAGAUCAACUGAAGGUUAAGAAAACCCAAGAUGCUAUAGAAAACCUUAAGAAUAAGAUUAUUAAGGAAGUUUGUUCUAACAUUCCUAAUGCUUUUUGGCACAGGAAGCAGCAUGAGGUAGAAUUACCCUAUGAGCCUGAUUUUAGUGAGAAAAAUAUUCCCACUAAAGCAAGACCAAUCCAAAUGAACAAAGAUUUGUUAAGCUAUUGUGAAAAAGAAAUCCAGGAUCUCAUGGAUAAGAAGUUGAUAAGGAAGUCUAAAUCCCCUUGGAGUUGUUCAGCUUUUUAAGAUGGAUCAGGUAUCCUAUCCCAAAUAAAAAGGACCUCCUUCAAAGAUUAGGGAAAUCCAAAGUGUUCUCUAAGUUUGACAUGAAAUCAGGAUUUUGGCAAAUCCAGAUUGCAGAAAAAGAUAGGUACAAAACAGCCUUUGUGGUCCCAUUUGGUCAUUAUGAGUGGAAUAUAAUGCCCUUUGGCCUUAAGAAUGCACCUUCUGAGUUUCAAAACAUAAUGAAUGAAAUCUUUAACCAGUUUUCUGAUUUCAUUAUUGUUUACAUUAAUGAUGUUUUGAUUUACUCAGAUUCUGUUGAGCAGCAUUGGAAACAUCUCAAUAGGUUUAUUGAGACUGUUAAGAGCAAUGGUUUAAGCUUGUCAGCCACUAAGAUUAACCUCUUUCAAACUAAAGUAAGAUUCCUAGGUCAUCAUAUUCACCAAGGAACAUUCACCCCCAUUCAAAGGUCAAUUGAGUUUGCUGAUAAGUUCCCUGAUGAAAUUAAGGAUAAGAAACAAUUGCAACGUUUCUUAGGAAGCCUUAAUUAUGUGUCAGAUUUCUUGAUCACAAGGAGUGAUGCUCCCAAUUGGAUUAGCAAAUUCAAAAAGAAUAUAUAUAUAUAUAUAUAUAUAUAUAUAUAUUUUCAUUUUUUUAUAAUUUUUAGAAUUUUCUUAUAAUGUUUGGGAUUUUUGAAUUGUGAUAUUAAUUUAUAGUUUAUCAUAUAAAUUAAUUACUAUUUGUUCCACACAUUGUUUUCCACAAAUAUUAUUAGUAGGUUACAUGUUUGCAUGACCUUAAGAACUUACAAAGCAUUGACGAAGAUCAUUGAGUUGAAAUUUUUAGUUUAGACAAAAAAUUGAGAUAGUGUAUGUUUUUUUAACUUAAUUUUAAAUAAAACUUAAAACUAAAUAGUAUUUAAUAAUGUUGACUAUUAAGUUAUUUGUUUUUUUAAAUAUUUUAUUUCUAUUAAGUGUUGAGAAGUAAAAAAAAAACUAAUAAAUUAUUUUUAGCAUUAAAAAAAAGUUAAAUAUUUUUAUUUUUUCUAUUCAAUCAAAAAAUUUAAGAAAUAAGUAAUAAGUAAUAAGUAAUAGAAAGUAAAAAAAAAAAAAAAAAACUGAAAUAUGAAAAUAAGUUGCUUUUAAUAAAAAGUUAAAAAAACAAACAAACAAACAAGACUUGAGUGGUAUAUAAACUCUUUUUUCAGAGCAUUGGAGGAGUUAUGUAAUAAUUAUUUAGUCACAAAAUUGUUAAAGAAGGAUAUUGCUGUAGGGACCACCCCCAAACGCACACGUGGCAGCCUCACAGAGCACUCCUCCAUUGGGCACGUGGCACGUCCAACUUUCUGUCCGGAUUUCCUCAAGGGGGCACGCAACACUCUCAAACUCUUUAUUUGAAUGACCCCCACUCUCUUGUCCGGACGUCUUGUCCAGACCCAGUGCUAGUGUCUUAGACAAAAGUCUUGGUCGUGUUUUGUGGGCCAUCAUUAUUUAUACUACUAAAAGCAUGCUUGACGGGACCCUCCUGACUCACUUCAGGCAACCUGUCACGACCUGCACCCCGUUGCCUGCAGAGUGAAAAGACAGAGAUGACGGCAAGUCAUCCCUCUCAUAAUUUCUGACAGCCGCCUCUACAGGACAAUGAUGGCUCUACCACCAUCUUCGCACCAUCAUGACAAGCCAAAAAGUCUUCCCACCAUUAAAGGAGACAAAGCUCCUGACACUAUAAAAGGCCCUCACACAUUAAAAGAAGGUAAGCGUUCUUGCCCAAAAGAGGAGGACCCAAGAGAUAAUAGAGAAAUGUUAGAGAUAAAGGCUAACAAAACCAUCGAAGGGUGUGUCCGGACCCCCUGUUCGGACAUCUUUUGUAGGUUGAAUGAAGCGGGUACCAUCUUCAGUUGAGGAGACGCGUCCAUCUGGCAUCUGUAGUGGCCCCGGUGACGCGAGGCCUCAACAAUUGCUACUCAUCCAGAGUAACUACUUUAGGUUGAUUAUCUUAUUCCAAAUAAUUCUUGCAUCUAAUAUUGUUGCAUAUUUUCUAAGAUUCAUAUAGGUCUUGAAGAUUUAAUUAAGAUCAUCAUCACUUUGUAAAUGAGGCCAUCCAAGUAAGUAUGGUUGAGUUAGUUUAGUGAAUGACAACAUAAAUUAAGAAGUAUAUUUUGGGCAUUAUUACAUAACACGAGUUUUACGGGUUUGGAAAAGCAAAUUUAAAGAGUGCUCAAGAACUUAAGAGCACUCACUAUGAAACAUGGUACUAUUAAACAUGAAGAUGUGCAUAGAUCCUAACCAAUGUAAAACCCCUAAGGAAAUUAAUAGCAUCUAGUUCAUGUAAAAUUGUGAUUUAUUUUUUUUGAAUUUGCUCAACAAUCAAUUGACCAAUAAUAUAUAAUUAAUUUAUAAAAAAUAUUUAUUGAUUUUUGUUUUGAAAUAUGAUAUAUCAUAUAUGAUAUAUGAUAUAUCCCAUUGAUCAGGGGAUAAAAAAAAACAAAAAAAACGAAGGAAUCAAGCCCCAUGUGUAAUUUCAAGAAUUCAGAUUAGAACUUCUAAAUGAGAACUAAAACUAAAUGAGGUUCAAUUUAAAUAUGUAUUUCUUGUUGAUGGACGUACAUGUUAUUAUUGUAUAGUCCAGUGAUGAACUCAUCCCUUCAAUUAUACUUUAAAGAGAACUCCUAUCACUAAUAUUUGACUUUUCAGGGUUACAUACAUAUACAUAUAUAAUGGAUGUACAAGCAACUAUAAAAAUAACAAGUGUAAUUUCAUUGAUUGGAACAUGUAAUGAAGUAUAAAAAUAAUUUAAAUAUUUAGUUUUUUUUUUUAAUUGAUAAUGGGUUAUGUUUUAAAAAAAAAGUAUAGAUCUAUACAUUUAAGGUACAAUAAUACUGUUCUUAAGUUAAAAAAUGAGUUACUCAAAUAAUGACUCUUAAAACAAGGUUGAUGAUGUGAUGUCAAAUGUCAUAAAAGGUUUGAUAUGCACUAAUUUAUCACUAAUUGGUUUUCAAAUGAGAUGAUGAAAACUCGAUCCUAAAUUAACAAAUAUGAGAGAUUGUGUAAGAUGCAUCGUAAUUGGGCAAAUUUAAAAAAUAAUAAUAAGAAAAAAAAAAUGAAAGGCUUGAUCCUUCAAGUCAGAAAUUAAUAUUAUGGUGAUAAAAAAACUGAAUGUAAGAAUUUAAGAAUGGGGCGCUGGUGAGUGUGCACAACCACCCACUACAGCUUUAAGAACUGGUGAGCUGAAAAAUUCAACUAUAUAUGAGAGACUGCUGGGUGUCAUGGAUAAAGACUGAUUAUCAAGGGUCAGUAAUCAAGUUUCAUCAUCCUCUAAAAGUAAAAAAAUAAUAAUAUAAAUUAGAUUUCUUUUAAUAAUAUGUACUUUGACUGGCAUUAAAGAGUCAACCUCUUCAAGAAACUGAGAAGUAAGGGUUGUACAUUUUAAACAUUUUCUAAUACUUAGGGUUUGUUUGCUUACCAAAGAAAAAUGAUAUUAAUUUUGGUAAAUUUUGACCUCAAAAGUAGUGUGAGUACUAGAAAAAAAAUAUUUAGGUCUUUUAUAAAUUGGAUUAUUAAAUUCGUGUGAACACAUGUGAUGAUAAACAUAGGGAUAUUAGGAAUUUAAAAUAUUUUCUUUAUUUUAAUAUAAAAAUUAAAUUUUAUUUAAAUAAAUCAUUUUAUGUUUACACUCAAUUCUUGGUUUUUUUUUUUUCUCUGUUUAAAUAAAUUUAAAUAAACAUAUUAAUUAUUAUCAUAAUAGUUGUUUUCUUUUUGUAUUUUUAAAUGAGUAGCCUGCUUUUGAUUAGGAAGAAGAGCUUUCAUAGUUCAAUAAAUUUUUGAAAAUGUUGUAAAACACUUUCAAGUUUCCAAGGCAAAUCAACAUAGUAGCAAAACAAUUUUCAUUUCUACCUUAAACCAAUAAUAUCAAAUAAUUUGUUACAAAUAAAAAAAAACAUAAUAAAAAUAAUAGAUUUAUGUAAAAAACCCUCCAUUACCACUAUAAAUCUUCUAAAAAAUCUCAUAAUUAUGGUUUCAUUUUAUAUGUCGCAUUAUGAAUUUUUUGGAUAACAAAACUCCAAUAUAAAUAUUUCAUACAAAUUUAUACGAUGUAUGAUUGAAGAAGAAACCAAAAUAAGAAAUAUCUUUUAUGAUUGACAAGUAUUUAUAAUAUUUGUCAUGAGAUCGGCCACAUCCAUAAAUCAAAAUAUCUUUUAUAAAGUCAAAAAAAUGUUGGAAUCUGAUUGAUUGCCAUGGUAAUGACAAAAAAAUCAAAAUAUCUUUUAUAAAGCCAAAAAAAUGUUGGAAUCUCAUUGAUUGCCACGGUAAUGACAAAGAACAGGGAUAAGACACAAAGACGCAAUAAUUUCAUUGAAGGUCCCUUCCCCCGAGUGAUAUGCCAUUUUGUAGAAUCUGUUGCUGCCAAUGCGUGCGCAAUACUUGUGGUGAAAAUGGCAAGCUGGAUUCUUGUCGUUGUAACACCUGUCUCGAUUUCAUUUCUCAUGUCAACAGCAACAACAGUGUAUCAUUUAUUUCCCUCCAUUUAUAAUUAACAAAUAAACCUUCUUUCCUCCCCCACCAUCUUCAUCUUCAGCCUAUUCUCUUCUUCUCCUCGGUUCCACAUUAUUUUUUUCCGUCCUUUUCGAACUCACUCAAAAUUGAACAUGGAGCAAAAAAUCCCAAUCAACGGAAAUUGUAGGGAAAAAAUUCUAUAUGAAAUACAUAAGUAUCUUUAAGGUUACAAAUUUCGACAAUUUUUUUCCAUGCAUUUUCUAGGAAACCAAACAAUGAAAAAACACAAGAGAAUAUAAUCCGGAAAAUUACCUGAUAACAAUAGGGUUUCAAAAUGUAAUUCUAUUGUUCUUCAUCGCCUCGAUACAUUGCCUUCUCUCCUCAGCAUCAUAGGCCCUUUUCAACCCACAAAGUGGGUUUGCAUUUGCAUAAUCACCUAGAUUUUCUUCCAAAUAAAAAAGAAAAAAAUAUAUAUAGAAGGAAAGAAAAAUCUGACCUCCCUAAUUACUCCAAAACCCGCUUCUCUCUCUACUAUCAUUUUUCCCACUCCCUCUACCGUUCUUCUUCCCACUACCUUUACAGGUCUCUAAUGAGACCCACUGCACCAAACUCUGAUUUUCAAGUAAAAAAUAAAUAAAAAAUAAAAAAAUUCCCCUUCUUAGUAAACAAUAUGAGUUCGCAUCUCAUUAGUGAGGAUCCCAAAUCCCAAUUGGUGUACCCCACUAUCUUUCUUCCUAAACCCCCUCAGGUUCACCUGAGUCAUAUUCUUUAUUUAUUUAAAAAUAAAAUUUAGAAUAUUUACAAAAAAUUUAACUUUUAAUUAGAAAAAAUAAUUUAUAAUAGUUAAAUAAAGAUAAGUUUUUAUGUAAGGUAUGGAAAAAAAUUAUUAUCAAGUAUUUGCUAUGCUAUAUUAAUGAUUUUUUUUUUAAUAUUUGCAAAAUUGUUUAGUGCCCAAAUCGUAAUAUUUAAAAUAAAUAAAUAAGAAAGUAGAUAAAAGAGCCAUAGAAAAAAUAAUUUAAUAAAAAUAUAUAAAUAAAAAUAGUGCACGUCUUACAUAAAAAAAAAGUUUAUCUUAUAUUUAAGUAUUAUUUUUCCAUUUAUAAUUACUUUUUAGGUGUCUCAUUAAUAAUUAUCUGAACAACCCAAAAUAUUCAAAAAAAUCAAAAUAGAUAAAAUGUCCAUGAUAUUAAGAGAAUCUAGAGUGUUAAAAACAUUAAUGUAUAUUUGACUAUUAAAGAAAUUACAAUUAUUUGUGAUAAUGAAAAAAUAUUUUAGGAAUGUUAUUUUUUUUUCUUAUCAAAACUCUCUAAUAGUUUUAAUUUAUUAAACUAUUAAUUAAAUAAUAAUAAAAUAGUAAUUUUCAAAUAGAUCAAAAUGGUUGAAUGUUUAAAAUGAAAAGUCAAUUUUUCUUUAUGCAUAUAGAUAGAUAUAGGAGAUCAAGUGAACAGAUGUUAUUAUUUUAGAUAUAAUCAAUUGACCAAUAUAAUUAAUAAUAAUUAGAUUUCUCAUCUUAAUACGAUUAUUAUUUUAGUUUUCUAAAAUGUUUAAAAUAUUGUAUCUAAUUUUUUUUUAUUUAAACAAAAUUAAUAAUUCUUUUUUUUUUUUUCAAUUUCUUGAAAUUUUUGAAAAAAUAAAUCUUGUAAAAAAAAUCCUAUUUAAUGAAACUAUAAUCCCUAACAUAGAGCUUCAACAAAUAAUAAGGUAUGCAUAUUUGUUAAAUAAUAAAAAAUUAAUUAAGUAAUAAUAAUUAUUUUUUAUUGACAUCUAAAUUUUUUAUUACAGAACAAAUAUAUAAAUAAACUUGUCACGACAUUACAAUAUAUUUUUUGAAAACAAAUGCUAAAAAAUUUAAAUAUUUUAUUUUAUCUUACUAAAUUAUUUUCUCAUAUAUAUUUUUUUAAAAACUAGAAUACCAUGUUUUAUAUUUAAAUUUUUGUUUCUUUAUACUUUUAUCCCACUUAAACACUUUUGAGAGUGUUUCUAAGAAUUCUUUUUAAUUGAAGUGUCAUUUUUUUCUUAAAUAUUUUUAAAAUUUUAUCAAAUACUAAGUGGAUGCUUGGUAAACCAACUUAAUAACUUAAAGUGACUUAAUAACUUAAUUUAAGUUAUUAAGUAAAUUAAGUAUGUUUAGUAAGACUUAAAGUAAAAAAAUAACUUUAAGUAAUAAAUAAAAACAAUUACUUAUUCUUAAACUUACAACUUUAUUUUAUAUUUCUUUACCCUUAUUUGUCUUAGUUACUUUCACGAUCUCUUUUACUACUCUACAACUUCUUGGUGUUGUGCUAACUGGAUGUAGGUCUAUCUAGCUUCACUAGAGUCAAACAAAUUUCUUCUCUGCACAAAAGGAUGUUCAAAUAGGUGGUUCAAGUACGCUCCUCUGAAGCUUAAGUCGAAAUCUAGCAAAAGUGAAUCGAACUUUUUGAAUGGCUAUGUGUGCGUACCUUUUUCAUCCUUUUGGAGGGGUUUUUAUAGAACAUUUAGCGCCAUGAUCACAACAUUGAUUGCGCAUUUAUGCCUUUCUUGAGUUGAUGAUCGCCGUCAUGGCAAAUAUUAUGCCUUAAUAAGGUAGUCAACGCCAUCAUCUUACCAUAGAUUGGGUAAUCAUAACAAACAAGAACCGUUGAUUGGUGCCAUUUGUAGGCUAUCAUGCAAGAAUCUCGAACCAUGUCGUUAAUUGUGCAUUUACAUUUGUCAAUGUCGUUGAUUGCAUGUAAUGACUAAUUGACAUUGAUUUUUGGGUGUAAAUGUCAUCUAGAUUGUCGCUUAGGCAUUGACGAUGAUUAAUCAUUUGUCAAAUGCUUAGAAUUUUCAAUUGGGUUGGUUUGUCCGUUUGAAAGUCCCCAGUCAACUUGUCUGUCCAUUUCGUCUGGCAUUGGGGAAAAAAGAAAUUUGUAUUUCCUCUUGUGUCAAAUGGAGCUUGUCUUAGUCCAGACGGAUUACACCCUAACAAAUUACCUGCUUACCUUGGACGGUCAAAGGGUCUUGAGCCUAGGUAGGACACGUGGAGAGAAACUUUCCACACAACCUCCAUGGUUAUUCGAUUUUGCCUAAAUUAUAAUUUAUGAGAAUAAAUAUAUAAAUUUAAUGAUUUAAAAUAAAUUUUAAGUUAAUUUUAUCAAAUAACCUUAAUAUUUAAAGUAAAAAUUAAGUCAUAAGUUUUCAAUUAACAACUUAAGUAUAAUUUAACUUAAAAUCAAUUUAAACUAUUAAGUAAUAAGUAUAAAAUUUUAUCAAACACCCACUAAUUGUUUUUUUUAUUUUAUUGAAAAACUUUUUUCUACAUGUUUUCUUAAAGAUUUUUUUGAACUUUUUUUAAAAGUGUUUUAAAGUUUUAUCAAAUACUUCAUUUGCUUUUUUUUGAAAAAAAAAUGUUUUUUUUUAAACUUAAAAUUAGUGGAUAUUUGGUAAACCAACUUAAUAAGUUAAUUUAAAUCAUUAAGUAAAUUAAGUAUGUUUCGUAAAAUAACUUAAUGAAAUGACUUAAAGUUAAAAACAACUUUAAGUAAGAAGUAAAAACAAUUAAUUUAUUUUUAAGUUCAUAUCUUCAUUUGACAUUUUUACCCCAAUUUGCCUUAAUUACCUCUGCAAUCUCCUUAACUAUUACUCAACUUUCUCUACCCUAAUUAUAAUUUAUGAUGAUAAAUAUGUCAAUUUAAUGAUUUAGAAUAAGCUUUAAGUUAAUUUUAUCAAACAAACUUAAUACUUAAAGUAAGAAUUAAUUAAUAAAUUUUAAGUCAACAACUUAAAUAUAAUUUAACUUAAAGUAAACUUUAGUUAUUAAGUAAUAUAUAUUAAAUUUAACUAAACACCCUCUUAGUUUUAUUUUGAAAUAACUAUCGGUAGAUUCUUACUCUUAUUUAAGUGUGUUUUUUUUUUUUUUUUCCCUCAAUGAUCUUGAUUAGUCAUACAUAUCCACACUUGAUAUUAAGAGUUGAUUUUCCUCUAAUGACAUUGGACCAACCUUUUUGAGCUUUACCGUCUCAAUGAUCUUGAUUAGUCAUACAUAUCCACACUUGAUAUUAAGAGUUGAUUUUCCUUUGAUGACAUUGGACCAACCUUUCUGAACUUUACCGUCUAACUAAAGAUAAGCACUAAACGGUUGUUGUGAGACUGACAUUUGGAGCCCUUCCACUUGCCUACAUAUACCCCAGAAGUUGGCUUUAGGUUUUCCAUCUUCAACCUCUCCUUUUGCCCAAUCUUUUAUCAUUGAAUAACAGACAUGGAUCUCUUCUUUUCAUAUCUACUAUACCUUAUACUAUUCUCCAUAUCACUUCCAAUAGUCUUCCUUAUUACUUACAGGCACAAAUCCUCCAAUCCAAACCUUCCCCCUGGGACAAUGGGAUGGCCAAUCAUAGGAGAAACUUUGGAAUUUUCUUUGGCUUGUCAAGGGGGGAACCCGGGGAGAUUCUUGAACGAUAGAAUGAACAAGUACUCCCCUCAAGUGUUCAAGACCUCCUUAUUGGAAGCGAACAUGGCUGUGAUGUGCGGCGCUUCGGGCAACAAGUUUCUUUUCUCCAACGAGGACAAACUUGUAGUCUCAUGGUGGCAGCGUUCAAUGAAGAAGAUUUUGUGCUUCCCAUCUGUCUUCAACGAAACUUUAACAGGAGAUAAGUUCAGACCCCCUACCUUCCUUCCUGAAUUUCUCAAGCCAGAAGCUCUGCAACACUACCUAGCCACCAUGGAUUCGAUGGCAAGCGAACACAUUGAGUUGAAUUGGUCUUCUAAUAGAGAGGUACUGGUUUUUCCGCUUGCAAGGAAGUACAGCUUUGCGUUGGCUUUCCGGCUCUUUAUGAGCAUUGAUGAUCCUGAGUAUGUUGAGAUGAUUUCUCAUCCCUUCCAGAUUUUGAACGAAGGAUUCCUUUCUGUGCCUAUAGAUAUUCCUGGGACGACAUUUAACCGUGCUCUCAAAGCCAGCAAAUUCAUUCACAAUGAGCUUCUAGCAAUCAUCAGAAAGUGAAAAAUGGAGUUAGAGCAGAAGGGAGACUUAGCUACUAGAGACCUACUGUCUCACAUGCUCUUAGCAUCAGAUGAAAAUUGUGAUGUUAAGAGUGAGAUGGAGAUCAGUACUCAAGUUAUUUGUCUGCUUUUUGCUACCCAUCACACCACAAGUUCUGUCAUCACAUUCAUCCUCAAGUACCUGGCCGAGUUCCCUGAUGUCUAUAGCAAAGUCUUAAAAGGUAAUACCUAAAAAACCGGCUGUCUCCUUUCUUUUGAAUCCAUUUCAAGCUUACAUGCAUUGUUGUUUGAUAGUGUUUUCAUUUGAAGUAUUUUUUAAAAAAUGUUUAUAGACGAGAUAUAAAGUAUUUGUCUUUUCUUUUGUCUUGGCCUUGAUCCAUGGGGUAGGUGAAUAGAUUCGUUGACGAAAAUUUUUAAAAAUUUUAAGAUAGUUUUUCUUCCUCAUCUUUCCCCAACUAUUGUGAAGGGUUGUUCAUUAACAGACCAAAUUUAAAAUUAAUUUUUUUGAUUCAAUAGAGCAAAUGGAGAUUGCAAAGAGCAAAGGUCCGGAAGGGUUUCUGAAGUGGGAUGACAUUCAAAAGAUGAAAUAUACUUGGAAUGUAGCAAAUGAAACAAUGAGGCUAACCCCACCUGUGCAAGGAACUUUUAGAGAAGCCAUAACUGACAUCACGUAUGCAGGUUUUACAAUUCCAAGGGGAUGGAAGGUAUGUCAUAUAUAAAGUGCUGUUUUGUAAAAUCAAAUUGUUUGUGGUACACUCACGAAACUUACUGGAAAAUUUUGUCCUGCAGAUGCAUUGGAAUGUAAAUACAACACAUAGAGAUCCCAAGUAUUUUCCUGAUCCCGAGAAAUUCAAUCCCUCGAGGUUUGAAGGAAAAGGGCCUCAACCAUUCACUUUUGUGCCUUUUGGGGGAGGGCCUCGGAUGUGCCCCGGAAGGGAAUAUGCUCGAGCGCAGGUACUUGCAUUCAUACAUCAUGUGGUGACAAGAUUCAAAUGGGAGAAAGUAGAUCCCUGUGAAAAGGUUGCAUAUAAUCCAUCACCCAUUCCUUCCAAGGGCUUCCCAAUUCGCCUCCAGCCUCUACAAAAUGGAUCUAUUUAAGAUUUGGUUAUUUAAGAAGCUAUAUUUGUGGUGCAUUUGAAUGUUUCAAUAAGAUGGCUGCAUGCAUAAGUUUCAGUUCCUGCAAAAUAAAGUGGACAACUAAUAUAGCAAAAAAAGAAAAGAAAAAUUAAAAUAUAUUAAUUCCAAUAAUCAAUGAAAGGACAUGUUGGGAAGUAUCCAAAAUUCCUAAUUAGUAUAAAUUCCUUUUUAUAAAGAAUAUUAUAUACAAUAUUUCCUAAGUUGAUACAUUAUUGUAAUAUUAGAUUUCCUUAUAGAAUAAAAAAAGUUCUUGGAAAUAUCUUUAUAAAUAUUUUAGGUCAUGAAAGGAAAAUGUUAUGAGAUGGAGACGAGCCUAUAAAGACCAUACGAGGUGGAUAGAUGUGAGGGAGAACCAUACAAGGUGGAUAGGAAUGUGAGGGAGAAUGAGAGAUACCCGGUGGAGCGAGAGAGCUUUUGGUAGGAUAUGGAUACAAAGAGUGGGGGAUAUGAUAUGUUUGGAGGACUCAAUAGUUGUAUCUAGUUCUAUAAUCUAUAAUGUUCUAUAUUGUAUAAUAGAAAGAUUCUCUCCUUUGUGAAUGUAGACAUGUUUGGUUAAACCACAUUAAAAUCUCAUGUACCAGGUGAGUAAUUGUUUUAUCUUUCUGUUCUUGAAUGGUAUCAGAGCUUUUGCUGACACAACAUGUACAAUUUUUUAUGAUUCACAGGAAUAAUAUUUUUCUCUCAUUCAAUCUCCACUAUGUAUAAGAAAAAUGAGAAAAGAUGACACCUUAUAAUAAAAAUAAUGGCGCUUUUUACAAGCCCCAACAAAUCAAGCAUUCUUAUAACCAUUUUUUGUAGUAGAAAUCUCUUUCUUGAUUUCAAUCCAAGGGCAAUGGAACUGAAAGUUUACUUGAGGGCUAGAGGUGACUUAUUUUUUAGUAACCUUGUUCAAGGUGGACGAAGAGUGGGUGUGGAGUGUAUGGUAUUCCUUCACAAGUGUGAUGAUUGGUUCAAGAUUUGAAUUGAGUGCCACGCAGGCCAAAGCUAGUGGUUUCUAUUAGAAGUUGUUACAUCAAUUAGUUUAUAUGCUGCAUAUAUUCAGGGGUAUAAAGGAGACUAUUGUAAUAGAAUAAGACUAGACUUCAGGAAAGGUUUUGGGGUGUGUUUGAGAGAAAAUAGAGAAGAUUUUCUUGAUGAGUUUUUUUAGAAAAUCAAACACAAACAAAGAGGGAAGAGAUCUGUAAGAACCUUGUACUCAAAGUUCAUCAACAAGAUUGACUCUGCAUAUUUUGGCAUAAGGACAAGUUUAUGAGGGAUUUCCUUGCUCUAUUUAAGAGGGAGUUUAAAUGAGGGCCAAAAGACUUAUUCUUAUUAAACUUAUGAAGAAAUUUUUUUAUUGUUUCAAUGAACUAAGCAGUUUCCUUCUAGAAGUUGUCCCUUUAUUAAUUUGCGUUAAAAUUAAGAAAAAAAUGCUUCAAGGUUUUUGGUUGUAUUAGAAACUGUCAUUUUUUUUUGGGUCCCCUCACCAGACCGACAUUGAAGUAUAAUAUCUGUAUUCAUAGGUGAAUUGAGGCACUUGAUCCGGCCCCUUAGAUUUUCAUCUCCUAAUUUGGCUCCUUGAUUGCAAAUCUCUUUAUGAUAUUUUGUCAAAAAGAGAAUAUGCUACCUUAAUCUAUUUGAUCAAUUCAAUGGCCAUUUGGACCUAUUUUGGUGUCAACAAGACAUCCAAACACCAAGAGACAACGUGCAUUAUCGACCUAGUUGGAAGCCUGGAGCUUGAAAUUGUUUUCUAUUGAUGAGUUAGGCUUGGGUUGUGGUGGACCUUGGCAUGAUUUGACCCUUUUUCUAAUCCACGUCGGGCCUUAAUUUAACGAAGUAGACUAAGGGAUUGAGCACUUGGUGGGAUUGAAGAAAUCUUUUUGGGGAAGUACUGGAUCUUGAAGCUUGAAACAUCAAUCUUUGAAGAUGUCAACAAUUUGAACAUGUGCCAUAGUGAAAUCAAAUGUGAAAAAACCUUUUUUUUUCUUUCCUUAGUACUUUUUAAGAACCAAACAUAGUCAUAAUGGUUAUUCCAAAUGCUAGAGGUUUAGGCUAUGUUUGAUCCUCAUAAAAUUUGAGAGAAAAUGUAAAGGAAAGAAAAAGUGAAGAAAAAUAAAAGAUAGAGUUAAAGUCGAUAAAUUAUUUUUAUUUAUUAUUUUAAACUCAUUUUUAUUUAUAUUAACUUACCAAUAUAAAAAUUAAAUAAUUUAAAAAUACAUAAAUUUCUAACUAAUUUUAACUAUAUUUAAUUUUCUUUGGAAUUUCUUAUAGGACAAUCAAACAUGAGAAAAUAAUUUUUCUUACCAUUUUUUUCUUUUCUUAACACUUUCUGAGAACCAAACAUAACCUUAGUGAUUUUAUCACAACUAAUAUUAAGAUAAACAAGUAAUUAACUCAUGAGUCUAAUCCAAUCCUUAAUAGUAAGUGGUGGAGUCUUUGGUCUUGUUUAUGCAUGUCUUGGAUUUGAUCAAUUGCUUUAAAAUUUUUGUUGAUUACGAAUCCAAAUUUGAGGGUUGAAGCAUAAAUUUAACAAGGGAAUUGAAUAUAUUAAUGAUUAAGUUAUGGUCGUAAUAUAUAUUGAGAAGACAGGACUAAGUUUAUUUUCCUUAUAUGAAUCUUAAAAAUCGUGACAACUUGAAGAAUAUAGUGGUAGGUGAUGUUAUAUGUACGAAUGAAAUAUUCCAUGAUUCGUUUCUCUCAUGAAUUCUUUUUCAUUGUAAGUUAUUUUUCAUUAAUUAAUUUUAAAAAUACAAAAUUACAAUUGAAACAAAAUCAAAUCUUUUGUUCAAAAAGAAAAAGAAUUAAAAUAUUUCUAAUAUAACUAGAAUAAUAUUAAUAUAUAACAUGAUUUAAUAUAUUAUCUAAUAUAUAGAAAAUGGAUUUAUCCAUUUAUGUUUUAUUAAUGUAUACCAUUUGAUUGCAUAUCACAAUAUUUUUUUCUUUAUAAGAUUUUAAAUUAUUAUAUUAUUCAUAAAAAAGAAAAAAUAAUAAUGUACUAAAAAUAAAUUAUGAAAAAAUAUAAAUAAUAUUAUCUUUUUAAUAUUGAAAAAUGAGAUGAAAUAUAUUUUUUGUUUUAAGAAAUACCGAAAAGCUAGGUAGAGAUAUGUUUUCUUUUUUUAUUUUUUUAUUUUUUUUUCCUAUGGAACAAAUAUUAUCAUACUCAAUAGAAUGGGCCCAUGGUACCACAUCGGAUUCAAUCUAUUAUCUGUGAGGUAACAAAUUCAGUAGAAUGGACCCGUAGUUAUGAUACUUGUAUGGCCACAUCCCUCCUAUGUAUAUUUGGUAAUGCUCCAUCAUAUUCACUCGGAUAUAUCAUAAUGUCAUAAGACCAAUUGUCCAUAGUUAUGAUAAAUAUUAUGAUAUAUAUAUAUAUAUAUAUAUAUAUAUAUAUAUAUAUAUAUAUUCGAUAGUGGAAAAAGUUUUUGAUACUAUGUAUAUAGUGGACUUUUAUCAAUUAUGUAGAUGUCUUUUAUAGUCGUGAGUGCCAUUAGGCAUAAUGUGGAGUGUACAUGAGAGGGAGCAAGGUCAUCCUAAAUAUGAUGGAAUGAGAUUAUGUUUGUCUAACUUUGUAAGUGUUAGGAUUGAGUCUCUAAAAGCAAGACAUGAUAUAACAAAGUUAGAUUUUACUGUCCUUUUGUUAUCCCUUGUAUGCAUUGAUAUUAAUUUUAGUAUUCAAACUCAUAUGAUCACUUGCAUUGUACAUGAUUUCAAUGCAAUAGAAGUUGUACAGAAGAUACAAUUCAUGGGUUUCUUACAAGAUGAUAAGUUCUUCACAAUCAAUUAAUGAAUUUGGGCAAUCCAAUAGAGGCUGUAGUGCACUACCUUCUAAUUAGAGGGAUGACUUAUUUUAAUCAUCAUGAUAAGUUUUCCAUGGUGAGUACAUUAGUAUGUAUGAUUAUACAUUGGAUAGGACUUACGGUGAAUUAUGAUGUAAGAUUAUUAUAUUGUCAUGAUUCACCAAACUUCUAUAUUGCAUGUACUCUCAACCUUGAGAGUAUAUUGAGUCUCUAUUGAAAUCAAUAGGAAGCUUUAAUUUGACCUACAGAUGAUACCCUAUAAUGGUCAUAUAUCCCUAUGGAUUGAAUCAUUAUUGAUGGAGGCCAAUGACAACAAGUAUUCUCAAUGGAGGCAUUAUCAUAUCUCAUGAGAUUAAAACAGUAUGUCCCUUUAGGUGAUCCAAAGGACAUGUGAUCAUGGAAUAUGUGGUCGCAAUAAUUCUUUUAGUAGAAUUUACUCCCAUCCACUUAUUUAGGUCUCCCUUUAGGUGCUCUGUGUAAAUCUACAAUAGUUUAGGAUGGAGUAAAAGAGAGAUUUUAUAAGAGGUUGUCCAUGUGGAAGAGACAAUACAUUUCCAAAGGAGGGAGUAUUAUUUUAAUUUGAAAUACUUUAUCUAUAACUAGCUUGCCCAUUUAUUUUAUGUCUUUGUUCUAUAUCACAAUGGCUAUUAGAAUGAGGCUAAAACAAAUUUAGAGGGAUUUUUUGUGGGAGGUGGGGUGUUAGAUUAUAAACCACAUCUUGUUAAAUGGACGAUUGUUUGCUUAGACAAAAGGAAAUAUGGGUUGGGUGUUAAGAGUCUCUCAAUUCUUAAUAAGACUUUUAUUUGCAAGUGGAGUUGGUGUUUUUCAAAUGAGAAUUGUGCUUUCUAGAAGCAAGUUAUUUGUGGGAAGUACAGAUAAGAAAAAAGGGGUUUGUCUUCUUGGAAGGUGAGAGAGGGGUGAAGGGUUGUGUUGGGUUGUAGAAAACAGUAAGGAAUUAGGAUUGGGAUCUUAUGAGAACUAGGUAUUCCUUCUUGGUAGGUAAUGGGCGGAGAGUGAAAUUUUAAAACGAUAAGUGGUAUGAGGGCAAUCUGUUGAGUGUGUCUUUCUCUUCUCUAUUUGCUUUAAGUAAUUCUAAGGAUGUGUGGGUGCGUGGAGGAAGUUUAGAAUUACUCAACUAAAAAGGGGGGGGGGGGGGGGGGGGGNNNNNNNNNNNNNNNNNNNNNNNNNNNNNNNNNNNNNNNNNNNNNNNNNNNNNNNNNNNNNNNNNNNNNNNNNNNNNNNNNNNNNNNNNNNNNNNNNNNNGGGGGGGGGGGGGGGGAGGGGGAGGAGGGAAGGUGAAAUCCUUAUUUUUCUAGACCUUUUAAUGAUUGGGAGAUGGAUUGUGUGGAGAGAUUUCUAGCAUGUUAAUUUGCAUGGGAAGAGAGUGUAUAGGGAUGCAGAAAAUACAAUGCUUUGGACAAUGACAAAGAGUGGCAAGUUUAUAGUUAAUUCUCUUUACAAUGCUUUGGAGCUAGACAACUUCGAGUCUUUUCCAAUAAGAGGAAUUUGGCUCUCAUGGGUAUAACCUAGAGUGAGUUCCUAUUUUAUUUUUUAUUUUUUAUUUUUUGUUGAAGGCUACGUGGGUAAAGUUUUAACCUUGGAUCAAGUUCAGAGAUGAGGAUGGUGUUUAGAAAAUAGGUGUUAUUUUUUUCAUUUGUUUGAAAAAUCCAUAGAUCACUUGCUUCUCCAUUGUGAAAAAACAAGGGUUUUAUAGGAGUUGUUUUUUGCAUUUUUUUUUUGAUAUUUUUGGGUGCUUCCUUUAUUAGUUAAAGAGAAUCAUUGGGGUGACAUGGUUUUUUUGUGGAAAAAAAGUGUGGGAAGGUUUAGAGUGCAAGCCCUUUAUAUUUGUUUUGGAGAUUUAGAAGACAAGGAACAAAAAUGUGUUUGAUGAUGAGGUGUUUUCUUUCAAAAAGCUAAAAAAUGAUUUUUAUUUGGUUUAUUUGGUUAGAGACUAAGUUGUUUAUGUAUGAUUGUCUUUUGACUUUAGUGAGUUACUUUGAUUGGUUGGGCCUUGGUGAGGGUCCAAUUCUUUUGGUUUUUUCUCCUAUUUGAGCCUUGGUGGUGGAGGGAGGUUUGUUUCUUGUAUACCUUAGGUUGCUCUUUUGGUGACUCAUUUUAAUUUAAUUUGAUUCUUUAUCUAUCAUUUAAAAAUAUAAAAAAAAUCAUAUCCUUCUUGGAGUUAGAAUAUGUCGGUUGAACAUACAAUAGAAAAAUUUACAACUCAAGUAUUAGAGGAGUAAUCUUGAUGGGUUGAUAACAUUACCCUAUUAUUUUAUGGACACCAAUUCAUGGGGUGUCUGUAUGCAAUAGAAAGUAGAUCACAAACCUGAGCUUUGUCUCAUUGCAAUUUCAUAAAAUACUGGCGUGUAGUUAACUCUUUUUAGUAGAGUAUUGAGUCAACUUCAUAAUUGGAAUAUAAAGGAGCCAAUAUUUUCUUAUAGGUCCCAAUGGUCCCCCAUCGAGCUCUUAGUUCAUAUUGGCAUGUUUUGAGGGUAUUUUGGCUAUGUACUUCAUAAGUGUAUAUAAGGGUGUUUUAAUAAGAAUAUAAUAUUGCACUAGAUCUUAUGAAUUGAUUUUCUUAAAUGGGCUAAUUAAUUAAUUGGAACAUGUUAUGGCUAAUUAAUUAAUUAAGACUGAAGCCUAAUUUGGGUUCAAGUCACUUAAACCCACAAAAAAAGCCUAUAUAAACCCCUUAGGGGUUAAGACUUUAUUCUUCUAGUUCGGUUUUCUAAAAUUGCAAAGAGAGGAACCCAAGUCAACCUCAAGAAGAGAGAAAAGCUCACCAUUCUCUCAUGCCAAGCAUCCAUUAUGGGAGAGAUUGGCUGGAAGAUCAUUGGAUAAACUAGUUCUACAACAACCACAACGUUUUCAUCAAAUGGGAUUCUAUCUAGGAACAUUCAAAUCACAAGUUUGAGCUCUUUCUAUGUAAAUCUAGGUUUUUUUUUGUUUUUAUACUUAUAGGUUUGAAAACGAUGAGAAAUCAGGAUAAAUAUGACCAAAUGUAUUUUAUAUGGAAGUGGAUGUUACCAAUAUGACAAAAUAUAUUCUAUGUUGACUGGAAAUGAUGUGAUAUCCAAUCAACCAAAUCACGUGGAAUACAUUUAGCAAUGAUAAAGUAGGUUUGGUGAUGUAAAUAUAAGGCCCCAAUAUUUGGGUUAGGCUCGUUUGGGUUAAGAACCUUUUCGGAUUUUCUUAUUUGGUGGCACAAACUUGACCGUGACAUAUACCAUUAUUCUAACACUAAAGUGGACCACUAAAAUGCCCUACAAAGCGCUAAUAUUCAACUCACAAGUUAGAUAGUUAUCAUGAUGCAAAAUAAUGCUUCCCAUAUUAUAAUUUUUGAAAAUAUGAUAAAGGAAAAGUUGAAUUAUCACAAUUCAUUUUUCGUAAGUAUGUAAUAAUCUAACAAAUUUAAAUCAUAUUUCGUAACUAUUAUCAAAAACGGUUCUUAAAAACACUUUUUGAAAAAUUUUCUUUAAUAUUUUAUAAAAAAAAUAUUUAUUUAAAAAUUUGAAAUGUUUUAAACCUAUUUUCCAUUUAAAAAAAAUAUGUUUUAAAAAUAACUUUAUAUAUACUAUUUUAUUUGUAAUUAUUCUCCAAAUUUAUGCAAUAUUUUUUAAGACAAUAUUUAUAAAACUAUUCUAAAUAAUUGUUUUCAAAACCAUUUCAUACAUAGACCCUUUUAUCGUUUUUUUCUUCUUUUCUUUCUUUUUUUUUUUUUUUUAAGAUGCCUAUUAUUAUUGGAAAGUAGUUUUAAAGUAAAUGUAGAGAGCGCUGAUCAUUUUGAUGCAUUAGUUACAUAUUUUGGACAUCUUUCUCAUUACUUUUUAUUAUAUUAAUUUGCUCUUCUACAUCUAUAUAUUGGUUUUCCUUGUUCUAUUUGAUAUACUUAAUCAUUUUUGUGAGAAAAAGAGGAGAUGACACAUACAUUCAUAUUUAUUUUGAGUAACGAUGAUUCUACAUUUUAUCAUUUUCUCAUAAUUUUUAGAAUUUUCUUAUAAUGUUUGGGAUUUUUGAAUUGUGAUAUUUAUAGCUUAUCAUAUAAAUUAAUUACUAUUUUUCCCAUGCAUUACUUUUCACUGGUGUUAUUUGUAGGUUACAUGUUUCCAUGAUCUUUAAAGACUUACAAAGCAUUGAUGGAAGAUCAUCGAGUUGAAAUUUUUAGUUUAGACAUAAAAGAUUGAGAUGGUGUUUGUUUUUUUAACUUAAUUCUAAAUAAAACUUAAAACUAAAUAAUGUUUAAUAAUGUUAAGUAUUGAGUUAUUUGUUUUUUUAAAUAUUUUAUUUAUAUUAAAUAUUAAGAAAUAAAGAUAAACUAAUAAAUUAUUUUAACAUUAAAAAAAAUUAACUUAAAAAUUAGCUCAUUGAAUAAGUAAAUUCGGUAGGAUGGUACCAAUGAAAUCGAGUGCUAACUCCCAUUUCUUAUUGAAUUAACUUAUCAACUUUCUAUCGAACUUUUGGAUUUGAUAAUUUUCGCAAAAAAAAUCAUUUAAUUUGACUUUAUUAUUAUUAUUAUGAGAAUAAAUCCUACUACUUUUGGUUAUGGGGUUUCCAUGCUUGAAAAAAAAAACCUAGGGCGUAUCACUCAAAUCAUUGGUCUAGUCCUGGAUGUAGCCUUUUCCCCGAGUAAGAUGCCUAAUAUUUACAAUGCAUUGGUAGUUAAAGGUCGAGAUACUGUCCGUUAACAAAUUAAUGUGACUUGUGAGAUACAACAAUUAUUAGGAAAUAAUAUUUUGACUUUUUUUAUUCAAUUGAAAAUUUUAAGAAAUAAAUAAUAAGUUAAUAAAAAGUAAAAAUAAAAAUAAAUGAUCUGAAAUAUAAAAAUAAGUUGCUUUUUUAUUUUAUUUAAAAAAGUCAAAUAAAUAAAGAGACAACACCUAAGUGGUAUAUAAACUCAUUUUUUCAUAGCAUUGGAGGAGUUAUGUAAUAAUUAUUUAGACAUAAAAUUGUUAAAAGGGGAUAUUGCUAGUGAUUUAGAUUAACUACUUUAGUUUGAUAAUCUUAUUCCAAAUAAUUAUUCGUCUAAUAUUGUUGCAUAUUUUCUAAGAUUAAUAUAGGUCUUGAAGAUUUAAUUAAGAUCAUCAUCACUUUGUAAACGAGGCCAUCUAGGUAAGUAUGCUUGAGUUAGUUUAGUGAAUGAUAUAAUUAAGAAGUGUAUUUUGAGAAUUAUUACAUAACAUGAGCUUUAUAGGUUUGGAAAAGCAAAUUUGAGAAGGAGUGCUCAAGAGGUUCUUAAGAGCGCUCACUAUAAAACAUGUUAAGAGUUAAACAUGAAGAUGCAUAUAGAUACUAGCCAAUGUAAAGUCCUCAGGGAAUUGAUAGCUUCUAAUUCAUGUAAAAUUGUGAUUUAUUUUUUCAUAUUAAGUGAAUUUUCUCAACAAUCAAUUGACCAAUGAUAUUUAAUUAAUAUAUAGUUUAUAUAUAUAUAUAUAUAUAUAUAUAUAUAUAUAUAUAUAUAUGAUCAAUUUUUGUUUUGAAAUUUGAUGUCUGCUAUUGAUCAAAGGAUUAAGAAAGAAAGAAAGAAUGAAUGAAUUAAUCAAUCUCCAUGUGUAAUUUCAAGAAUCAAAAUUAGAACUUCUAAAUGACAAAAUAAAACUAAGAAUCAAUUUUAUAGUGAUUUUAGAAAGUGUUUCUAACAUUUUUAACACUUUAAAAUUUCUAUCAUUUAAAUAUUAGAAAUAUUAUAAACAUUUUCUAAAAUCAUUAUCAAAUAUAUUUUAAAUGAGAUUCAACUUAAAUUUGUGUUUCUUGUUGAUGGACGUGCAUGUUAGUAUUUUAUAGUCGAGUGAUGAACUCAUCUCUUAAUUAAAUUUUAAAGAGAACUCUUAUCAUUGGAAGAUGUGGUCUACCAUGAUCUUUGACUUUUCAGGGUUAUAUAUAUUGAAUACUAAAGUAAAAAUUAAUAAAUUAUGGCUAAAGAGACUUAAAUCGGAAUUUCUUGCUGGAUGGAUGUGCGAGUGUAAAAAUAACAAGUGUAAUUUCAUUGAUCGGACGAUGUAAUGAAUUAUACAAAUAAUUUAACUAUUUUUUAUUUUUUUUAAGUUUGGAGAUGAAUCACCCAAAUGAUGACUCUUGAAAUAGACCCAUUGGAUGUGAUGUCAAAUAUCAUAAAAUGUUUGAUCUAUCCUUAUUGAUCACCAAUUGGUUUUCAAAUGACAUGAUCAAAACUCAAUCUUAGAGUUGGUAUAUAUAAGAGAUUGUGCAAGAAGCAUCGUAAUUGGGCAAAUAAAAAAUAAUGUUAAAUAACUAUAUUUUUCAUACAAAUUUGUAUGGUAUAUGAUUGAAGAAGAGAGUAAAGAAGUGUUGUUUGACUGGAAUUCUUAACAGCAAGGUCAGAGCUCUCUACAGGGAGUCAAUGAGGACUUUCCCAACAUUACCUUCUACCUGCUCUCUUCUCUUCUAAUUUCAAUUCUAACCGCUGGAAGAGAUGGGAGUGGUUUGGUGCCGAGGAUUCAUCCCCUCACCUCAUCCAAGUUUUUGUUGAGUCCAAACAAAACUUUAAACACAUGUUCUUUUCCAACAAUUUUCUUAUACUUCUGAGAAUACUUAGUACAACCGAAUUUAUUUUCAUCAAAUAAGUCUAUAUGUUGCCAACGCCUAUUGAGAAUAUUGAUAAAGUAUUGAGUUAUUGAGAGUUCUUCUUGCUUGAGAUCAUUAAGAAGCUUUCUCCUGGCAUUUCAGUUGAUGGUACAGAUAGCGAGGCCCAUACACCUAUGGCAAUCAGUGUUCCAGAUUCUGAUUUUCAUGAUUUUGAUUUGAACCAAACUAAAAGUUCUUUUGGAGAUAAUCAGGUCUGGUCGGCAUACGAAAAUGAUGAUGGGAUGCCUCGGUUCUAGGCACUGAUUCACAGAGUGAUCUCUUCGAAUCCGUUCAAGAUGAAGAUCAGUUGGCUUAAACCCUAAAAGCAACAGCGAAUUUGGUCCAGGAGAUUGAAUAGGCUGGUUGAAUGGAUAAUGGGGUGGGUUCAGUAUGGGGCCCUCCUUGAGAAAUAUCCAACAGCAAAUUAGGACCUUUUUGUCUUAUUCAAAAGGGUCAGACGGCUGGAACACAGGUGCUAUUGAGUUAAAUGUUGCCAUUGGGCAAGGAAUCGAGACCACUAGCAUCCACAGAGCAAACACAAUUGCACCGUGGCCCCACGUGCGCAUGGCCAUGCAUGGCGACCUUUGGCGUGCAAUCCCAGCCGCCACAUGUCAUCCUCUUAUUUCUUCUUUCUUCUGAUGUCAAAAUUUAAUUUCCCAAUUUCUAAUUUUUAAAUUUAUUUUUCAAAACUUCAAUUUUCAAAUAAUUUUCAAAAUUCUAAUUUUUAAACUUUUUUUUUAUUUUUAAAAAAGCACCUCAAAUUUCAAAUUUAAUUUUCAAAACUUCAGUUUUUAAAACUCCAAUUUUUAAAUAAUUUUUAAAACUCUUGUUUUCAAAUUUAAUUUUCAAAACUCUCAUUUUCAAAUAAUUUUCAAAACUCUAGUUUUUUUAAAAAUAAUUUUAAUUCUACUCCAGUUUUAAAAUAUUUUUAAUUCUACAAUUUUUCAUCAUUCAUUAUGAAUUUAGGUCACCAAAAAUCUCGAAUUUAAUAAACUUGUUGUCAUUCUUUUUCUAGCAUGCACUUUUACAAAUUUUAUUUGAUUUUUAAUUUAUUUUCUUUUCGUUUUUUCUCCUUUUUUAUAUAUAAAAAUGAAUAAAUUUUCAUAAUUCCAAAAUAAUGGAAUUUAUAGGAAUUAAUCCAUAAUAAAAUAAAUAGGUAAAUUGGGCUUUAGUAGGGGUCUACAUAUGAGUUUUCUCUUCUAAUUGUCAACUGUUAUACUUAAUGAAUAUUGUUUGAUCUUUGUUCUACUAUUUGACAUGCAUGUGCUAAUUUUAUCAUUAUGAACUAACCUUGUUUCCAUGAUAUCAUGUUCUUAUUUGCUAUUAAGGUAUGCUUUCACUCCUACUUCAUUUAUUUAUUCGUUCUUAUACUCAAAUUGUUUUAUUAUUUGAACAUUUCAUUGGUAUCCAUUGAUUUCCUUAGCAAUUGUCACACUUGCCUCACCUUAUUUAAUAGAGACCCAUUUUUAGAGACUUAGAAGGGUGCUACGACUCACCACCAUAUCUUUCCAAUAGGUAACCUAACCCUUGGACCUAGACUUGAUUUUUCACAAAUCUAUUUUUUUUUCUUUAGGAGUCAUACUUAAGGUUUUCUUUUUAAUUUUGUUUUUCCUUAAAAAAAAUAAAACAAAAAUAAGUGGCGACUCCAAGUAUUUUUCAAAAAAUAAAAUUUUUCAUAAAUAAAAAGUGAGUUCCUCAUCGAGUGGGAAUGCAUCGUGCAAAAAUGCAGGGUCCACGCCUUGAAAUUUAUUUUUAUUUUAUAGUAGAAUCCAAAGUUUUGUAAUACUUAAAUGGCAGAAAGAGAGCAAUCAAGCUUCAUGUGCUAGUAUUUUAUUUAUUUUUUAUUUAUUUUAGUAUUUCUUGUUUGGAUUGAAACAAAAACAAGGAUAUCAUACAAAAUUAUAAUAAAUUUUUAAAUCUUUUAUUUCUUUCAAAUAGAUUAGUAUAUAUUAUAUUAUACAUAAUGCUAAAUCAUAGAUGCUUCAAAUGAUUAAGAAGGAUAACUAAUUAUCUUUCUAUUAAAAAAAUAAAUGAUGUCAUUAAUUGUUGCAAACUAAUUUACAUUAUGGGAUGAUGAGUGGGUUGGUCAUUCUAUCAUCUUCAAAAUUAUCCUAGAUAAUAAAAGUAGUCCUAUAAUUAAUGAUUAAAUAAAAAUAUUUCUUUUUCAUUUUUUUUAAAGGUGGUUAAGAAACCAAAUGCUUGUACAUAUUAUGUUCUUUUCUUUUAAUAUUACAUUUGUCAUUUUUUUUUCAUUUAUGUACUGAAUUUUUUAAAGAUGACUUCCUUAUUUAAUAAGAGAAGUAAGUGUCUCAAUUAGAGUUUAUAAUAACGCUUGACUUUUUAUUAUAGAAAGAUGAAUAAUUUAAUCAUAAAACAAAAGCAAGUGUGGAAAAUUGUAGUAAUUCCUAUAUAAAAUGUAGGAGCUCUUAGAAAUUUAUCUUUAAAAAAAACAAAAAUUUUAAAAAUCAAUUCUUAUACAAAAUCAGAUAUUAAAAUUUUUUUGACUACCUCAAUUUUUAAAAAUCUUGAAAGUAAUUUUUAAAAAUAUAAAAUUUAUAUCUCAUGCAAGUUAUUGGAUUUCAUAUAUAAAUUACUAUUAUUUUCUCUUUUAGAAAACAUGAAAUUAGUAAGCCGGAGGACACUUAGACACAUAUACAUUAAAAUCAAGGGAAAUAUGGUAUCCACAUUUUUUAUUUAUGAAAAAUUAAAGAAAAUGAACAUGCCUAACUUUAUAAAUGGUUUGUAUGGAUUGACAUUUUAUAAGAUGAAAAUGACUACACUCCAAUAUGCUAAUAUUCAUGUCAUAUUUUAGUCGUGUUAUCAUGUUACAUCAAAAUUGUCAUACUGAUAUUUUUUUUUUUUAUAAAUUUAAUAAUAUGGUACAUAACUUUUGUAGAAAGAAAAGUUUAUAAGCUAGCCUUGCUAAACAUAUACCUAUAAAAAAUAUUUCAAAACAAGUGUAUAAAAAAUGGUCAUCAAAUAAAAUAAUGUUUGGAUUUAACAAAAUAACCUUGGGAUUUUAGGUUUAAGAAAUUUUGAACUAGGGCUAUCAAAGAUAGGAUUUAAUGAUAUUGGUUGGGAUUAUGAUAAUUUUUUUUUAUAUAGUAUUUGAAUUAUGACUGACUACAUCUAUAAUUAUAAUUAAAUAUUGAAUAUAUCUCUUUUCAUAAGGCACUAUGAAAUAAUUUGUAACAUAAUUGAAGCACAAUAAAAAAAAAUUUAAGCUACUUUGGUCACUAUGCAUAUGAUCUUAAUAGAUAAAUGAGGAUAAUUUAUCAAUGUCUCAAAGUCAUUCUUGAAAGUACUUGUAAAUAAUUUCAAAUAAAUAAAAUUAUCCAUGCCUAAAAACAUACAAAUUAAAAUCAACAAUUCAAAUUAUCCAUGCUAAAAAACAUACUAAUUCAAAUUAUACAUGCUUAAAAACAUAUAAAUUAAAAUCCACAGUCCAAACAAAAAGUCUCUUUUAUGGCAUUAUCAUUCUGGUUCAAUACUGCAUCUCUACCACCCUUCCAAUUCCAUAACCAAUAGUUAGUCAUGUUUCCAUGCGCAACCUGACCAAUGGUUAGUCAUAGUUUAAUUAUCCUGUGCUUUUUCAUCUUAGAAAUGAAGCAAAGUAAGAGCAAAACAAAUUUUAAUUCAUGCUAUGCAAUUUGAAAAACAUAUGAUAAUUGUUUUGGCCUACCAAUUAAAAAAUGAAGCUCUAAAUAAAAUUUUUAAUUAAUUCAAACAAAAUUAUGGCCUACCAAAACAGCUACAGUAAUAUGGUUUUUCUUUUUAAAAUCAAUAAUUCAUUCCAAAGAUAAAACUUUGAUAGGUCCUAAGACAUUUAUUAGAAAAAAUAAAGGAGUUUUAACUUUAGAUAGGUCUAAGAAUACAGGAUCUCCGAAUUUCAUAAAAUCUUGGAAUAAUUAAAAACAAAUAAAAUAAAAUAAAGGCAUAAAAAAAAUGAAAUUUGAAUUUUAUUUUACUAUAUCUAAUUCCAUAUUGAACUCUAUAUUCUUUCAAGCAUGUGAUCAUUUUAAAAUAUAUCUAUAUAUUUUUUUCCACUAAUUCUACUAAAUAUUUUAACCUUCAAUAAACACCAAAGACAAAGAAGGCAUACCUUAUGGGGUAGAGUUGGAAACUAGAGAUAUCUUCAUCUUUUUUGGUUGGAUUCACUGCAUCAUAACAUUUUUAUUUUAUUGUAAUGACUAAAUAAGAAAAUAUAGAUAUAAACUCAAAAGCAUAUAAGUUACAUGUUUCAAACAAUCUUGAUAUGGCCUUAAAGGAGUGGCCGAGUCAGAUAAGUAGGCUGCAAAGUAACUUUUUUGUUUUUAUUUUUGAAUCAUGAAUUAUAAUAAACAUACAAAUUUUUUAAUAUUUCAUGAAGUGCUUUAUCAUUUAACAAAAUAAGUGAUUAUUGAUAUUAGUUAUGAAAGAAAAAAUAUAUAAAAUAAAAAAUGAAACAAUGAAAUGGAUAAAGAAAAGUUUUAAUUAUUGAUAUUAUUUAUGAAAGAAAAAAACUUAGAAAUAAUUAAAUUGAUAAAAAUUUUAUUUAAAUUUUUUUUCUAACAAUAUAAUAUAAAUGUAGCACCAUCGUUAUCAAUAGUAAAUUGGUAGUAAAAAUCUUAAAGUCAACCAAAGCAACCUACCAUAAAAAAUUAUUUAAUAAAAUAUAAAUUAUUUAAAUAAACUUAAAUUUUAUCAACAAUUAAAUAGAAUAUAAUCUAAAUAAUCUAUCUACUUGAAUAAGUCCUAAUUUUUAUUUUUAUUUUUAAAAAAGAGUUUUUAACUUUCAGACAAACCGAAACUGCGGGAUCCAAAAAUCUCCUAAAAUUUUGGGAUAAUUAAGAACACGUGAUUAAAAUAAAAUCAUGAAAAUAUAUAUAUCAGCUGGGUUAUGAUUUCAAAUGUUAUCUAGAUAUUUCAUUUUUCACUAAUUCCAUCUAAUAAAUAUUUUAUUCAUUAGUGAAUGAAAAAAGAAGAGAGAGAACACAUACCUUGCUAGAGGUUAAAGAAACCCUUCAUCCUUUCGAAACUAGAGAAUUUUUUUCUUGGAUGAGUGAUCUUCUCUAUUAGCAGGCCUUUUUCUCGACGGCUGAGGCCAAUGCUUCUGAUCUUGGGCGUAUAUGAGAUGUAUCCCACAACUUUUCACUUUAAAGGAUGCGUUUUCGCCACAUGUAAAAGAGGCAUUACCGACAGGAUUGUCAAAGUGAGCCUUGAAGUUGUUCCACUUUCUGGAUCGAUAC
rnacentral:lncRNA from 1 species